UUUUUUUUUUUUUUUUUGGUGUGUUUGGGUAAUAGAGGCCAAUUUUGCUAACAAUACAAAUCAAACACCGCUAGCAAUCCCUUCAUUCAUGUACCUUUCGUCAACAUUAAAGACUUGGAAAAGCAGUCGAUGCUGACUUUAAUUGUAUGGUUCACAUGGAAAGAUUACUCCCCCACGCCUUGAUUCACUUUAUCGAACACAAAUCUUAGUAGCGUAAACAUUUGACUUGCGACCCAUUUUAGGAUUGGAGUGCAAUAAAUGAGUUAGAUAUAUUUUUCAAUCGCGCGCGCGCUUUGCUUUCUUUUCUUUUAUGGGACUGAAACUUCAACAGUUUCUUUCUAGCACACAUGACGCAAGGCAGUAGGCAAAUUGGGCAUUUCAGUUUCCUUCUUCCUCUUAGACUCGUCUACUAAAAGCUGACAGGUUUGCAUUAAUGUUGUUAAGCUCGGAUGGAUUCGAGACUUUCAAGUGAUGAAAGCUGCAGGGCAAUACAUAGUUGAAAUUAAGAAAGUUCAACUUUAAUUUUCAGGGGUAUCAUUUUAUAUGCUGCUGGGGACAAAGAAAAUCGAGGUGUUGAUGAUAUUCUUGAUCAUUUCCUCGGUGUAGCAUUAAUGAAAGGGGGAGAAAAUUGAAAGAAUAAAGACAUACUACUAGUGUAAUUUAUUAUUUCAAAUGGUGGCCGUCCAUAUGUAUAUGUGACAUGUCUUUCAUGGUUCUACAUUCCUGGGGUGGGGUACGUAUUUGAUUUCAAGUUUAGAAAAUUGAAAGAAUAAAGGCAUACUACUAGUAUAAUUUAUUAGGGAAAAUGACAUGUUUCAUCCCUCACAUUUCACAAAAAUAUUCUUUUCGUCCCUCACUUUUAAAAUGAAGCAAUUUCAUCCCUGACAUUUAAAAAUUAAAGCUAUUACAUCCCUGACCUUAUUUUCAAUCUGAAUAAAACCAUCCAAUAAUCCAAUAAUAAAUUUCGGAGAUAGAAUUGAUAGGUCAUUCGGUCAAUUUCAUCAUAUUCACAUGACAUUUAUCAAACCAAAAAAAAUAAAUAUUAUAACAUAAAGGCCAUUAUUUGUUUUGGAAUAGUCGGGUUUUUCUUUUGGGUAAAUCUUUUCAUGCACCGUUAGUAUAUUCGCUUGCGAGUCUAAAUGUGUAUCAUAAAUACAAAAUUUGGUGUUUAAAUUUAAAUUGAAACGAUAUGGUAGGUACAUAAAACUAUCAGUGUAUACAAUGACAAUGUAGGAAUUCAAGUUGAGUUAUAUUCAAGUUGAGUUAACCAAGUGAUCUACCAAUUAUACCUCCAAAAUUUGUAAUCAGGUUGAUAGGUGGUUUGAUUCAGAUUGAAGAUUGGGUUCAAGGAUGUAAUAGUUUUAAUUUUUAAAUGUCAGGGAUGAAAUUGCUUCAUUUUAAAAGUGAGAGACUAAAAGAAUAUUUUUGUGAAAUGUAAGGGAUGAAACAGGUCAUUUUCCCAAUUUAUUAUUUCAAAUGGUGGCCGUCCAUACUCCAUAUGUAUAUGUGACAUGUCUCUGUUCAUUUCAUGGUUCUACAUUCCGGGGUGGGGUACGUAUUUGAUUUCAAGUUUUCAACAUCCAACUGUAUGUGACACGUGGCUUUCUCCCACCACCGAACAGUGAAUCCUGUGUAGGUUUCCCGCUACAUGAACAAAUUAUCAUGGACGAACGGGCAUCAUCAACCCCUACAUACGUAAUAAAUUCGAGAGAUUGGCCAAUCAUCCCGCGGUUGGACGACGUUUCUUAGGAGUAGUUUACAUAACAUAAUACCAUUUGCCGACUUGUAUAACCAACCUGUCAUUUGCAAUGCCCAGGAGCUUUGAUUGAAACUAAUACCAUCACCAAUAAAUAUGUAGACCAAGUAGUAGGCUUCGCAACUAAGUUUAACUCCACACGAUAUAAGAGGCUGAAUCAGUGUGUGUGUGGUAUAGCUAAAUGAAUUGUCUAGGUUAUGAAAGUUGAUUGAUUUAUGUGCUCAAGGAGAAAGUGUGUGCCCAUUGGACGGAAAAAAAUAGACAAUACUAGUAUUAAAUACAGUAGUAGCAAUUAGAGCAAAUACAAAUUAACUUAAUUGAUAAAUACAGUAGUAGCAAUUAGGGCCAAUACAAAUUAACUUAAUUGAUAACGUUAAGUCAAUUUCUCGUUCGAGGUCGUAUGCAAGCAUUAAAUUGGUGGGAUAUUUCUAAUCUAUAAUAGUGACUCGAGCUAAAUUCAGCUUAAUCUUUUCUUUAGGAACAAAAAAAAAAACAACUACGGAUUUCUAUAUGUAACUAUGUAGGAGUUUUGGAUUUGUUAAAACGGAUUAAAAUAUGUAUAAAAGGUGGAUGGAAGGAACUGAACCUCCGCGCUAUAAAAUAAAAUGUAUGUGCUGCUAAUGCUAAAGUACGACAUAGUAAUAUUAGUGCUAUUGACCACAGAUUCUCUUCCAAGCCUCCGGCCCUCACCUCAUUGAACUCUUUGAGUUGUGACCAGCACCGAAAGCAAUUCAAGACAGAGACCUCAAAACUCAUCAUUUUCUACCCGUCAUCGACUUCGACUUCCAUGGUUUGCUUCUGCUUUUUGGUGGAUCAGAAGAGGAUGGUAAGGCGGUGCAAGCCGGUGGCAGGGUCGUGUUCGCGGUGCGGUCGCGGGGCAAGCGUGGCCGAAAUGCGAACUUCCACGAGAUUCUGUUACAUUCCAUUUUAUUGGAAAUCUUGGAAGGCGAUCAUAUGCAGCUUCUGUGGAGCCGUUCUCAAAUCCUACAGAUAAACAACUCUUUCUUACCCUGUGGUGCGGGUGCCUUUCUUGUGCACAAUUUGUAUAUUGAGCUAGAAGCCAAGUGAUCAUGAUCAGAUUGAUGCUGAUCAUUCUUGGAAAGUCACAUCGAGCUGCUACUUUCUUUAGUAAUCAUGGAACUUCAGGGUUAAGCAUCGCGUUAAGGGGAAUAAGGAGGAAUGUUUCUUGGACAGUACAGCACCCACUGAAAGAAUCUAAUACUCAGUUUGCCGGAUGUUCUCAAACUUUGAGUUGAAGAGAAGAGGAGAAGUACGGGCCCUUUUUUUGUUUGUUUUUUUCCCCCUAACCAAUAUCUGUAUUUCAUAUAAGUACUUUCUUUAUCUCUUAUUUUUCGUAUCAGAAAUUUCAUCUGCUAAUCCCUGAUCAGCAUAUUUACCCAAAAAAUUUCUUUCUGCUCCCCCUAAUUUCUGGGUUAGUGGAAACGAAGAAAAGUGUCAAUCCUCGACCUCGAGAAAUAUUUUGACAGUUGAAUACUAGUCAUCCUCAGGUUUUACCAUGGUGGUUCGUUAAUACAAGAGCAAAAGGUUUACCUUCUCAACAAUGCUUUUUUUUGCUGUAUCAACAUACUAUCAGUAUACUUACUAAUCCAAAUACCAUUAUAAUGUCUUCAACAACACCUUUUAUCCGGUUAGUGCUGAGGUUUGAAUUGAAUAGCUAACAAUGAACUGCUGUGCCUGUACCCUUUCUCAACAUGAUUUCAAUGUGCUUUAGUUAUAUAUUCUUCUCUCCCUUCUGUGUUUUUAUUUAUUUAUUUAUUUAUUUAUUAUUCCCUUUUAUAAUUCUACAUCAUAAAUGUUAUUAAUUACCACCGUAUUGAAAUUUCUCUUUAAUUAUACCGAAUCUAAGCACAGAAGACCAUCUAGAAUGCCAUUAUGAUUUAGGCAGGGUCGUGUAAGAUACCCCCUCCGUCCCACUUUGAUAGUUCUGUUUCUUUUUUCACACAAUUUAAAAAAAAGUAGUUAAUUUUGUUAGAAAAGUAAAUUUAGAUUGCUAUUUUUCUAAAAUACCCUCACAUUAAAUAGAGUACAACUUUAUGGGAACUUGAAUUUAUGGUAAAAAAAAGAAUCAACUCUCAUUAAAUGGGGUAGGUUUAUAGUAACAAUAACUUACAUUGAAUAAGGGCAUUUUAGAAAAAUUAAAAUACAACUACAUUCUUUAAUUGGAAAGUGGACUACAAUUUGGAACAGACAAAAAAGGAAAAUAGAACUAUCAAAAUGGAACGGGUAUAUACUAGGCUUAGGCGUUAAGGUUCGUACAAACAUGAGUUGUUUAGAAGGCUGGAGCAUUGGCUUGGUCCCCAUCGCAAACCUAAAAUCCUAAUUAUAGUUGUGGAGUUUUCCAGCGCUGAUAUUAAAUUAAAAUUUGCUUGACAGAGCUUUUUUUUUUUCCUCCCAAGAUUAGGAAGGAAACGACAAAUUUCAUUGUCAAGAAACUCUGCCAUUCUAAAUUUUUCUAAUAUCAUCUCCAAACAAACCAGCAAGAUAUGUCAGAACUAGACUCCAUGUCUUCGUCUUGGAGGUGGGAUUGUACAGACAUUUACUAAAUUCAAGAGAUAUGAUGUACUUUUUCGUUUCAAGGUUUAGUUAAAAAAAUAAGUCACGCUUUCACUCGAAACUAUCUCAUCAUGUGGUUUCAUAUUCGAAUAUUUUUGACGGUUUUGGAAAUAGAAUUUAUACUUUCUUCAACUUAGUCCUACAUCGCAAAAUGAUUAUCAGUGGGUAAAACUAUAGAAAAUUUUCACUAAGAAGAUACUUUCUAACAAUCUAGAACACACACAAAUUAUUAUUAAUUAGUAAACUAAAAAAAAAAAAGAAGAAAGUUGAGUUAAUUCUUUGACAUGAGGAGUAAAAAGGAACAAAAAAAAAAAAAGGAGAGACUUUUGGUAGCAUUUGGUAAUUCAAAAACGGCCAGUGACAAAAUAAAAUGUGUAUUUGACUUGACCCAAAAAGAAAUUAAUUCGAGGAAAAUUAUCAGAAAGAGCGGCUCACGUGAAUGGCGGUGCUAACGUUUUGAACUUUCUCCUACAUUCUAGUCUUGUAUCAGAGGAUAGGCUGUCAUUCUUACGUGUUAGUACUUAAUUCCUCUUUACAACUCGACAAAAUUAAUACCAAACGUACAUAUGACAAAUAGAUUAAUAGUACUAGUUUUUAUCAUCUGACGUCUUGGGCCUCCCACCCGACUCCUCUAACCAUCUUGAUCCUGCAAUUUUCGAUUAAUGCUGGCUUGGGCAGCAAAUGAGACGGACUUCGGGUUUUUAAAUGUUUUUGACAUAUCUACAUGGAUUGUCACCGACUGCUCGAGUUGCUAUUAGUUUCAACCUUGAUAUGGAUUCGAUAUGUAACGCUCCGGCCCAAGGCUCCUAGUUGACGAGGGACCGGGUUUCAUCAAGUCAAGUCGAAUUUGAAUAUGCACCAUUUAAUUUCAAUUCGAGUUAAAAUAAUCGAACUCGAAUUUGUGGAAUUUUGAGAAGUCAAAUUCAAACUCGAAUUAGAUGUCAUAUUCCUCUUACUCGAAUUUAAAGUCUAAUCGUGCUUACCUAAUAAAAAUUAGUAUUUUAUAUAUAAUUUUGAAGAAAGGAUAUAAUUGACGUUUCAUAUUGUUACAUAUAAAAAAUUAUAUGUGUGUGUCUAUAUAUAUAUAUAUAUGUAUGUAUGUAUAUAGAAAGUUGAAUUAGACUCGUUGAACAUAUGAGCUUAGGAAUAUAAUACUCGAACUCAAUUCGUAUGUAUUAUCGAGUAACUCGAAUUCGAUUAACAUCAAACUUGAGUCGAGUGGUUGACUGAGUUACUCGUGAGUUUGACUCGAGUAGUUUGGUCAACUUGGAACCCUGCAAAAACCACCAUUCACAAUGUAUGUCAUAUACACGAUUGAUGGUGUGAUAUGUGCAUCAUUUUUUUAAUACCAAAAAAUGGAGUUUUAGCAUUAUUAGGAGAAGAUUUUGAAAAAUAAAGGGAAAAAAAUUCAAUUUGUCAUUUUAGCAUUAUUACGAGAAGAAUUUGAAAGAGCAAAGGAAAAAAAUCAAUUUGUCAAAUUUCCCUAGUGCAUUGUUAAAUCAUCUUUUACCAAAUUAAUGUAAAAGAGCAUCAUGAAAUUUAAUCUAGUCAUUGUCUAUGUUAUCAUCAUUCAUGCAAAUAUAUAUUGAUUGACAAUCGCUAAACUACGUAUGUGAGGCUACACAAUGAUCACCGUUGUGCACGUCAUGUGUCAAAAUCAGACGAAUUCCGAAGAACUUUAUUUCAUCAGUCGUUAUUUUUGUGUUCAAUUGCAGAUUUUACUGCAAAAAGUAAAAUUACAGAUAAAUCGACCACACUGAAUUUUAACACAUAAUUUGGAUUCCUUGUUUUUGCUUCUGUUUUUGAAAAACUGUUUUUCACAUUCCAAAUGCUACAGUAAAUGUGUAUUUCCAAAACAACUCAAAAAAUACCAUAUCCAAACAUUAUAUCAAAAACAACUUCAUAUGUAUAUUUCAAUUAUGUAUAUUAUAUAUAUAUUAUAUUAAUUUAUUUCAUCAGUCGUUAUUUUUGUGUUCAAUUGCAGAUUUUACUGCAAAAAGUAAAAUUACAGAUAAAUCGACCACACUGAAUUUUAACACAUAACUUAGCCCAAAUUUUUUAUUUUUAAAAAAGGUUUGCAUACCCAAGCCCAAUCUGUCGACCCGCCCUUUCGGCCCAAAACAAAAAUUGGAUUAGCACUUAUUUUUGGGGUACAAAAGAAUUUAUGGUUUCCUCGAACAAGAACUUUUUCUGUGAUCAAAACGGAGCAUCAGCAGUACUCUGGUUGGACAGGGGAAGAUGAUGAUGGCCUUAUCCAUUGCUGCUGCUGUUGCCUCCCCAGCUCAUCAUCCAAAGCAAACUCUAAAACCCCUUAAACCCCUUAAGCCCAUACUUGGUCUUCCACUUCGCAUAAGUAGCCGGCUCUCAGUUCCCAAGCUUCAUCUUUCCGACCACCCCUUUGUCCCUGAGGUACAAUAAUUUAGACUAAAAGGCAAUUACUUUGAAGCAACUAUGUGUUGCUCGUUGCAAGAAAAUGCUACUUUUGAUUUGUCAUGAGUUGAAAUGGGCAGGUUGAAAGAGCAGUGGAUUCGUUGCACUCGGAGUUCAGAGCUGUGGAUAAUCUGGUGGCCCGCAAUACUGCUCGUGUUCUCAAGGCUUUUCAAAAUGUCCGGGUCGGAUCUCAUGUAAGGAGAAAAUGCUCUCCUUCAUUCUUCUUCUUCUUCUUCCUUUCUUUUUUUUUUUGAGGAUUUUGGUGGGAUUUUAGCCACAAUGCAGAAUGAUGCUUAUGUCUCAUACUGUUCUGGUUUAUUUUCUGAAUUUUGGCGCAUGAUUAUAGUAUAGUUACUUGCAAAGUAAUCAGAGAUUAGGACACAACUGACAUUUUUUUGAAGCUUGAGUGAGGGUAAUUAAUAAAGUCAAGUCUUCAGCUUAUCUUAACUUAAAUUUGGCCUAGUUGGUUGUUUUCUUCUUUCUUUAACAGAAGUCAUAUUCUCGAUUAGAAAGAAUUCUCUGCUCCACGUUGUCGAUUUUAAAGCCAAAUUCCUAGUAAUCGACCUCUCUUCUCUUCUCUGAUUAAGAAAGACCUCUUCCACCUUUCAUUGGACGUGUAGUCUGCUCUUUUUUCUUUUUUCUUUUCCAAUGGGCUAAAACAAAAGUAUUGGCAACAUUUGUAGAAUUUUAAUCCACGUCUUUCAAUCUAUUUUGUCGUCAUGAGAAUCUUCAGAAAAAGUGUUAUAAAUCAGGGAAGUUUACAUCUAUUUCAUACGGAAAGAGUCAGCACACAUCAAAUUGAGCAGUCUGUUCAAGUACUUGCCUGAGGCAGUGCCAUGAUUGUCAAUUACGGGAAUUUAUGGUGCAAUAUUAAAAUCUUCUUUGAAGUCAAAAGUUUGGUUGUAUUUUUCUUGUGUAGAGGUGCUGAGUGGGAACCAGAGAAGGGAAAAGAGAAGUUGAUUUUUUUGUAACGAUUUCUAUGAAAAUGAUUUCAGUAUUUGUGGAAGCUAAGGAAAACAUUACGAAUAUUUUAAUAUAGAAUAAAAAUAUCAAUAUUUGUUUGAAUAACUCAGAAAUAGGAAUUGUACCAUUACACAAUGCCUCUUACACAUGGUUUUGCUGAGGCGGAACUGGAAAAUUGCAACUUGCAGCUUACCGAUGUUGUCAUGUUUACAAUUUAUAAAUGACUGCAAGAUAAAUUUAGCAAACAUGGCAAUCGUUCUAUUCUCGAGUACCAGGAAACACCAGCAUAUGGGCACUUGUUGUCCUUGUUAAAUUCCACGAAGUUAAUUUGACUUUGCCAACCAUUUUAUUGGCAUUAACUGUACAUCUUGCACCUGCUUCAGCACUUUAGUAGUAGCACUGGCUAUGGACAUGAAGAAGCUGGAGGACGUGAAGCCCUUGACCAAGUUUUUGCAGAAAUUUUCGGUGCUGAAUCUGCCAUUGUUCGAGCACAGGUUUACCCUGCAUUGAUUGUUAAUAUUUGUAUGCUUCCAUGUUAGAUUGGUUCCUUAAUUCUGUUAAUGUUUUCGUUCAUCAGUUUUUCUCAGGUACCCAUGCCAUUACUUGUGCUUUGUUUGCCUUCCUGAGGCCUGGGGAUGAGGUUAGCAGUUCUUUCUCUUUUCCUUGUUUUUGAGUCUCAACCCAAAAUCAUAAUACGGUUAUGUUGAUUUAUUUAUCAGCUUCUAGCAGUUGCCGGUGCUCCUUAUGAUACAUUAGAAGAAGUUAUUGGAAUCAGGGACUCUCAUGGAGUGGGCUCUUUGAAAGAUUUUGGAAUAGAGUAUAGAGAAGUCCCAGUAUGUUGCUGUUCUCGUUCUCAUGCACGUAUGUGCAUGUUGUAAAGUUCUAUUCUUCUGAUUUUUUACUCAUUGGACCAUGCUCAGCUUAAGGAGGAUGGCAGCCUUGAUUGGGAUGCACUUAAGCUUGCUGUAAAAUCGAAGACUAAAUGUGCACUCAUUCAGAGGUCGUGUGGUUACUUAUGGCGUCACAGUUUGAGUGUUACUGAGAUAGGAAGGGCCAUAGACAUUAUCAAGGUAAACCUUCAGAAGUUCCACUAGAUGAUAUGAUCCUACUCUGUGGACCAAGUAAUCAAUAGCUAUCAACGAUGAGUAAGGAUGUGAAGCAUAAGUCCUAUCAUUGUGUCCUUGCAACACUUAGAAAUUAAAUUGGAGUUACAUUGACACUGUUAAUGUGAUAUCCUCUUGACGUCUUUGACAAUUGCCUGAAUGAGCUAAAUCUUCCUGUAGAUUUGCUAAACCGUGAAUUAUUUAAGAUUCUUACUGAACUUUUCCAUUGUUAGCCUCUUCAUUUUGUUUUCCUGUUCAUGAAGGAUUUGUACGUGCAGGUGCAGAACCCUAACUGUUUGGUCAUGGUUGAUAAUUGCUAUGGUGAAUUUGUGGAGAAUAUUGAACCUCCUAUGGUUGUAAGUUGAAAGAUUUUUUUUUAAUCGUCUCAUUUACAUUCUUGUUGAGGUACAAGUAAAUUAAGUGAACUGAGGGCAGGGUGCAGAUCUAAUUGCUGGGAGUUUGAUAAAAAAUCCUGGUGGAACAAUCGCUCCUUGUGGUGGUUAUGUUGCUGGUAAGAAGAAAUGGGUGGAAGCAGCAGCAGCUCGUCUCUCAGCUCCAGGACUUGGUGUUGAUUGUGGUUCAACACCUGGUGAUAUAAUGCGAACUUUUUUUCAGGGUUUAUAUCUUUCACCUCAAAUGGUUGGGGAAGCAGUUAAGGUGCAUUAUCUUUCGAAUUAUGUGAAUAUCAUGUUUUGACCUUUCCAACCUUGAAUAAUGGGUUUGUUUUGUCUACAAGGGAAGCUUUUUGAUUGCUGAAGUCAUGACAGAUAAAGGAUACAGGGUGCAGCCUCUUUCUCGGAUUCCACGUCAUGAUACUGUGCAGGUUUGUAUAUGGAUAUCAGUGGUGCAUCUCUAUUCUGUUGUAUCUGUGAUAGAAGAUGAUUGCUCAUAUUCUUCAAGUGCACACCUUUGAGUUGAUUUCAAACAUGUAAUUCUACGGUAUGGUCGACGGCUAGUCUAGCAGCUCCAUUUGCAAGUGUUGUUUUGUGCAACAAUUCAUGGGACCUCUAAUGUUGAUAAUUCUAUCCCUAGAUAUGAUUGAAAGGAAUUGGUGCACCACUGAUGCACAUGUGAUACUUCUUAGGCUGUGCAACUUGGAAGCCGUGAACUUCUGCUUGCUUUCUGUGAAGCUGUGCAAAGAAGCUCUCCAGUAGGUUCCUUCACUCGGCCAGUUGCAGGAGCAACUCCCGGCUAUGCGUCGGAGGUAAAUGCCAAUUUCUGUCUUUUUCAUCAUGAACUGAUUCAGGGAGACUUAGUAUAGGGUUUGUACAAGCACAUUGCUGAAUGGGAUUACUUAAAUGUGUGAAAACAGGUGAACAAAAAUGCUGUGAAUCUGCAAUUGGCUUAUUUUAUUUACCUCUCCAGUCUUAGGUGCACUUAAGUUGAAUGCUAUGUUCGUACUUACCACACAUUGCCAUAGCUCCCAAAGUAGCUCAUACAUAAACAAAGUCGUGACAAAACAGAUCAAAUCUUUCCUUGAAUGUGUUCUUUUCCAAUGUCUCUUCCUCCCAAAAUCUCAGGAGACCACAUAAAUAUUAUGGUGUAUUCUGGUUAUUCAGCUUCGAAUAUAAUUUGUCUGACUUUCUUUUCUGGGUAUUUUUUAUAUGAAUCUUCCUCUUAUUUAUUAUGUUAUUUCAAUGCACUAUUUAAGUGCCAAUAUUUGAAAAAAGUUGUUUGGAUAGAGUAUUAUUCCAAAUAAUUAUUUGGAAUAAUUACUGUAGCACUUUUUUGUGAUGUGAUGUAUGUGCGAUAAAAAGGUGGAUUGGGAAAUAUGUUUAUGAUGCAAGCGAAAAUUUUUUUUGGAAAAAUUUGUUAUCCAAACAUUUGUAAAUUUUGCAGAUAUAUAAAAAAAAUUUUAAAAAAAUUUGCAGAUAUAGGCAUAAUGGGUUCUUAUGAUGACCUUUGUAGCAUUUUCAAUAAGAAACAAGAAAAAUUUCGUCUUGGCUUUUAUAGACAUUCUUUCUUUUGGUGUAAGCAGUAAAUCUGCUACCAAAUCCAGGAAUAUAGUCUAUACAUCCACUUAUGGUGUCUUAAGAUUUCGGUUCAUCAUUUUGACAUAUUUCUGAAAAAGAAAUCUGCAACUCUGACAAUUACUCAUGGUUUAGGUGAUUUUUGCUGAUGGGACGUUCGUUGAUGGGAGCACAAGUGAACUCUCAUGCGAUGGGCCAUUACGGGAGCCCUUCUGUGUUUUUUGUCAGGUUGGUGCACAUGACCUCCAUUAUCCUCAUUUUGGGAUACCAAACUGGAGACAUUUCCUUUAAGAUAUAGCAGCCUUGAAACAUUUGACUUUGUUUAAAACGUCUACAAAUCAUGGAAUGCUAAACUGCUUCUUCAAAUAAAUUUCAAUGCAGGGUGGCACUCAUUGGACACAAUGGGGACUAGUUUUAGGGGAAGUUUUAAAACUUUUGUGAUAGAGAGUUGGAAUAAUUAAGAAGGGUGCUUUGAAGCAUGAUCACGACAUAUUGGUAUACCACAUGAGGUUAUAAGUGGCCAUGAAAUGACAGCCAGCCUAAAAAGGACUGUUCAUUUGCUGUUAUGACGUGAUCUUACAAUCAGCUGGAAUAAGGUAACGGACCUAAUGAAUAAUUUUCUGCCGUGCAAUACUCUAAAACAUGAUUCAUGAUCGUUUUAAUCAUCUAAAUUUUGGGCUUGACCUUUCUAUAUGUCUUAGGCUCUACCGGUGGGAGAACCAUAAACUUGGUCGGAGUCUUUUGAGUAUAUUGGCAGAGGCAGGAAAAUAGUGGUUAUCUGAUUGUUCUUUAGCUACCAAUUUUGAAAAGUUGUUUCCCUGUCUUUAGCUCUUAGCCCAGCUUUAUGCUGGUUUUGGGUGGCAACAUUAUAGGGUAACCAUGACCUUAGAUGUUACAUGAUAAACAUGAUUGCUUCCCUGUUAUAUCUGGUAACAAGAGGGAAUAAGUGUUGAUUCUGGCAUAAAGCCUGUUUCUCUCUUUUGGUAUUAAGAAAGAAGCCAAUUAAACAGGUUCGUGUACCCUUAAUAUGGUAAUAGUACUUGAGAACAGAGACGGGAAUAAUAGUUCAUGGAGGAAAGUUUUAAUUUUAAGCAGUGUGAUGGAAAGGGAUAUGGAUGUUGGAUCCAUUUGGCAUCUUCUUUGACUGUUUGUGCAUGUAAUAGUUAUUGUUUGAUUCGUUUCUGGUUAAAAUUGUCAGGGUUGUGGCUGCUUCAUGAAGCAACAAAAUGUUCAAGAGAUAUUCAUAUCUCAGGUGGUGGAUAAUUACAAUCUGGCAGUCUCUAUUUUCUUCUCCACCUCCCCAAAACCCCCUCCUUUCUUGAUAUUUUUCUGCAGCAUAUGCUCAAUUUUGUCUCCACACAUUCUUCUAGAAACUUGUCUCUCUCUUUUUUUUUUUUAAAGAUAUAUAUUCUCCUAGAAAUGUUAAUGUGUCGGCAGCAAAAUUUUUUAGCAAAUUAUAAUGCAGGAGAUUUGGGGUAUCCCAAUUUUGUUUCAACAUGAAAAAAUCUCCCUUCUGGUUUCAAGUUUGUUUGUUGUGUUGUAGUAGUAGUUUACUUCCGUUAUCCUACUACAAACUCCAGAAAGUAAUUAUAAAUCCGGUCCAAUUUGUGUCAAGUUUUUUGGUUAGCACAUCAUCAAAGGCACACUUUUCACUUAGUCAACAUCACACCAUUGAGCAAAACUUAUAAUUGUGUGAAGCACAGAUUCAAGAAAGACUCGAAGCAUUUUUGGUAAACCAGAUUGGCUUCCUAUCUACCUGUGAUAAUCUAAUCAAAUCCCUCCAGUUGCUUCUACAUUUUCAAGGAAAUUGUUUCAAGAAUUCGUAGCAAAUAAUUCAGGAAAAGAAACGAGCAUGAAUACUCGAGACAGACUUCCAUAUGGUCCACUUUUGGUUUCGUGUAGCGUCUUUUUGCUUUGUUGUUAGCGUAUAAUACUCUCUUAAUGGUUGAAUGAUCGCUGUCUUCCCCGCUGUUCCUUUCAAGACGUGCCCAAAAAUGAGAAGCAUGCAGCAUCUCUAUCAAAUCUUCAAUCUGAUUCUUGCAGCCAUACGGAAAACCUUCAUUUUCAUUUGUAUUCGUCCCUGAUCCCCGACAAAAGGGAAUAUUAGAUCGGUUCCCUUCAGGUUUUGCAUAAUUACAAAAUUUUCCCUUUUAAAAGUUCCGAAGUGAGAAUAGGUCCAUGUAAUAUUGAAUCAAUUCUUAACCACAGAUUCCUCAGUGAGUAACGUUACAUUUGUAUUGAAUCAAUUAUUUCUAUCAAAGUAUCAAAGUUCUCAGCUACCUAAUGCCAAUUAAACUCAAAUAAUUAGUAGUCGAACUUAAAUUUUAAGUAAAAGCUUUUAGAAUAUGAUCAUUUAUACACGUGUAAUGUAAUAGAUGUUAAAAAAGUAACAAUACGGUAAACUUGAUGAGUCCGCGACUCAAGUCAACUUGAACUUCUGGAUCGAUCUGCCUUGAGCAUUUCUUUUGGUCAGUUCACUCAAACAAGGACAUGAUUGAAAGUAGGAAACUUAAUUGGGAGUAAUUAAAAUUUUAGUAAGAAGAAGGGACGGAUUUAGUCCAAAUAACGUCUCGAGAUCAGCAACAAUAAAUAAUACCGCGAGUACUUACUCAGGAUUCAGGAGUACAACGUGGGGUGGGACCGACGCUUACGAUUGCUAUACGAUUCUUCAGCUACUGUUGAAGGCGCGUUUUUUCAAUCGUUAACAAGUCCAAAUUUUCUUUGUUUGUCAGUUUUCCCCACUUUUCUUUCGGAAAUUCCCAAGCUGUAGUUGGACUUAUUCACGUACAAAUGGGUUUUUAAAGAAAUUCGUUCUGAAGUAGUGGUUGAUAGGGGGUAGAGGAGUAAUUUUAUGUUUCAGACUUGCACAGGCCCACAGUUCGUCGUUGCACAUCUACUUGUUAUCAUAUCAACCCAUUUCAGCUUUGAUUGCAUUCAUCUGUUGAUCAAUCGCAGCUGGAAAGUGGCAACCCUGUAAGUGCAAUUCUUGAGAACUCUCCGUUUUACAUCAAUUUUGAGGUUGGCUCGUGUAAUCUCUCAUUUUUGUGAUAAAUCAGAGAACUUGAAGUAAAAUUUUGUCUUGAAAUGAGCGAUUCUUGUGUAAGACUGGGAAAGUUUAAAAUCUGCUGUGCACUGAAUGUGUUGACUUUGUUGAUGUGCCAUAGUUGAUGUUUUAUAUUGAGAAGAUUUAAACUGAUGAUUGUUAAAGAUCCUGUUCUUUUCUUGCAAAUCAACUCAUGAAACUUGAGCUACAUUCAGAAGAUUUUAAGUGAUUAUUGUUACCGAUCAUGUUCUUUGCUUGCAAUUAGCUUAUGAACUUUGAGCUCUAUUGAGAAGAUUUGGGGUUAAGCACAAUGAAGUGGAUAAUUCCUGAAGAAAUUAUCCAGCUCAUGUUGGCUUCCCUUUUUUUUAUUAUAUAUAUAAAAAAAAAUUGAACCUUUUGCAGUUUCAGAAGUGCUACGAUGAGCAAAUGGCUCGAGACUUGAAUCAUAGGAACUGCAAGAAAAGCUUUUAUGAGGUAGUUGGUUAGGCAACUGUGAGUGUUGAAGAACUCUUUGGGGAAAGCCGGGGUCUUAUGAGCGUGAGGAGACUUCUUUGAUCGUAUGUUUAAGUAAUUUCAUUGGGUGUAUGUUAUCACCGUUGGUUUUCAGAUUAAAGGCUGCUCAACAUUGACCCAUGGUUGAGCGAGUCAUUGCAUUUCGAUAUAUUUCUGGUUAAAAAAUUUUCUUUCUAGAGUUGAGCUGCAUUGUUGGCUCUGUAUCUUUCAAAAAUCUGCACAGUGAUUGACAAAAGUUGCAUGAUGGAGCAGCGAUCUGUUAAAUAAUUUUGGAUUAGCAUACUUCUACAUUUAGAUGAAUAUCAAAUGUUCCAGUGUUGAUUAGUUGCUAUAUUACGCCAUGAAUGUUGAAUAUUACAACCUCAGCUGCGAUGUUGAUUUAUGAUUCUGGAUGUAAUUGACAAGAACUAAAAUCUUUUACUGCUAAUGAUUUUUCAUUUUCUCCUUUCGAGUUACAGAUAUAGCCAAAAUGGAUCGAGGUCAACUCACCUUCAUGGGAUCUACUGUAUGUGUUAUGCUCACCCUGCAUUUCACCAUACAGCUUCUGACGCAACACUUCAUGUCUUGGAAAAAGCCAAAGGAGCAAAUAGCCAUAGUUAUCAUCAUCCUCAUGGCUCCCAUAUAUGCCAUUGACUCAUAUGUUGGCUUGUUAGAUCUUCUUGGAAGCAAACCAUUUUUCACUUUCUUAGAAUCUGUCAAAGAGUGCUACGAAGCUCUGGUAAGCCGUUUUGUAGCCAAAGAGCAGAUUGUCCACCAUCUGGUUUUGUUUUCUCAGUUUCUUGGAUCUAUGGUACAUUUGUACUCCUGCAUUUCAUUCCAAUUUUGCUAACUUUCUCUUUUCAUUUUACAUAGGUGAUGGCUAAGUUCUUGAGUUUGAUGUACACAUACUUGAACAUAUCGAUAAGCAAAAAUAUUGUGCCAGAUGAAAUUAAAGGACGGGAGAUUCACCACUCCUUCCCAAUGACACUUUUUAUGGUAGGGUUGUUUGAUUUCAGUUCAAUUUUUUGUUUAGUCCUGGCUUGUUUUUGGCAGAAACAUCUUUCCCACAGUGAAGAACGCGGUUUGAGUGUGCAGAUCUUUUUUAAAAAUAAGUAUGCUGAGUGUUGCUUGCAAGGGAUGAGAAAAAAUAACAAGUUGUGCAAAAGGUUACUGUAUCUCUUGCUUUAGCAAUUAGAUGUAGAGCUCACGAUGGGUUGCUUUCUUGUUUAAUAGUUGUUUCCUUAAGAUGAGUCAGUUUCUGAAGGGCCACACACCCAUGAUUGUUUACAGUCACUAAUUAUAAACUGUCAGUAUGACUAAUUAAGCUCCGUAUGCCAAUCGAAAGGCACUGAAGAUCAUGGCCACUUGAGCUCUAUCACUUGGUUAUCUAUUGUUCCUUGAUCUCAUGGCCAAUGUCACAUGCCUAAUCUGCUGUUUAUAUCUAUUGCAGCCUCACACUACCCGUUUGGACCAUAAUUCACUGAAGCUUCUCAAGAAUUGGACGUGGCAGUUUGUUGUCCUUCGCCCUGUGUGCUCCGUCUUAAUGAUUGCUCUUCAAUUGCUUGGCUGGUAUCCUGAUUGGGUCAGCUGGAUAUUCACCAUGAUUCUAAAUGUAUCCGUUUCAUUGGCAUUGUAUUCCCUUGUGGUUUUCUACCACGUUUUUGCUAAAGAGCUGGCACCACACAAACCCCUUGCGAAGUUCUUAUGUAUAAAAGGGAUUGUUUUCUUCUGCUUCUGGCAGGUAAGCUUGCCACAGUACCUGUCAUAAAGUUGCUCAUAACUUUAGUUUGAAAUGGAGAACAAACUAUAUUGCUUUUUAUCAUGCAUGGAAGAAAGACUAUUUCCACAAUUGUCUAUAAUUAUGGGCAUAUUUGGUAAUGUACUGCUGGUAAUUAGUCUGGUUUGUCUUCUUAUAAUGUUCUGGGGCUAUUACAAGUAACUUGUGGAAGUUCUUCAAGGGGCUUGUAAGUAGUUGCUAGGACACCUCUUAGCCUGUUUUGACAGCCAUUUUUUCUGUGUGGCAUUGGUGCAUCUUGCUUUCAUGUCAUUGUUCUUUGUCACACCUUGUGCUAAUUAGCCGCGCAACUUGAGCAUAAAUAUACAAAAGAAAGCGAUACUGCUACAAUUAGGCUUAAAUGUAAUGAGCUCGGACAGGGUACAACUGAGUGGUUGAAUAGGAAGUGCAUAGCAUACCUUCUACUUUCCUUUUUGCAAGUGAUGAACUAUCUAGUUUCCAUAUAUUUGUUAAGCCAGCAAAUUUUAUCGCUUUUGCAGGGUUUGCUACUCAGUGGUCUUGUGUCCGUUGGCAUAAUCAAAUCUACUCAUUUCUGGCUUGAUGUGGAGCAUCUUCAGGAAGCUCUUCAGAAUGUCUUGGUGAUUGUGGAGAUGGUUUUCUUCUCCAUUGUUCAGCAGCAUGCAUAUAGUGCUGAACCGUACCGUACUUACUCAGUUUCGGGUUCUGGAGACAAAAAAAAUGAGUAAAUGAGUAAAAGAAAUUUUGAAGGUAAUUUUGGGGCAUCUCAGUUCCUCUCUGUAUUUUGUCUGGAGAUUUUUUGUGAUGUUGCCUAUCUUUAAGCUGGAGAUGAUAUUACCCUUAAUUUGGGAUACCAUCAGCAUCUUAGCAAGAGUAGUGGGAUUGCAAUAUAUUAUUUCUAAUUCCUGAUUAUACUGUGCUAAUUAGUUUUAUUUACAUUUCUCUUGCGUUGGUAAUAAAUUAUUGGAUGCAGAAUAGAAAUAAGUAAGAUGGUGAAGGUGAUAUUUGUGGUGUUCGCCAUCCUUCUGUCAUUUUAAUGCUUCUAUCAUGAGGAUAUUUACUCAAUAACUAAUAGGCGUCAACAGUUGCCUUUACUAAUGAAAAAUGAGGCAGAUAAUUAAACAUAAGAGAUUGGGACUUGGGAUAAUUUGACAAUAUUUCUGUUUAAAUAUCCUUGUCUGUUUUCCCAAUCAUUUCCUUUCUGUUUCUUUACUCCAGAGCUUCCUUGUAAACAGCCAUAUAGCUGGUCUUCUACACUUCGCUUCCUCAUCUUUGGUCCUUAGUUCAAUUUGUCCAAUUUAUCUCUCUCUUGGGGGAUUGUCAUUGAGGGAAAGGUAAUUCAGGUCUGCUAAUGCUGCCUGCAUCUAAAGCAGUCAAGUUCAGUAAUGGCGCGCUUGACUAAUGCAAUGCAUCCUUAGCAGCAAACAAGAGAAGAGACUGAUAUACUUGAAAAUGUACGCUAAUGAAAAGAUCUGCUCUAGUUAGGAUGCCUGGGAAAAGGCCUAAAUUCCGCUCUUCACGUCCGCUAACUGUCAUGAGAUACCCGUAAAGGAAAUGAGCAAUGGUUGUAUACCAAAACGACUAAUGCAAAGUCAGUGGAGCAUUGCGCUCAUCAUAUGUUCAUCAACAACGAUGGGAUUUUUCUUUGUUAAUCACAUUGAAAGAAGAAUAUAAAUUUUGUACAGCAGAAUCGGAGAGAAGUGAACAGAUCAAAUACGCUGUAGACAAGGGAGAUUUUCUCUCUCUUUCAGUCUAUGGAGACGACUCAGGCAAGGUAUUGGGUUGGUCAUCCAUCGAGAGGAAGCACGCAACAACAAAAUGGGAAGACUUCACGCUUAAUGCCUAUAACCCCAAGGCCAUGAUAAUGAGAGCUCAUGUUCCCCUUCCAUCUCAGAUAUAUGAACACAAAAAUUUGGAAGGAUGGAUGGAUCAAGCCUCGCAUCCAUUGUACUCUUGCUUUUUGAUAUGGUUAGAGAUUUUCUCUCUAACCUUCCACAACUAAUUAUGAUACAACCCGCAUUUUCUUUGUCCAAUAGUGAGAAUAUUCAAACUCGUCCACUACUCGAUUGUUAAUACAUAGAUUGUUGUUUUCUUUAAAUAAUUGCACGUAUGUAGUUCUAAAGAUCACUAGAAAAUGUCCGAAGUAGGUUUUUUUUUCCUUUCCUGUGAAGCAAGACUUUUACUAUAAAUAUACGUAAAAAUAUAUAAAAAAAAAAGAUUUAUAACUCUCCUCAUAAAUUUGUAAAAGUUCUUAAUGUGACUCUAGAAUCAAAUUUGACAAGUACUUACUAAUACUUCCAAUAUCUCUAAAAUAUACUCUUUUGUUUUCUCUUUCCUCUUCUUCCUUUUUUUCACUCUAGGAAACUGAAGGUUUUGUUUUUUUUUCUUUUUUUGGGAAAAGAGAGGAGAGAGGGGGGGGGGGGGUUUAAAUAUAGUACAGGGCGAAAAUUACAAAAGAAUCUUUUCAAGGGUUCCAUUUACAAAUAAUGGCAAAGACAAAUUGGUUGGUAUUCGGCCCAAAAGAUGCCGUCCAUCAAUGAAAAUGAACCGUGCUUAGAAGAAGACGAUUCUGCACUGAAAUCGCAACCCUUUCAGAAGUUGUGUUCCCUUUCCUCCGUCUCAGUAGCCGUUGGAGGAGCUUCUCAAAGCUCUCAGCUCAUUCCCUCCUUUUUCAUCACCUCUGCAAAAUUCCCGCCUAAGUUACACUGAUCUUCUCUUCAUCUUUUCAAUUCAUCCUUCAAAACCCUAGCUAUGAAUUCCUCAUGAAAUGCUGCUCUUUUGUGCAUUACAUGCAAAUACUCAAAUGGGAUUUUGAGCUUUUGGGCUACUGAGGUAAAUAUCCCGUUUUUCAGUUUUUCUAUUUUUUAUUUUUAAUUUUUUUUGACAAUGAGUUGUGCUUCGAUGUUGCUACGUUCUAUCAAUUUGGGGGUUUUUGUGGAAAACGUAAUUCUGGUGUGAAAAUGUCAACUUUCCAUAGUUUUUGUUUUAGAAUCGUAUGGUUUUGAAUUUUUCACUCUCUGGGCUUACAUAAUAUCUACUUGGAUUAAGUAUAUUUGUUAUUUCAGUUAUCUUUUGAAUCUGGUUUGGAAGUUUUGCUUGAUUUUCUUUUACUUGUUUCAGUUUCAAGAAAAUUUGUGUUGCAAUUGAGGUGAUGCCAGUCUGUUUAGGAUUUUCCAGCGCAAUUAAGAAAUGUUAGUAUGUCGAGAAUAGUUGAAUUUUGGAGGUGAAAAUUUUGCAAUAAAGAGAAUGGCUAGUUCCACACUUUGGCGGAUGUUGAAAUUUCUGCUUUUUAUAUGGUUGCAAUCUAUUCUGAUAAAUUGGCCAUCUUAGCUUGCUCUCAACACUUUAGCAUUUUUAAUUUUACUAUUGCAAAAGCGGAAUGACGGAAAUCUCUUGAAUUAAUUUACAAUAGCAUGUUUCUUUCAAAAUGUUUUUGAAAAAUUAAAAGCUCUCUUUCGAAGCACCUUGCUGGCUGCUUCUCAUAAUCAUCUUUCUUUCAGCUAGACAACAUCAAGGUGACAGCACCUCAAAAUGGAUUUUGGCCUAAAAAAAGCUAUAUUGUGCUGAAUUUAAGAUUCCAGAAUAAGUUGAACAGGUUUUAGCCUAUUUUGUGGGAAUUAGUUUUGGCAUGCUGUAGUGGAAAUAUUUUGACGAGCAAAUUCAUCUGUUGAAGAUGUCAUGAGUUGAUUGUGUGUGCUAGCCCAAUUUGGAUGAUGAGGACGAAUGAUGAUUAACAUUUCCAUGUCUUAGUUCUGAUGAUCAGUUUUGACGAUAGUUUCAAGGUCUGAAUGGCAACUGACACAGCACCAGAUGAGAAAGUUCACACCCAUGAAGAGAAGAUUGAAAGGCUCGAGCACACAAUUGACUACUUAAAGAAAGCAAUUGAAGACCUACAGAGAAGUCAGGAUGAACAAAUGCAGCACUUUGAAGGUCGAUUCCAAAAACUGGAAGGCAUGCAGAGUUGCUCUACCUUGGCAAAGCAACCAAAAGAGUUUCGAGGUGAAAAAAACUUUUGUUACUCUUAAACGAGAGUUCACAUAGAUAUUUUAAACCUUUACUUCUUCAAUAACCAGAGUUGUAAUGUACUGUAACUAUGCAACAAUAUGAUGCCUAGUUUUGGAUUUAGGUACAAAUUCCAAUUUUAAAGUGAGGUUGUGUCGGACCAUGAGGAACUAUAUGUAUGUCGCUGUUGACUAUCAGUGAUCGCCAGGCAAAAUUCUCUCUUUGGCAUUAGUCAUUUUUGUUUUGUAUCUCUCUGCAGUAAAGCCUAACACGCAAGAUGAAGUAGCAUAAAAAGUUAGGUCCUAAUCCCUCAUUUUAUUCUUUUGGAUUCCUCAGAAAGGAAUCUUAUUGUAUAAUGGAAGAUUGUAAGUUGUUGCCUUUUUCUUGCACCUAUAUAACUAUCCAACUCAAGGAAUUAUCUUUAAUGGGCGGGACUAUCUGUGGUUGAGUACAAAAUAGGAAUGAAUUUCCAGUGACCCACUUUAUCACAAGAACCCAUUAUUCUCGAGGGUACAUAAAUGAGACUUACAUGCUUUAUCAGACACUUGCUAAUAUCUUAUGCUUCCAGGACUAACAUUUGAUCUAUUGUGCCCAUGUAAUAAAAGUUCAUUUACCUACAUCAAACAGUCGUAACUAAGAUAAGAAAUCGAAUGUAUCACUUAAUUUGGGUUGCAUUCUUUGAGAAGGAUUCUCUCUCUGUAUCAAUGUUGUUUGUACUUGUGUGUUUGUUUAUUUAGUGCAAUAGUGCAUUACAAUGUGUUAUACAAACUAUGCAUAGUGCUUCAAAUUCAUUCAUUGAAGAGGAUCGAACUGACUUAUGACUUAUGACUUAUCCUUUACAUUGGAAAAAUGAUCCAGUAGUUUGUCAAAUUAUGGUGCUACCUCUCUUCCAUAUUUUAUGGCAAGAUGAAUUUGGAAUGACGUUCUUCAUGAAAAUUGAAGAAUUAAUGGGUCAUUGAGUGUCAAGCCUACACAUAAAUGGAUAUGAUAGUGCUUUAAUCAUCAUUUCUGUUUGGGAAAGUUCAAAAUUUUUUCCUAGCAAGCAGCAUAAAUAGUAUUUAUGGAAUAACAAAUACCAAUAUUGGUCUUUAUAGAUCCUGGGUUCAUGUUUCUUUAUAUGCUUAAAUCCCUAAUAUAUGUUGAAAGUAUUGAAAAGUUGCACUAGAUGAGUAAAAAUUUAUCUGGAAAGAAGAAGAAAACAUGGACACUGUUUUUUUGACAAAAUCAAUUUCAUUUUUCUGGUCAUAGUGUAACAUGGUUCAGAGGAAUAUUGAAGCCUGAGAUUUGUCACAGUGGUGCCUUAUGUAAAACUAGAUUUAGAUAUGGAUUUUUUUCUGAUCUUAAUACUCAGUUUUCAUGUAUGGAGAUAGCUAACUAUUUUCCAGGUACUAAAGUAGUGAUGGACCGUGGGGCUAAUCAUGACUUGCAUCCAGGACCCAUAGAUGAGUCUGUGCUGACUCUGCAGUAUGAUCAUAGGUCCACAGCCAUAUGGCGUGGUCAAGAAUUUGAGCCACUUACAUGUAGAAGGUGUGAUGGUGCAUUCUGGCGAUUAGGUGAAUUAGAUUCUCGUAUACAGUGCUUGAUGAUCCAAGCUGGCUUCUAUGGUGUGUAUAAGGCGGGUCAUAUACAAUUAGAUCAUGCUUUAAUCACAGCACUUGUUGAGAGAUGGCGCCAAGAAACUCACACGUUUCAUCUUCCUGUUGGUGAGGCUACUGUCACUCUACAGGAUGUCUCUAUCAUGUGGGGCCUCCCAAUUGAUGGUGAGCCAGUGACUGGGCAUGAUAUAGCUCGGACCACAGAGGAGUGGCAAGAAAUGUGUGAGGAACUAUUAGGAUUUAGACCGCCAUUGAGUGCUUUUGACAGUGGGCGCCUUAAACUGAAAUCCAUAGAGGACCAUUUUGAGGUUGAGCCAUUACAGCCAGAUGCCCCAGAUCAUGUAGUGCAAUUCUUUGCUAGAGCACGCAUACUACAGCUUCUUGGUGGUUUAUUGCUGCCAGAUGCAUCAAAUAAUAAGGUAAAACUAAUGUUUUUGCCUUUGUUAAGGGAUUUUGAGGCAGCUGGCAAGCUUAGUUGGGGUAGUGCUGUCCUUGCUUCAUUAUACCGUGCUCUAUGUCGGGCUACUAAAUCAAAUGUAGAUGGUGUAUGUGGGCCUCUAGUUCUUCUACAGGUUAGUAUUUUACUACGAUAUGACUAUGAACAAUCACCAAAUGUCAUGCCUUGCUCGUUCUUGUUUCUCGUUUAAGAAUGCUGUUUGAAAAACCUCAUAGUUAUGGGCAUGGGAGAGAAUACCGCUCAUCCGUCCUGAGAGAUUAGCCCCUCGACAGCAGCCACCAUUUUUUGUGGGGGACGGAGAUCAGCCUUUACCUGCUGGACCUUAUGGCGCUAGGUAUACAACUUGGUAUUGUUGACAAAACGCUCUCAAGUUAUUUUCUAUUGACAUUUUUACUUUAUAAGAAUGGAUCUAUUUGCAGGUGGGAUGUUGGAUUUAAGCUGGAAAAGGUGGGAAUGCAUGUCUUGGUUGUGUACAGGGACAUGUUGGACUGCAUGAAGGAUGACCAGGUUUUUACAAAAUUAUGUUCUUAAUCUACAACCAGUCUUUUUUACAUUUCUGAUACACUUUCUGAUUGAAUAAGCUUGUAUCUCAUUUAUGUGUAAACAGAAUAUCAUUUUCCCUUUUCACCUUUCUUCUAUAAGGAUUUUAAAUUGCACACAUUCUAAUUAUUGGAGUUGCUGCAGUUUGUAUGGCAGCCCUAUGCAGAUAUCAUCACCAGUUUGCCUGACUGCUGCUUAUCUGGACGUGAUAUUUGGCAAACAGUUUCACCUCUUAUAUGUUUUGAUGUCGUAGAACUGCAUUAUCCAAACCGUGUGUUACGUCAAUUUGGUCAGCACCAGGGUAUCCCCGCCGAAUGUGACACUAUUAAGGAACUCCAUUCCGUUGAUCGACGGGGAAGACAAAACACUGAUUGGGUCCAACACCACAAGCAAUAUGUGGACAUGUGGGCAGACCGCCAUGCCCGUGUAGUCUGUGAAUCCCCAGUUGAUGGUCCUAUGGAUUAUUCAGAUCCAUAUAUGAUUUGGUACAGGCGGAUUACCCGUCUACUAAUUGGCAACCCUGCAAAUCGUACAGACAGUGGAUACCAAGGAGUUGGGGGCGUUAUUGAGCUCAUGGUAAGAUAAUAUACUAGGAGUUUUUGGUUCUGAAAAUCAUUAUUUCAUUGAUUAUUUAAAUAGUUUGUUUUCAAAAUGUGAACUUAGAGAUUGGUCAUUUGCACAGGCUCAGAGUUUACAACGGAUCUAUUAUCGCUGUAGUGAUGCAAUAGAUCAGGGGGGUGAAGUUUCCAGAUCUGACAUCCUGAGGGAAAUCCAGGAUUUAUGUAAACAUGCUCUAACUGGAGCUCAUGAAGAUCGACGCCUUACUCUGCGACCAGAUCUAGCUCAACCAGCUCCAAUAGCCGCUACCAUUGUUGGUCCAUCACAGGUUAAGCGGCGUAGACCCCGGAGAGGAGGAAAAAUGGGAUUAUCAAUUGGUGAUCGACUAGCAUUCAACUCUGCAGACAUUUCCUCACCUUAUGCGUCAACUCCAUCUUCUUCACUGGCACCACCAUACCAUUCCCCAACACACUCUCAUGAAGUCUUUACACCAGACGCAGAACCAUAUGUUGCGCUGUCUGCAUCUGCAGCACCUGAAGUUGCUCAUGAAGAUUUUUCAUCAGCUGAGCAUUUAGUCACUGUGGGCAUACCCGUAGAAUCCAAGGUUGAACCAGACACUUCAUUAGCUGAGCCUGUGGACACCAUGAAUGUAGCCACAUCCGACGUUUCAAGACAUGAUUCUUCAUCAAUACCCCCAGUCCUGAAUACCACACAGCCCAACAUUUUAGAAUUGGAUAACAUGGUUGGAGCAAUUGCAACAGAGCCAUCGACUGAGAUGUUUGUUACACUGAACUCAACAGUCGAGGAUGAUUUAAUUAUGUCCUGUUUGGAGAAUUCUCAGCGCCCAAAACUGAAGAAAAGAAAGGCCAAAAGUUGACAACUACAGAGAAGAACCCCAGUUCCCAUCUUUUCUUUGCUAAAGUAGUUUGAAGUUGAAGUGAAGUAGAAUCCUUCAUUUCUGUUUGCAGAGUGAAUAUGUUAGUGGCUCUCUAAUUAUCCAUGCAUAUUUUUUGGUUGUUACAUGUAAUUAUGGUUCUUUUUCUUACAGCUGAGUUUCAGCUUUUUACUUUCUUUUUUUCUUUUAUUAAUUUCUUCUUCUUCAGAACCGUUACAUUUUCUGUGAAGUAUCAUUUUCUUUCUCUGAUCAGCAUCUACAAGAGUCGAAACUGAAUUUUAUUGUACUUGACUACUUGCAAAGCAUUUGUGGUUAUUUAAUCAGGCAUUUGGUAAUUGUGGUCAGAAAGAAAUGACAAAUGCCUAAAUAAAGAAAUAUUCAUUUCUAGAUAAAGCCUUAUAGAACCAACGGCCUUUGGACUGUUGGUCACUAUAAAAAUUUAAAAUUUUGAUGGAGUGAAAUAUCAAAGAUUCAAACCUUAACUUUUAUCAUUAUUUCAUGUGAAUUCUUCAAAAUCUAUACGAUUAGACGAAUCUAUUGGAUCCUCUAAAUUGGCCUAACUGAGCCUCCCCUCCCCUCUUAGAAUGGAGGUUAUUAUUUGACAAAAAAAAAAAGAAUAAAGCCUUAAAACAUACAAAAAUUCCAGAAAAUUUCAACCCAAACACAUUCUCAGAAUUUAAUAAGUAGAAAAAUAAGACAAAAUCCGUUAGGCCACGUCGGAAAGGGAAAAUUCUAUCAUCGGUCCUUAUUAGUCUCCAUCCCAAUAAGUUUCUGGAAGAAUGAUGGAGCUAAAAAUAUCCAUGCAUCUCUAUCCUUGCUUCCUCAUCAGUCUUAAUGGACUAUGAAUAGCUCACCUCCACAUUUAAUUAGUCAAACAACUUAAAUUAAUACACUAACAGCUGCCAUGACAGCAUUUCUUCAGAUUUCCACUAAUUUCUCUGCCUUAGACUUUCCACCCCAGGAUUGUUUGAGGAAGCAGAGGCUUCUGGGAUUGAAAGUAUCCGAGCCCAUCAACAUUCGCAGUCUUUCAAGAAGAAAGAUUCGAUUGGUAUGUAAAUAUUGGUUGAAAACAGGAGUUUCCGAGAGGAAAUUGACAUUUUUGAGAGUCAACAGGAUUAAAGAUGGGACUUUUAUCGGAGAAGAUGGGUGGAAGAAGAGCAAGAGGGUAGUGCUUGUGAGAUUCAAUGGCCUUGGUGGUGGCGGUGGAGGUGGAGGUGGCGGUGGCAGAAGAGAUAAUGCUAGAGUAUUGGGGAACCUUGCUUUGGCAAUUGGCUUGAUUUAUCUCUCAGUGACUGGACAGCUUGGUUGGGUUUUGGAUGCAAUUGUUUCUGUUUGGGUAUGGUAACCUGUCUACCUUUAUCUUCCUCUUUUUCUCCCUGUAUCUGUGUUUUUAGUUAGUAUUUAUCUUUCGCCUGUAUUUUUAGUUGCAUUGCGUGACCAUCUGGCAAUCUAUCUGGUACUGCACUUUGCAUCUGCUAAAACUUUGUGUAUGAAACUGUAGGUUUUUGUAUGUGGGGCCUCAUUCCAAGAUUAAUGUGCGUCCUUAAUGUGUUUGUGGAAGUGGGAGCAGCAAUAUGUUCAAUGUAUCGACUUGAAAUUAGUUGCAAAAUUCAUGGAUGACCAGAAGAUGUGAUAUAUUUCAGUCUUUGCUACGUUGUUUUUUUUUUUCUCUACAUUUUGAUUCUUUAAUCAACUAUGAAACGUUAAUUCUUGGAUUUGACAUACGUGGCAGUUUUAUGUACUGGUACAAUUUGCUACGUCCAUAUAUAAGUUCUAAUUGUUGCGUGAUGAAUAUGGGUGAAUCGAUGCCUUCCUGAUACUGAAAAGUUUCUGACAAUUCUGAUAUCAGCUUCUUGCCGUGCUGCUACCAAUUGUGGGAUUGGGAGCUUUUCUCUGGUGGGCUGGACGGGACAUCGUCCAAGGCACUGUGAGUAACCAAACCUCCAAUCUGUAUUUUCUGCUACAAUAGGCCGUUCGCUUGCAACAAGAAGCUUCCUGCUGAGAACAUAUGAUAUAAAGAUGUACCAGUACGUCUGAUAUCACUUUCUGUUGUAUCUGCAGUGUCCAAACUGUGGGAACGUUUUUCAAGUUUUCAAGUAAGAUCAACUCUAACCCUAAGUAUUGAUAACAUUAGUUAUGAAUUCCUUGUUCUUAUGGUUCUUUCUUUGCCUGCUCAUUGAUUUCAGAUCUACGCUUAAUGAUGAUUUACAGCUAUGCCCUUUCUGUAGUCAACCGUUCUCAGGUAACAACAAAUUCCAUCUUGGCCUGCUAUUCUGCAUUUUGCCCAUUUUGUAAAAGCAUUUUACUAAAUUUGUCCAGAAAUUUAUUCUUCUGGAACAUCGCUGUAGUUAUAUGGCUACAGAUUGUGUUUGUGGCUUUGCCAGGCUUCUUUACAUGGUAAAAUACUAGUUUAAUUUUUUAACUUGUGAUCAUUUACUUUACCUUUAUUCAAAUGAUUAGCAAGCUUAGAAUUUUUGUUAAUGAACUAAAAGUUUAUUGACAACAGCUUUUCCCAUAGAAUUCCUUCAUUUUGCUUAUAUUUUGCUGUAAUUGAAAUGAAUUUCUUUUUCAUUAGUCUAAUUUUUUACCAUGGUUUUGCACUGAAACUCCUACACUUCUUACAAUCAUCUUUUAUAGCUGAUAGUCUUCACUAUUGCGAAGAAAGCUCUUCCCCUACCUACAGUGCUCCACCUCUUCCUUUCAGUCAGCAGUAUAUUACCUUGCUUCAAGGGUCAACUCAUGUGCUAUUUAUCUGUUUUAGUGGUAGGAGAUAAGUUUGUAAGAGAUCCGGUAAAGUUUUCCAACCAAUCCACUACUUUUGAGGACGCAUUCAAUGAUUUUUUCCCUCAUGCAAAGAAAGGUUUGUGCCUCUUUACCCUUCUUUAACGCUGUCUUAUGCAUCAGGCAUGCAAGCAGUAUUUGUUUAUUUGUUUUAAGAGCAACAGCAGAACCUGUGAUUCCUGCCAUGGUUUAUGUAAGUUUGCACUUAAGUUAGGAGACAACCUUUGCUUUGGUGCUUGUUAAAUUCAAUAUUGAAUUCUGAACUUAUAUCAGUCUUUACUACUGUAACAACUGUCUCAUGCUUCUGGAAUUGCUGGCCGCAAUAAUUUCCUUUAACAGAUGCACUUAGUUUAAAUUUAUUAAAUGUUAUGUUGAAUUUUGGUCACAUCUAUGCCACUUAAUUUCUAAAAAUAUACUUGUUCUAUUCUGUUUCCCCAAAACCUGAUAUCUAUACAGAAUAUAAUCUUCAGGGUUUAGGGAGCUGGAAAAUGGGGUAAAGAAAAAGGAAUGCCGAACAAAAGGGUAGAAGAAAGUAAAUCAUUUUCCUUAUGAAACUUUCAGUCGCACUAAAUCAGUAUCAUUCUUUUGCAAUUCAAGAUUCAUCUGAACAUAGAACCUCAGUCUUUGGUUAUUUUGAUGCUGGUGUUGAAAUUUGCACUGUGAUGAAGCAUUUAGUUCCAAGUUACUAAAAUUGCUGUCCUUCAAAUUUAAGCACACAAUAUUCCCACUGUACAGGAAAGGAUUCAUCUGUAUCAGUUGUCGAUGUUGAAGCUGAAGUAAAAGAUGCAGAGUAAGGCACCUUUUAUCCCAGACACGGCAUUUGGUAAGAAUCUGACUUUUAAGUCCUUUUUUUUUUUUUCAAUUUCCACUUUUUUGACACACAUGGUACCCAGUGACAGUAAUCUCAUUCUAGAUUGGAACUGUUAUGUUCCUCAUUUUCUAUAGUUACACGUAAGGCAUUUUGGUUAGCAUUUUUGGGGAAAAGCCACUCAUUCUUGACUGAGUCAGUACUCGAUAGUCUAACGUAGAGCAUCUGCAUCUCAUGCCAACUGUUAAUUAGGAUGGAUAAUUACCCACAGGAAUCGCUGGGCAUGGUUCCUACAAAAGAAUAAUAGCGUGACCAUGAGGUCAAAAUGCCUUAAAACCAUUUUUCGCGAAAUAAACUCAAUACUGAUCUUUUAAUAUAUUUUUAACAAUGACUAUAAGCAGUAGUUAUCUUGCUGAAAAGUCACUGUGUGCAGUUUAACUGCACCACUUGUGUCAUCUUGAUCGUGCUUUUGAGAUCUUUUUUGGAGAUGCCAACAGUUUAUCUUAGUUGCUCCUGUCUUCCAUGCACAUCUGCGUGCUCUUCUACUUUAAGCUCUUUACAAUAUAUGCCUACGUAUGAUGUCAAUGGAAAAGCAGGUUGAGCCUGGUAAGGAGAGAGUCUCUUGAUAGAGAUCAUGAUACCCUCUUUGAAUCCUCCCAGGGGCAUAUGGUGUCUCAAAGCAAUGGAUUUAGUUGCAAGCGCGGGUUGUUUGACCGAGCAAAGUGGUUUAUCCAUUCAACUUUCCAGCUAUAAUUCUUGUCACGCAAUGUUUGUCUAGUGUUUCCUUGUUGAAAGAUGGAAAUUUGUACCACUGUCUUCUCUAAAAUUUGGGUAGAGUUGCUGUACAUCUUUUUGCGCCUGUAAGCCAUAUAUGAGAUUGGAAAUGUUACAGGAUUCCUGUAAAAUUAGCUUUUGCUUUCUGUCCUCUGUGAGCCCACUCCGCCAUUCUUUGGCAUUGGAGAAGAGAGGGGCGUAAGAGAGGUUUGUGGGGAGCUACUGAACCUUGAAAGGAGAUUCCAUUUCCAGUGUAGAUAGAUAGAUAGAUAGACUUGUGUUGGAUACCCUCUCCAUUUGUCCAGACAGAUUUGUGUCCCCGGACACAAGCUUGUAUUGGACUCCUACCACGAUGGCCCGUAAGCAUACCUUUGACAUUGGACUAGAGUUUUAGUGCCCAGCUAUAUUUGGGCAGUAACAUCAGUCCUCAACGUUGUAAAACGCUAUAAACGAAUUUGUCACUCGUGGUUUGCCUUAGUCCUACAUGAAUAGUAACUCGGAUACCGGCCAUUACCCCAGUUGACAUCGAUAUCAAUAAUAGGAUAGGAUUACUAUGCGAGCGUGCCACUAUUUAAGAAUGGCAAGAAUACUACCCUGGAAUCUGGAUGAACUAGGACCAUGCUUGAUUCGAAUUUCAAAAAAAAAAAGGACCAUGCUUGAUUCAACACAUUUGAUGCUUUCACAAAUGCCUCUGGCAAUUAAGCCUAUUUAAUUGUAAGUUCCAGUUUCCACGAGUCAAUUAUACAACCGAAAAAGAGUUUCAGAUACUCUUCCGUCAAAACACCAGUUAAACAACAGAAAACUAUAUACAACAACCAGCCGACAAUAUCACAGUAGAAUUAUACAAGGAAAUCAACAGGCGACUUCAUGCAGUACACAGAAUACAUGCUACUAGACAAGGCCAUAAGUCACCUGAUUCUAGAGCCGUGAACGGAUAAAGACCUUCUUCUUGUCAGUCUCUGCAGAAGUUGGAGUCUGUAUAGGCUCAUCAGAGAGCUCUUUCAAAGGCUCCAAUUCCCUUGAACACUCAGCACAUGUCUGGUUUUGCUGCUUCAGUAUAUUUACAUCCUCUUGCAUUUUCUCCAUUUUAGCUUGCAUCUCCUCUGUUGCUACCGUGAGGUCUUGCUUCUUAAUCUCAUUGGAAGGGCGUGAUUUAGGUUGAUCCUUCAGUCCUUCCCUCACUAUCUGAUACACCUGCAUGCCACCUGCAGAUACCAAGUAAAAAGCAUAAACUAUGGCCCCAUUUGGCAAAUGUUCAAGGAAGAUUCAAAUAUCAAUAAAGAAAGCAGCAAGACCAACAGGGGCAAUUUUUUAGGUAAAGUUUCAAGAUGGUGUGAGUAAUCAAAUUUCGAGUCUAAGCGCAAACCAAGUACAUUUCAGCCAAAUCGCUUUCCAGAUGCGAAUUUAAGAACAUCACUCCUACAACUUGAAAGGUCCUAUAAAUCCUAUACAAUAUUUGACUCAUAUUGAACACUUACUAAGAGAAUAAUUUACUGUACUGUGAUAGUGCUUCUAGUGCUUACUGCUCAGUUGGUAACUCUUGGUCAAGUACUCAAGGUUAUAUAUUUCUUCCAGGCAAAAUCCCCUCUGUUCACAGUUCCAUAUUUGGAUUUAAUAACAAUUUGUACCGGAGUCAUAAGAGUCCAGGCUUGGUCCUUUUCUCCAUCUCAAAUUCUCACUGUCAAUCCUAGUAGCAUGAGUCAGCUUUACAUUACACUCAAUGCUCAAGCAGAAAUUUACAUGGCGUAAACAAGUAUUAGAUUAUGUGGUUCCUUCCUCAAAAACUGAUACUGAAACAUGCCUAGCCAAAGCAAAUCAAUCAAUUAUACAAAUAUUUGGGGGAAGAGCCAUAAACAAUCAACAGCAAUCUUAGGCAAUUUUAAUUUUUUAAUUACUAGUUCAAUUAAAUAAUACAGUCCCACCACUUGAAUUUCGUAAUCCAGUUAGAAUCACAUCAAAUUGAAGCAAAAAUUGGAUAUUUAAAGCAAAUAUCAGAUAAUCCGGGCGACAAUUAUCCCUAUUUUAGAGAAAUAUAUCAAUGAAGUAAGAUGUUUGGUACAGGGGAGGAAGGUGUCUGACCGGUGACGCUUUUGAGGCACUUUUCGAUGGCGGAGUCAACGGCGAAUUUGCCAAGGUUAGUCAGAACCCGGCUUAUCUUUUCGCGGCGGUGAGGGCCUGGGAAAUAGUCAUCCAAUUUCUGAGCCCCGUUAGAUCUAACGGCAUCUACGACUUUUGUAGCUCUGGAUACCAAGGCGCUGGCUGGCUGACCGUGGAGAGCUGUAAUUGUAUCGGACGGACGUUUGCUCGGACCGGAAGGUUUUCGGUUUACAAGUCUGGACACACUGAAUUGGAGCUCAUCCCAUAUACCCAUUUUCAAGGGAGAGUGACUAUAGGCCUUUCAGUCUUUCAGAUUCUCUCUCUCCCUUUUUUUUCGUCCGGCCUUCGGCUUUUGUAAUUUAGUACGACUUUUGUAUCGUUUUACUUUUGUUUUUUCUUUCUUGACAUUUUAUUUUGACUUUCCAUAAUCCCCAAAGUCAAAAGUACGCACUUAAUUAUCAAAAUUACUUAGCUGAAAUUAUUUUUAAAUAAUUUUAAGGGAUAUUAUCACUUUACCCCCUUAAUGUCUAUCAAUUUUUCCCUUAAUAUUAUUUUUUAAUCACUUUACCCCCAAGACUAACGGUCAAACUUAAUGGAGUUUGUUAAUUAAAGUGGAAAGACAUGUUUAACCCUUAAAAUUAUUGUCACUUUACCCCCAUAAAAUAUAGUCUCAUUAUCAAUUUACCCCUAGAGUUAUUAUUUAGACAAUUUAUCCUACCAUUAAACCAACUUAACAAGUUAAAAAAUUUUAGAAGAAAAUACGCUCAUCUUUACAUAAUAAAAAUAAUAAAAAAUUUAGAAUGACUCUUCUCCUUUUUAGUAUCAAGAAAAAAAGUUAAAAUAUUAAUUUCUUUCUUCCUGGCAAUCUUAUUAAUAUUGAAAAAAAAGGGAAAAUGCACUUUUUAUCCUAAAAGGUUGGGUUGAUAUCCAAUUUCGUCCUCAAAGUUUCAUCAAGAAUACAUUUCAUCCUCAAAGUUCCUGAAUUUUUGCCAAUUAGAGACAAUUGACAGAAUAACAAUCAAUUUGGACGGAAUGCUGCACGUGAGAAGCAUGCUCUGUUAGAACCAAUAAAAAAUAGAUAAAACCCGUUCGGAAGUGCAGAUACCAGUGUUAUAACUUUUGAAUACUAAAAUUUGUAUAUUUACGUUAUUUUGUUUGUGGUCCAUAUUCAGUAGGAGCCAUGUCAAGGACCACUUGGAAUGCAAUUUUGACAAGCUUAUACCUCUUCUUUUUUUAUGGUUUUAGUUGGUUAUAUUAAUUUAGUUACAGUAUCCAGUUUGGUUGUUACUUCGGAUUGUUAAAAUUUAAGGCAAAAUUCUACCAAAAUUUUCCUUCUUACUUUAUUGACAUGUAAAUUAGCAUAAAGAUAAAAACAGUUGGUGGUUUUUUUUAUAUAAUGCCCAUUUUAGCUUGGAACUGAAAAUCAUACCCAUAAAUAACUGAUAGUUUUCUCAAAUAAUGGACGAAAGCAACAAACAGCUGAUAGUUUAUAGGAAAUAAAAGAAGCUCACAAAGAAUCCUAUGCACAACUAGCAUUUUUUUCAUUUCUAGAGAAGGUACAAAAAAAAGAAGUUAUAGAGAGGUGAUAAUUUUUGGACAAGAUAAAAGAAAGAAAUAAUUCUAGAAACCUCCCCGAGGUUUCUGACAAUUUUACUCACCUCCCUUAGUUUUGAAUAAUUACAUUAACCUCCAUUCAUGCAGUAAAAUAACUGUAAUAUCUUUCACUUAUAGAUAAUUUCUAAAAAAGCCUACAACUAAAACUAAUCUUUCAUUUUAAAAUAACGGCUACCACACAAAACAAACUCUUAUUCUCUCUCUUUGAUGCUCUCUCUUACCUUUUUUCUCUCCUGUAUUUGAUAGUCCACAUUUUUUUCAAAGUCGUCAUCUACACAACUAUCUAAUAUAUCCCGAAUCCUCAUUAUUAUGGAAAUAGAUCGUCUUUUUUUUUUGUUUUCCUUUUUUGUAAGUAUUAUUGAAUUGACAUUGCUAAAUGAUAAGUUGUCAAAGCAUAUUUGUUGUCAAACUAAAUAAAAAUGAAAAGAAUGGCAGUGAUACAGAAUAUAAACAAGAAAAUAAAAUGAUGGCAAAAAAAGAAACAUAGAUUGAGGAAGAUUACACUAUUAUACUAAUUGUGCAAAAAAAAAAAAAAAGAAUUUUGGGAUACAAGAACUAUAAUCAAAUUUGCCUAAAGACAUAGAAUGUGGUCUCUAAUAUUGCUUUUGGUUGCUCCAUAUUGGUAUUUUUGAUGGGUUAUAUUAUUUUAGCAUCAGCAAGCUUGCAUCCAUUUUGAUUGAAUUUGAAUAAUGACAUUGGUCAAUUUAGAUACAAAAUUUAGGCAAAAAAAAUUGAGGAAAAAGAUUAGGUUGAAUGCAAAUGUUAAUUGUCAUAAUUGAUUUGCCCAGGAAGCUUUAAGGCUGCAAAGUUGGGCUUUCGAAAUUAUGAGAAUACGAGGAUUAAAUUAAGGUGGCUUAUUGACUUCGUUAGGGUGGUAGUUAUGCGGAUUGCAAUAGUUGCAAUAUGGAAGAAAUUCAUGAGCGAGUUCUCCCCCCUUUUAACUAACAAAGGGGUAUUUUAGGAUUUUUAGGACAAAUUUAGCAUAGCGAUUUUAUAUUGUUACUGAAAUGCUAAUAGUAGAGAAGGUAAAUGUAAUCUUUUAAAUUAGAGAGGACCUAUCUGCAAUAGUCAAAAACCUCCCCUGAGGUUUCUAAAAUUAUCCCUAAAAUUAAAGUUAUAAACAGUUGGUAGUUUCUAUACAAGAUAAAGUAACAACCACCUAACAGUUUUUUAUGGCUUUCCUCUAUUUUUGCAAAUAGGGUUUCCUCUAUUAUAUUUUUUAUAGAUAAAAAAUUAAAUUAAAUGGACUGGGCUAAUUUAAUACGUUUGGAUAGAUACUCAAAUCCAAGUCACCUAUAAUCCAUGAAUAAGUGGAUGUCGACCAUUUAUGUCAACCUUUUUGCUAGCAAAUGACUGGAUUUAGUGGUUAGAAAUUUUUUUAGAACUACAAUAAGAAAAGAAGUGGAAAGGACAUAAAUGAAGCAAGAAUAGGUUUUACCUAUUUUUUGUUGAAUGCAAAGUUGGUUCUAACAGGGCAUGCUUUGUACGUGCUGCUUUUCAUCCAAAUUGAGUGUUAUUCUGUUAAUUGUCCAUAAUUGGUCAAAAUUCAGGAACUUUGAGGAUGACAUGUAUUCUUGGUGAAGCUUCGAGGACGAAAUUGGUCAUCAACCCAACCUUUGAGGAUAAAAAGUGUAUUUUUUCCUUGAAAAAAAAAAAUGGAGAGGGGGAGGGGGAGGGAGAGAGAGAGAGCUCAAUUCUUUUUUUAAAAAUUACAAAUAAGAAAGAAUUAAAUACUUUUAUUAUUUUAAAAUUAUUUCACUUUUUUUGUUUACCACCAAAUUCUAAUUCUAAUCCCGACGACCUUAAAGUAAUACAAUAAUGUUAGACUUUUCUUUAUUUUCUUUUUUUGUAAAAUCUAAUUUUUGUCCCCUUCUUUCCUUUCUCUUUUUCUUUUCCUAGUAUUAAUAAGUGUGAAAAAAAGAAAUUUGAGAAAAUCCUUUUAUUUUUAUGUUUUUCGAUCUCUUAAAGUGAAAAAAAAGGAAGAAUAACCAUUCCAACUUUUUAUUUUUAAUUAUAUAUAAAAAUGGUAAAUAUAUUUAAAAUUUUUUACCAUACUAGUUAGAUUAAUGAUGAGGUAAAAUGCCUAUAAAAUAAUAUUAGGAAUUAAAGUAAUUGUAUUACUAUAAUCCAAAAGAAUAAAGUGAUAAUAACAAUUUAGUAAUGCUAUAAAAUAAAAGGGUAUUUUUAUUCAAAAUUUCUUAACAUGUUGAGUUGAAUUACUUAUGGGGGUAAAGUGACUAAAAGAUUACAACGUUAGGGGGUAAACUGAUAGUAGUGAUAUAGUUUAAGGGGGUAAAGCGAUAAUAACCCUAAUUUUAAUUCAAAACAUGCUCAUAGAAGUUAUUAUUUUAUGAAUUGCCCAUCAACGGCGCGCUUAAACUAACAGCAGCACUCACUCGACCACUAACACCAAGACAAGAAAAUGCCAAAUCUUUUGCCAAACAUCAUCAUGUUAUUGUUAGCUGAAUUGAGAAAGCUGAUGAUGGAUAGAAGUUAAAAGGGUACCCUAAGUUGAUAAGUACUACAUUGAAUUAUGUUAUUAUUAACUCCACUAAAUAGAAAUCUCCUCAACUUCCAACCUCUUCUCAUGAUCAGUGCCUACUAACUAGUCUCUUUUUCUUCCCUUAUGGCUAGUUUGGGAGCAUAGAAUAGAAAAGAAAAGACGACAAAACUUAAGUUAUGAAAAAAAAAAAGGAAAGAAGAGAAAAAGAAUUGUAGUGAUUUUGAUGUUAUUUGGAAGUUCAGAAAAAAAAAUAGAAUGAUUUAGAAUAUAUAUGUCAUUAAAAUUUUGUUUAGUACUCAUCUAAGGAUAGAAUUGGUAUUUUGAAAAAUUUUGUGGGCUUUGUUUGACAUUCGGUCCAAAUCAAGCCAUAAGUAUGCUGAAUCCCUCUACCAAAUCCUUUGUCUUUUGUCACGAGUUUACUCGCAAAUGAAAGAAAAAUAUUCCUUCCUCCCACUUUCUUUUCUUUUCCUAUCAAAUCCCAUCUCCCAAACUAGCUAUUGGUGAUGGGAGUAGCAUAUGAUCAAAGCUGACAUUAUAUCGAAUGGAGCCCUUACAAUAAGAGAAUUGCAGGAUUAGCGGGUUUUAAAAGCCAAAAUUUAAGACAAAAUAUGAGCUGGAACCUUGCCUUGAUGCUGACACGAGUAAUCAUCAAAGAAAGAAAACUGAAAAAUAUGAAGCUCUUCCUUACACUAGCUUAAAUAAGAUGUCGAUUUGCCGGGUAUACGAGUGAAGAUAACAGGAAGAGAACUGAAAAAUGGGCAGCCUGUUCCUUAAACCGGCUGCUGGAUAAGUUGCCGUCACUUUGGUGCAAAACUUGCACCCUCGGAUUUUGAUACAGCCAAUGCAGAAAUAAAAUGCACAAGUCUUGAAGCAAUUCUAAUAGCCAACUCAUACAUGGGCUUAUUCUUCAAACUUUUUUCUUUUCUUUUUAUAAUUUCCGGAAACUUCACAAGUUCAUUAGGAAGACGCAGAAAACCCAACAACAGCUUCUUUCCUUCUUCUUUUUUUCCUUUUUAAACAAUGAAAACCACCAUAAAGGCUUGAAGGAGCUGGAUUCAAGAAAAAAACUACUACUAUUUAUAUAUUGCUGAAACACACCAGAGUAGACUACAGAAAUCAGAAAAGCAUAUUACUCCAUCAGUAGGAAAGACCAAAGCCUUACUUAAUGAUCAAAGACCUUAUUGCAGCCAUUUACUUGGUUUUGAUGCCAUGCAUAAUCUGAGGAAGUAUCAAAUCAUCAGCAAAACGCUUGCCCAUAAACUCCUUCAUCAUGAAAAUGCGAAGCACAUCUUCUGGUGUCUGAUUUGCAGUUGAUUCCGCCGCAAAGUUUCCCUUGUUAGCUGACCCCAUUUCCAAACCUCUGCUUUGCAUUUCUACUCGGUCAAGCAAAUUCCUGCCAGCGGAGACUUUCCCUCCGCCACCACUUCCAGUAACUUGGGUCACUGCCAUCAUCUUUUGCGUGCUGAGAUUCUCAGAUUUCACAUCAUUCAUUGUCUCAGAAAUAAUUUCAGCCACUGCUUUUCCACCUGUAGAUGAAUGAAACCGAUAAAAUAAAUAAAAUAUCCAGCAAAAUAUACUUCCAAUAGCCGAACCAUAUUCUCAUUAUUGAAUAUAUUCUCGAAAUAUACUUCUGGCUAGUAGAUUAGCCUCCGCAAGGCCUCAGUCCACACAUGAACCCAAUUUAAAAAAAAAAAAUUACAUCUAGAUCAAUAAGAUAACAAUAAUCCUCAGGAUUGAAUUACUUUUUACCAACUAAGACUGCACUUGGUGGUUGAUUGCGAUAAUUAUAUAUAAUUGCGCCCACACGAGUACACGGAGCUCGAUUCGUCUUAGUUUUGUAUCUAAUACGAGAUAGUAGUAUAUGUAAUAACUCGGACAAAGGAAGUGAAGUAGCGUAUGAUUAGGAUCUAAGCUGACCAGGGAUCAAUUUGUACCCUUCCCGGAGAGCAUGACGAGCAGCAUUUUGGGUGAACUUGGAAGCGAAAAGGCUGAUCCUUGACCGGGUUUCCUCGCUGGGCAUGUAGUCAUUGAGCGCCUGCAUCCCGUUGACUCUGACAGCGUUAUCGAUGUUGCCAACUACGGCAGAGCUGUAACCGUAGGAGGCUUUGCAUGCAUCUAUGACGGCCGCUGGAGCGGGUGCGUUUCGCUUCACGGCUUCAGUUGUUGAGUUGAUCAAGUCCCAGACUCCCAUCUGCUCUGCUUUUGUUAUCGAUCAAUUUUCAGAUGUGGAACCACUAUAACUAUUGCAGGUCUGCUGCCCGGUAGUAGGAGAGUAAAGUUCAAGCACUCACCAACCGUGAACAGAAAGAAUAAAAGGAAAAUCAUUCAAAUUGUCUACUGCAUUUUGUUAAAUAAAUUCUUUCAUCUUUUAAAUAUUAACUUUGUAUCUUUUAUAAAUUCAAGUUAAUAAAAUUAAUUUUAAUCUAAAUUUUUUAAUCAUUUUUUAACCUGAAAUCAACACGUGACUUGCAUGUGGUCAUUUUUAAUAUAUAAAAAGUUUAUAUCCCAUUUUUUCAAUGACAAAGAGAAUAUGGAUUAAAUUAGAUUUUAUAUUUUUAGAAAAAAAAAGAAAUAUAUUCUAAUUCUACUUUUUUAGAGGCAAAAAUAACUGAGUCGAGUUAGUUGUUUAACUAUAAAUAUAAUUUAACUUAUUUAUCCUAAAAAAAAGAUCAUAUGUGGGUCAUAUGAUAGAUUCAAAAUAAAAAAUAGUUAAAAAUUUAAGUUAAAUCAAAUUUUUAUUGACUUAAUUUUAUAAAGAACAUAAAGUGAUCAUUUUAAAAGUAAAAAAAAAAAAUCAUUUAACUAACUAUGAAUACAUUUUGAAUGAUUUUCUCAAAGAAUAAACAACUCUUGAAAACGAAGACCGUGAGUCAACGUACAUUGGAGGACCUCCAAGAGAACUGUACAAUAUACCUCCUCAUUUUAUUACACACUGCGACGUUUCCUUUUUUUCAUUACAACGGUUUGCAAUAUACUUUAGCUGCAUAUUCUUCUUUUUUUUUUUCAAUUUCUUGUGCUGAAAACGAAAUAAUUUCUAGUAUGGAAAUCUUACUUCAUUUUUAGCUGCUCAGAUCAUUUGGAUUAUUUUUUCCCUUCCAUUCAAUUUUAAAGACUAAUAAAAGUUAGACAAGCGAAUAUCCGAAAGGCUGAAACUCCAUUCUAACAUUUUAUUUCAAGGGCAAAAUUAUGAGCUAGUUUGGUCCGAUUUUGCCUUUGAAAUUAUGCUCACAUGAUAGAGGUGUGCUAUUUUUAGCCAGAAAAAUGAGCAAAUACCAGCACUAGAACCAAACUGGCUCAUAAUUUAUAUGUUAGGGACUAUUCUAACUGAUUUUAAAUAUUAGAGACUAAAAAAUUUUUUUGUGAAAAUAUUAGGAACCAAUUUGAUAAAUUUUCCUUAGAACUCUUCGUCAUUCUACAAAGAAAUGGGGAUCGAAAAGGCAAAACUGCAAAGGCUUCGCAGUAUAACCUCUUUGGCUCCUAAACGGAGGACGCGGAGAAAGAAUAAUGUUGACAUUGAACUGAAGAACUCACUGCUGUGAAACGAAACUCGUCGAAGAGGACGGGUAUAUUCCGGAUUGAUCAUUCUGGGCGAGUGACGACCAUCGCGAAACGACGACGUUCAGCAUUUGUAAAUCUGUUAGUAUAUUACGUCUGCACAAAUUGCCCUUUUCGUCCGUAAAGUAUUUACAUGUUUCACUUUAAUCUGUAAAGUACAAGGGCUAGUGAUCUGAAAAUAAAAGUAACUUAUUUUUAUUUCCACAGAAAUGACAAAGUUUUUGUUUUUGAAAUAAAUCCAAUUUUGAUGUCAUCAACAGCGUAUUUCUAUUGUGGUCAUCGUCUCUGCUGUUCUUGAUCGGAAGGGAUUGUUACUACAUUGAUGGAAGAGUUUCCAUUGACCAAAAAAAAUUAGGAGUUAGUAUUGGAGAUUGAUUGAAAGCAUGUGUGUUCUAUCCGUACACACUUAUUUCUUGAUCAAUAAAAGUCCAUAUUGCUCAAAAAAAUCAACUUUUUGAUUAACGAAGAACAUAGUUGUCAUUUUAGAAGAAAUCUACUGUAGAAUUAAAUUUGUGGUCUUGCAUUUUAAUUUGUCAAAGUAUUAUGCCGGAAUUCAAUCCUUAAUGUUUGUAUUAUCUUCGCUCUCCUUUUAAGUGAAAAGAUGGUACUACAUUCAAUUAGGAUGGUGGUAUGUUUAUUUUUUCAUGUAGCGCAUUUACAUUAGGUUUGCAGCAGUAUAUGCGGCUAAGCAGUUGCAUUCCUACUAUAGGUUUACUUCAAUUUAUAUUUUUCCCAUAUUCUACUCAUGACUACAUUAAUCAAUGUCUCGAGGCCGAGUUCGACAUUUUCUUGUGAACUUAUAUGCACUAGAUUACUAAUUAAACAUGUAGUAUUCAUUUCGCAUGGGGUAUGAUCUUCAUCCAACUUGGCAAAGAAUUCCUCAACUUUUUUGACCUUUUUUAAUCAAAAAUUGUCUAAUUACCCUGUUUGACCUUUUUCUCACUCGGCUAUAUAGGUGAAUGGUGCGUUUGAUGGAUUUUUUGGCACAAGGGUUUGAUCAUUGUUCAAAUGAAAUUAGUGCGACAGUUUUUGAGAGAUGAGAAUAACAUUAAGAUUCCUACCAAAAAAAAGGGCAGAAUAACAUUAAGACAUGAUCCAUUAACCUCGAGUUCUGUUUGGAUUAGCCUAUUUUUUACAAAUUAUUUUUUUUUUGUGUAAUCUAUAAUAAUAAUAAAAAUAAUUUCAAAAAUAAUCCAAAAAACACACAUCUCAAAUACAACUUACAAAAAUAUAAAAAAGAGUAACCCUAAUAAAGUUUCACUAAACAUGACUCGUUAAUCAAAGUCCUUCCUCCACUAUUACCACCUCCAACGUUACCCCCUCCCUCCUUCCUUCUCUUCCCUCAUUUUUUUUCCUGUCUCUCUCUUUCCCCUCUCUAGCUACAACCAGAUCUAAUUGCAACCAGAAAGUCUCACGACCUUUGGGUCACAGCCAAAGAUUGUAACUUUGACAGUAAAACAGAGGGAAGGAAGGAUGAGGAAGGAAGGGAAGGGAAGGGAAGGGAAGUGUGGCAAUAGCAGUGGCAAUAGGGUGGAGAAGAAAGGAUGGGGUGGCGGGUUGCCAAUGUUUUUAUAUUUUUAAAAAAAUAUAUCCCAAUAAAAUUUGAAAUUUUAAAAACACACCAACAAACAAUCCUGAUGAAAUUUUUUUAUAUACAAUAUUACAAUGUAGUAUUUCAAAAAUACCUCCAAAGAUAUCUAAUCUAUAAUGAGUCUCAAUUUCAUUGUGCAUAAAAUUACCCUUAACUAAUUCAUAGUUCAUACCUAGGGAUAGCAAUGACGCAAGAGUAGGCUGGGACAACCCUCCUCCGACCUCCACUUUGUCACUCAUAAGUUUCUUUGGGUCUCUUGCUCUAAUCCUGCUACUCUCACCGCUAUCCCACCUCUCGUUCCCCCACCCAUUAUCUUCAUGGGUGCCUCUGCCUCGCCCAGCCUACUAUUUUUUGUUUUUACAUUUGACUUACGCUCUGUUUGGAUGAGAGUGUUUUUCAAAAACUAGUUUUUCAAAUACAAUAAAAUUUUUUAAAAAGUACUCUAAAAGGUAAUCUAAAAAUUAGUUUAAAUUUUAAAAAAUAUCUCAAAAUAUAUUUUAGAAACUCUUCUACUCUUAAAUAUCCCAAAAUAUUUUUCUGAAAAUAUCCCAAAAUAUAAUUUAAAAAUUCUGCUACAGCAAAAUUUUUUAAAAAUAGCUAAUCCAUGUAUAACACUAAUAAUGAAUUUGUUAAUUCUUCUUUUGAAUUUUUAAUAAAAAAUUAACAACAAAUAAAGUUUAGAAAUCAUUUUGAUAUUAUGAAUUUGUUUCUUUAUAUUUGAUAUUAUGUAAAAUCUAAAUCAAUUAUCAUUAUAUUUUUCAAAAAAAAAGGAAGGCAAACUAAUGUAAUGAGAUUAUCAUUUAACCACAAAAGAUUAACAGACAUAAUUAUUUUAUUUUAUCAUAACAAAAUUUCAUGUUACGUGUAUAUAAUUAUAUUGUAUUUUGUAUUUUAUAUUUAUGUAUAUAUUAUUAAAAAUUUAAGCAAGGGUUCAGGCAGAGAGUAGAGCAAGAAUAUCCUCUCCCAUCCUUGCCUCGUUUAAAAGCGAUGGGAGUUUUUCCUACCCUAACUCUGCAUUUUCUCCCGCCCCAUCGUGAGCCUCGGUUACCAUUUCUAUGCGAAGCAUAUACUUGAAAUCUGACAAGGUGCGCAAUUCUUUCCUAAGUUUCAUGUUCAUUACAUCUUGAACUGAUUCUUUGUUUUCGAAAGGCACCAUUAUUAGAUCUUGAAUUGUUUGGUUGUUUCGAAGAACUAGUUUUCAUAAUCUACCUUUAAAGCUCUUACUAACAGCCUAAAUGCUUUGAUAUAUGUAGGAAUUUGCUUUUAAUAAAAAUUCAACACGAUAAGCCUAAUAAAUCACUAGAAAAAUAGAAGGCUAUAAAAAAUACGUUAAUAAUGCAACUAAUUGUUAGUUAUUGGUCUAAUAUAGAAUGCAAAGUUGAGUACUUCACUUUGAUUGCUUCUAUUAUUUAUGAUUUCAAUAAUCGGUGAAUACACUAAUAACAAAAAUUAUAGAGGUUGGAUUGGAUGAUAAAGCGGGAGGAAUUGGAAAUAGGGGUCCUACUUUAAAAAAACAAAGAAUAUAUAUACCCUAUUUUCGCCCUAUUUCUCUUGAAGGAAGAAUAUAUAUACCUAACAAGUAACAUCUAUCAUUUCUAUCAUUUUUCAUUAGUUACCGGUUAUUUACCACACCAAAUUUACCUCGUCUUUAUACAAGUACCAUGUGGCCCCAUAAUUUUCACCUUUUGUGGUUAAAGCCACAAGUUACUGGUGCUAGUAUCAUAUUUCUCGUCAGCACCGGCCACAUGGUUCUCAUCUAUUGGAGGACGACACCCCCAGCUCGAACUCCUCACAAGAAUUACGCGUGGACCCUACUUCUGACUUCUUUACCACCGGUCCACCAGAGCCAAUUACACGUACGAGAUAGCAAAACUCCACCAACGACCAACGAGUCCAAUCGCACGUGCUAGACUCCAAAACUUUUACAAAUAAAUAAAAAAAAUAACAAAUAAGUCAAGCACAAAAUCGAAUCCCAAUUGUUCAUCCCUUCUUUUCUCCUUCUCCGGUUAAUCACGAUUGGUAUUGAACGGUGGUCAUCUGAUCGGACGGCUAUAGUGGACGAGGGAGGGGAGACGGAAAGGAUCGCCGCCGCCGCCGCUGCCCCCGACGUCGUCGUUUCUUCGCUUUCUCCUCUCUCGCUCUCUUUUUCCGGUUCCACAAAUUUGAUUUGUGCGAGAAAAUUUUUAGUUUCUAUCUGUUUUAUUAAAUAUCAAAGCAGUUGGUCACCAUGAACGAGAAGGCUAACGUCUCGAAGGAGCUUAAUGCCAGGCAUCGGAAGGUAUUAGCUUUAUUCAGCUUUUUAUUGAACUUUAGGAAAUUGAUCUCUUGCCUUCUAUCUUAAUUCGGCUUGAUCUCUGAUAACGCCAGCUGUUGAGUGUUGAGAAACUAAUGUGUUUUUUAUAACUUUUGUUAAUGCGAUCGGGAUGGCUCAAAUCUGAAUUGUGGGAUGUUUUUUACGUGCUUGAAAUUUGUUUAGGACGGUUAAUCAUGAACUGAUAAAAUAUAUGAAUCUCACGCUUUUUUAGUCAUAUAAGUAACUAUUAACUGGGUGAAGCAAAGCUUUUUAGGUUUAAAUGCUUAGAAUCUUGAAUGAAGAUAUGAAAUUUAUAUUAAUUCUGUAAUUUGAUCUUGUUAGUUUUGAACAGGAUUAGUUUGCGGAUGGAGAUCAAGGAUUGAGCUCAAAAUAUGGUCUGGGAGCUUUUACAUUCUUCAGAUUUAGUGCACAUUUUAGGUGGACUAAAGGUCGUGGAAAGUGGGUUAAUUGGUUUGUAAAAGGUCCGCAGUUCCUUCAGGAAAUUAAUGCCUGUUGUAGUCAGGACUGUGGGUGGCUGGACUUAGGUUAUAUGCUUAGUAAGCUAUAUGAAGAAGUGUGUAUUGCUUGAGUGUUUGGUUAUGUUCAUUUAAACACUUCAAAUGUCAAAUCAUGUAUUUCUAGAUAUCUUCACUUGGAUUUUUUGUGAAUUUAUUAGAUGUCCAGUUGAGUAGUUUGCCAAAAAAAAAAAAAAGGCUCAAUUCGUUUGUGUUUCUACAUUUCAAUGGGAUGAUGUGAUUGUGGUUGUUAAUAGUCAUAAUUUGUAAAAUCUGUCCAAAUUCAACUUGGUCUUUUAUAUAGUCUCCUCCCUCCUGCUAAUGUAAUCCUUUUUUCGCCAUUCUGUGUAAUUUAUACUCUCCAUUUUAUAAAAUUUAUGCUGUUCUUAUCUGCAGAUUCUGGAAGGGCUACUCAAAUUGCCAGAGAACAGGGAAUGUGCAGAUUGUAAAACCAAGUAAGUUCCUAGAGUGUUUCUCUAUUUUGGCAUUUUAUUUUUAUGGAGAUAAAAGGUAAAGGGGUUGAACAACAAAUUAAUAGCUCUCAAUGGAUAUCAGAAUUAAAAAGAGUUAAUUUUAGAAGUCAUUAAUUCGUGUAAAGCUGUAAUCUUAACUUAUUUUCUUUUUAUUAUUGAAAUGCAGGGGCCCUCGAUGGGCUAGUGUGAAUUUAGGCAUCUUUAUAUGCAUGCAAUGUUCUGGAAUCCACAGAAGUCUUGGAGUGCACAUAUCCAAGGUGAAUAGUUGUUCCUUAAUUAUGUAACUUGCUGGUGAGUGGAAUUUGACAAGCAUUUGCUAGUCACUUGACUGGGACAGUUCAAACAAUGUACAAUACUUGUGUGAUACAUCUGAGAGACUUCCAAAAAGAACCUUUUGAUAGGAAUAUCAGGAUUAAAUAUUGUUGUGCCUGACAAAAUAUGUGCUCAACUCCUUAGCUGAUAAUGAGUUUGUUGAUAGCACAGCCUCAUUAGUGGACCUGUUCAAAUCAUCUACUAUUAAGUUUGUCUCAUGUGCUACAAUGCAAAUUGACAGAGUUGCAUAUGUACUUAAUUGCCAAUUUUUUUUUCCUCGUCCGUCUUGUGUCUGAGUUCUAGCUCAUCGCCUUCACAUUUUUUGUACGGUGUUUUUUGUGUCAAUAUUCUUGAAUUUUUUUCUGCUGUCAAAAUUGUUAUUCUUUUCAAAUGGAAAGUGACCAUCUGGGUUCAAGUAAGUUAGGCAUUGUUUUAUGAACUGUGUUUUGAUUUCUUUUCAGUUCACAAUGAUGGAUCUUUCUUGAAUGGCUAAUUGUUCUAGGGGCCAAAGCAAUCAUAUUGCAGUUCACUUUUUUUUUGUGGGUAGAAGUUGGAUAGGAUAUGUAUUACUAUCUUGUUUCUAGAUGUAAUUGUUUCACUAAAAUUUGCAGUUAUAGAGAUUUGUAAGCUAUACACCUAAGAUAAGUUUGUUUUUUAAACUGAUUAAAUCUGUUUUCUGAGUACGUAUGGGCUGAUUACUCCAAAUAAUAUACUUCUGUGCUUUGCUUUGAACCCUUUAUGGCCAAUUAACACCAUGGGGACGAUGUGAGUUUGAUGUCUGAAGAAGAAAUGGAAGCUGAUAUCCGCAUCAGCAACUUGACUGUAGACCUGAAUUUCAUUGUUGCAACCAAUAUUUUACUUCUUGUUCAUAUAGAUCAGGGUAAUUUAUUGAAUGCAUUCUGUUUUUUGCUUCAUAAUGCACCACUUCCUUCCGUCCUUUUUGUCAACAGAUUAGUGUUUAGUGGAUAGACAUCAUCAUUUGAAAUAUCUUGCGACUGAUGUUUCUUGGUGCUUCUGCAGGUGAGAUCUGCUACCCUUGACACAUGGCUUCCUGAACAAGUGGCAUUUAUUCAGUGUAAGAUUUUCGAUCUCUUAUUUUUUAUAGGUUUGAGAAUUUCUUGAUUCAAGUUGAUCUGAUAGUUCAAAGUCUAUUACAUAUGAAAUUGUUUUCUUUUUGUUAUAGCAAUGGGAAAUGAGAAGUCAAAUAGUUAUUGGGAAGCAGAGCUACCACCAAAUUAUGAUAGAGUUGGCAUUGAGAAUUUCAUUCGUGCUAAGUAUGUCUGGUUUAACCCCGGCAAAACUUUCCACUAUUUGGAAGCAUUCAUCAUUUCACUUAUUUUGACACUUUUUCUUGAAUACCUUGAUUAAAGGUAUGAGGAGAAGAGAUGGGUUCCAAAGGAUGGGAAACCAAAUUCUCCUGCUAGGGGACGAGAAGACAAGCUAUCAGCUCAGUGGCAAAGACCUAAUGAUAGAAAUGUUCCUGCAUACACUGGCCAUUCUAGGACUUCAUCUGAUGAAAGGAAGAGCAUUCAAACAAGCAGCACUAAAGAAAAUGUUGCUGCUGGGGGAAUUAGUAUUCCAGUACCACCGAAAGCUCAAGAACCUGUAUGUUGAAUUGCAAAUUAUAGUUUUGAUUUUUUUUUCCUUGUUAUCAAAUGUGAUUUUAUUCUUCUAUAUAGAGAGUUGAAUAGUCUCUCUCUUAUCUGAUUGGGCAGGAGUGAUCGUGUAAUGAAAUUCCUUUGGUUGAUUUUUUCUUUUAACAUAAUGGAGUGGAAGCAUUCUGAUUUGCAAACCUUUAAAUGAUGUUUUUGUUUGCAAUAACCUGCCUUAAGGUUAAGUUGAAGCUAUACAAGAAUGAGUGCAUAUUAAUUAUACUUAUCAGAAUAUGGACAGUAGUAAUUAUUAAUUUACUAGUAAUAAGAGUAAUAUAAUUUCCUAAAUUUGCUGAUAGUCCUAGACUGAUCCCCUGUUUUUUCUAGGUUUCUGUGUGCCUUAUUUUUUGUAAUUUAUAUACAGGUUGUUCCAGCUCCAGUGCCUCAACAAGUGAUUCAGAAAACAGAAUCUGUUGCCUCAGAAUCUGUCAAACAGGUUGCACAAGCUGCCUCACCACCUAAGGUUGACUAUGCUAUGGAUCUUUUUAACAUGCUUUCAAUGGACACUCCUAGUGAAAAUGGUUCAGGAGCAGCAUCUGCAGAUGAUAAUUCAUGGGCUGGCUUUCAGUGUAUGUAUAGAAGAUCAUUUCCUUUUUUUUUCCUGCUUCUGCACCUUUUCUUCUUCUGGGAUUACGAAAUUUUGUUCUAGACGGAUUGAGGUGUGGUGGUUGGAUUGGUUUCCUCUAAUCCUUGUUUCUAUGUACAGCUGCUCAAGAAACUUCGACAGCAGAAGGAAGUGUUCCAUCAAAGGUCGAUGACAAUAAGAAACAGUCUGCUAAUGAAAUUGAGGAUUUAUUCAAGGAUACACCAUCUAUUGCACCUCUAAUGACAGAGAAACCUGAAAAAGAUGUGAAAAAUGACAUCAUGAGCCUUUUUGAUAAGGUCUGUGCCUGUUCUCUCGUAAAUGUUGUUAGACUUUUCUCCUGUCAGUUCUAACAAUUGCAGUGUAGUUUAAAUGAGAAAUGUAUUAACACUUGUACCUAUUGGCACCCCUAUUUUUCUAUGUUAUUUGCAAAAACUUUGUCAUUCUGAUUUGGCUUUAUUCUGGAUAAAGUGUAAUUUUGUUGCGCUAUGAUUUUGUUAUUUCUUUUGUUGCAGUCCAAUAUGGUAUCCCCAUUUGCCUCUCAUCAACAACAAAUAGCAAUGAUGUCACAACAGCAGUCUCUUCUAAUGGCAGCAGCUGCUGCUAAUGCUGCUGGUGGAUUGCUAAAGGUUCCUGGAAAUACGCAACAAGGGCCAAAUGGCAUCAACUUGCUAAAUCAGAAUUUGGCAAGUGCAGGCUAUCAUCAAUUUUAUGGGAUGAUGAUGCCAGGUGCUGGAAAGAAUGAGCUGGAGAAAUAUAUGCAGGUAAGAUUCGCUAAUUAUGAAUGUAAUUGAUUGAAGUAUUGUGUUCUUAUUCUUCUCUCUGUUUCUUUGCUAGAGUGGGAACUUGGGGAACGCCCAGCUGGUUGGGAGCACUGCUCAAUUUCCAGCAACGAGGUAUGCUAUUAUUGCAUCAUAUACUUGCAAUUUCUCCUUUGACAGCCCUUAUUAUUUUUGUGGAAUAGGUGCUAAAACCUAAUAGUAUUUUGAUGUUUAGCUGUUGACUUGUUAGGUAUCCUUGGAAUUUGGAAAUGUAUCUUCAUUUGUCUAUGUAUCUCCUCAUUUUACAUAUCAAUUUUUGCCCCCCUGUUUUCUUCUGCAACUUAAAAAGCUUAAAACUUGCUGUGAUACGUAUGUUCGAUGUUUUAUGUGAUCAUAUUUUCCUCACCAUAUUCCAUUUUGUGCUUUCAUCCUGCUCAAGCUGUUAAAGAACCUGCUGAUUCAUCUACUUUUGAGCAAUUACUGAUGGAACUUUGUCUCAGGAGCAAAUCUGGAAAUUAGACACAGAUUGUCUGACUCCUACUUUUUUUUGCUAUGAUAUUGCAGUGUCUACCCUGUGGGUCAAAGUACUUCUAGCAAUGGUGUAGUGACACCUGGAGUGAGCAGGCAGACGGCAUCCCCUGUUUCAUCUUCUUCCACGCAGACAGCCAAAGAGUAUGAUUUCUCCUCUUUGACUCAAGGCUUGUUCUCAAAGCAUUGAUCAGCCUGUGAGAGAGAGCAACCUGCUUAGUCAUAGUAUACCAAACGAGACAUUUACGAGAAAAGUAGUUUUCGGAUGAUAUCUUCGAUAUCAGGAUUGUACACUUAUUUGUAGAGUAGCAGAUCCGCUUUAAAGUCUUAAAUGUCUUCUUCCAUUUUUGUUUAUACCUCGGAUAAUAAGCAGUUCAUAUUGAUUGUUUUUGGAACAGUAUCUGGUUCACUCCUACUGUUCUGGUUUUCGGGAUGAAUUGGAAAUAAAAUAUUGCUGACUCACACUAUGGAUCAUGGCUAAUUGGUGUGACCGUACGAUUUAGAUCCUUGACUUGUACCUGUUUUUUUUUUAUCCCGCCGGGAGUGGAUCCCGCAGACUAUUUCCCACCUGCAGGUACCCGUUUAAUGUUGGCUAUGUUGGGAGCUUGGGAGGGCAAUAUCGUUAUUCUAUCUUUGUAAUCUUUCUUCGGGAAUUGUCAGAAGAGAAAGGCACGGUAUCUUUCAUCAAGAGGGAGGUUGAAGAUGAAGAGACCAUAAUGUCCGUGUCCGUCUCUCUGAUUAGCUGGAAACCUGGGUUAGACGUAAGCAAGAGUAAUCAAUCAUCCUGACUAGGGGUGUGUUGUAUUACUCGAGCUCGACUCGAGAUAAAAUAACUAAGCGUCGAACUUUUAGAAUUCGAGCUUGAACUUGAAUUCAACUUAAAUUUACGUUACUCGAGCUCGAGUUUAAUUAAAUCUAAUCAAUUCAAAUUGAACUCAAUCGAAUCUAAUCAAGUUCGAUUAAACUUAAUCAAGCUCACGUAAUAAAUAUUAAUGUUUUACAUAUAAUUUUAAAUAAAGGAUAUUAUUGAUAUUUUAUAAUAAUAAAUAUUAAAAAAUUAAAAAAUAUAUUAUAAAAAACUCGAUUAGGUUCGUCGAGCCUUCGAGUGCAGAAUAUUAAAACUCGAGCUCGACUCGCUGCUUCUAUCAAGCAACUCGUCGAUCUGCUGACCGAGUAGCUUGCGAACUCGAGUCAAGCUAUUCAAUCUAGCAUCAGUCCUAAUCUUGACGGUUCUUAAAAGGAAUUAUUCUGGUUAACUACAUUGAACUCUUUGCAGUCUUUAAAAGACUAAAAAUUUUGUCUAUUUUUCUAGAUUAAAAAUAUCAACGUCUAUACAAAAUCUUUAGUUCUAUCAUUUUGAGUUGUUAUCGCAUUUGAGUUAGUUAUAUUCCUUUUCUCCUCUUCGAUGUUCCUUUUUCAAAAUUUAUCUAUUGAAAGUUUGGGGAAUUUUAUUUUCACUCUAUAUUUUUUUUGUUAUUUGUACUCCUAUCAUUUAUUUUAUCAUAUAGUCUAAUAAAUAAAAAUUAUAUGAUUAGAAUGAUAGUGGGAGUGUGAUUAACAAAAAUGGGAGUGUAAAUAAUAAUUUUGAAAGUUAUUAAAUUUAUAAAUUCAGGAAAAGUAUGCCUUUGGCUACAAUGUACUUGCUUGUCACCAAAAAAAAAAAAAGAAAGAAAGAAAGAGAGAAAUAAAAAGGGCCAUCUUGGUAUAAGACUAAUUCGAGCACAAGUCAAAUUCUGCAAUCUACCGCUUUCAUCAGAUAUCCCGAUAUCUCGAUCAUUCUUUGGUUGGCCGCUGCCUGCUGAUAACGAGACCCUCAACCACAGACUGAAGUUUCUGAAAUCGUGGCCCUCUUUCUCCCGUCGGCGGAGUUCGACCCAUAGUUAUACUUUCAUUUUCUGCAUUUCGUUUUCAUCUUUUCUUUUCAUUUCGGCGUUUGGUCGAAUUUUAAUACAUAGUCACACGCAUGCCUGUCACAUCGAUGUCAAAAUAUUGGAGAAGUGUUAACUGUUGUAGCUAACAUGUCAUGACAAAGUGAUCGGGGAUAGAGCUACAUUUGAUUAUCUAAAAACAUAGUUAUAAUUAUCGGGUCCAACGUAUAGGUUUUUUUUUUUGUUUAAAAUUAAAGUUUGAGUGGUUUCAGUUCCGAUCAUCAUCAUAGAUUAGAGUUAAAAUUAAAGUUUGGGUGGUUUUACUUUCGAUCAUCUUCAUAGAUUAGAGUAUAUCUUUUGAUUAGAGACCUACCAACACAACUUUGACAUUGAUGUGAAGAUUCAACAUCUCUUUUCGUAAGAAAGUGAUCCGUUCUUACCAACUAAAACAACAUGAAUUAAGCUUCAAUAUAGUAUUUAUUUCAAUAUCAUGUUUAUAAGUUACACAGAUUUUAAAUUUUGACAAAAAUGUCAUCAUCAUUUGUAGUGAUAGAGUUAAGGAUCUCUGAGCAGAGAGGACAAUGCUCAAUGUAUAGAUUUGUGAUAGAAUUAAAUCUUCAAUAGGAAUCGUCGUACAACCUUGUAUUUAACUUGUCGCUUCAUGGUUAUAACUAACAUCAUCGUGCUUAAACUUAUAAAGGUUGUUUUAUAAAGUGAAUUAUGUUGUAUUUUACAUGAAGAGAGAACCUUAGAAAUUUGAAGGGGAAGAUGUAUACAAACGUGUGAACUUUGUAAAUUUCAAAGGGUCUAAUAUAAGAAACUUUACAAAAUUAUAGAGAUAGAUCGAGCAAACAGAUGCUCUUUAGAAAACAAAUUGAGGAGGAACAAGAAAGGUGUAAGAAUAAAAACACUACAAAAUAUCAAACUUAUUUCAUAAUUUUCUAGAACUCGAAGGGAGGAACAAAUGCCCCCUCUCAACUACACUUGGCUCCGCCGCUCAUCACAUUAUAGGCUGACCCGAUUGCGAACUGUAGUAGAAUCAACAACGUAUGGUAGGUAAACCAAGGGGAUGAUUUUAGGGGAAGAUAAUCAUAUCUGUCUCAGUCUGACUAAGUUUGCACGGAACUAAAAAGGUGUACUGCAUCACGUAGCUACCCCUGCAGAUACACUAGUAUAUAUUAGUCGUCUUUGCAUGCAUGAUCAGACAAAAGCUAGUAGUAUAUAUUGAACUUUUGUACAGCUUCGUCUAGUUAUGUACGUAAAUGGAUACAACUUCAGUAUAGAUACAUACAGUUUUAGUAUAAUUGUAAGUUUUGCAAAAUUAAAUAAAAAAAAAUUCAUCUUUAACUUCCUCUCUUUUAAGGUAGCUGUCCUUUAAAUUCAUUGAACAUAGAAGCUUGUUGUUAUUUACCUAUUGCGUGCAUGGAUAACAUAACGCGUUCUUGUGGCGAGGGUUUCGUAGAACACUAUACAAUGUAUAGAAAGACAGGCGGUGGUUGUCAAUCUUUUCUCGCAAGGACCUUUCGUACGUUUAAUUAGUCUCUUAUUGAAAAUUUUUUGUCAACCAUAUCUAACUUCCUGUAGAAUAAUACAACAUACUGAGCGCAUUUUUUCAACGCCAACCCCUACAACCACCCGUGUGGAAUGGUGUAGAAGAAUUACGGGUCUAAAAUAAUCAUUGGGCAUUCCACUUUCCUUCACAUAUAAUAAUAAAUUGUUAGAAUGAAAUUCUUAGAGUGCAAUUAUCACUUGUCUAUGAUGAUGUCUAACCGCUUAUCCAAUAAAAAAAGAAAUUGUCUUCUAUUUUCACCCUCUCACAAAACCCCCGAAAACAAAAAAAAUCCCAAAAAAGGCCACAAAAAAAAAAAAAAACGACGAUUCUGACAGCCCUGUAUUCAUUCCCAUUCUUGUCUUCGUGAAAGCGUGGUCGGUCUAAAACUGGGCUGUUGGGCACAUGCAGAGCGAAAGAAUACAACUUAGCAACUGUUUCAGUGUCCCACGACGGCGAUCCUAGAACAGCUCCCGGUUGCAACGGUCAUUUAUUCUGAGUAUGGCCGUUGAUGAUGGAAUGAGCAAUCAUACACAUUAAUCAAUUCACUUCUUCUGACAAUCCCAGCUUUAGCCAUGCAUAUAAAAUUGGUUAGGGAACGUGAAAAGGCAAUCAAUUACACUCUCAUAGAUUCUCGAAAUAGAUGGGAUCCCCGACUCCACGCACUCAUCAAAUUCUUUAACGACGGGUCACUAAUAAAUAUUUAAAAUGCUUCUACCCGCAGUUGUCAAAAUCACGAUGAUCCUAUGGUCCGGAUAACUAAAAUCGAUCCGGAUCGUAUUCAGAAUCACAAAUCAUAUUAAUCUACGUAGGAUCGUGUAGGAUCGUAGUAGGAUCGGUAGGAUCGUGUAAGAUCGUAGGAUCCUACAAUUUUUUGUAAAUUUGUGAAAUACGAGACUCUAUUUUGCAAGUAAAUGAAAAUAUUUAUGGUAUAUUUAUAAUUUAUCAAAGAAUUAUAUCCUUUAAUUAUAAUUAACAGCUUUUGGUAGGAUCUUACGCUCCUACGAUUCGAUUCAAUGAAACUAGAUCCUACAUAAAAUCCCGAUUUUACUAACCUUGCUUCUACCACGAUGGAUGUAGUAGCUAGGCAAGAAAGGAUUUGACUGAGUCAUGCUUCGCUUUCCAUCAACACAUGAGAGGAGGGCUCUUCGUCCAAGAAGGACAGCGCCAAGAAUGAAAAAUCACCUGCUUCCUUGCCGACUUUGACAAUUAUUUACGCAUGGUUUGCUAGUCUUAUCAGUAAAGCAAGGCAGUGAUAAUUAUGAAGCUUUUUCUUUUUCUUUAAAACAAAAAAUGAGUGUCUGAUUUACCUAUACACAUUUCCCUUGUGCUCCCAACAAAGGUCAUGGUGUAAAUGAUACUGCUUCAAUGUGUACAAUCUUUAACGAAAAAGUCAUACAAAAAUUGCUUUAUAGGAUUAAAAAAAUUCAAAUUAUUUGAUACUCGAACGAGCUUUUGUAUAAAUUUGGUGUGCCAAUUGAUAAAGACAAACAAGAAUACCAUUUAUAUUUAGGGUAUGUUUGGUACCCCAUAGAAUUGGGAUUUAGAAUUGGAAUUGGAACCCCAAUUCUAAUUCUUGUGUUUGGAUGCUGCCUUUUCCAUAGAAUUAGCAUUGAAUUCUAAUUUCAAGAGGUUCCAAUUCCAUGAGUUGAAUUCUUUAUCAGACCAAAAGAAUUCUAAUUCCAAUUCCACGUCUAAACCCUCAAAAACGGGUCUACACGCGGAUCCAACAUGGGUAAAAAAUUAAAAUCGGGUCAAGUUCACUCGCGUCCCUUCUCUAUCUAAUUAACCGCUUUUCCUCAGCACAAUUGCUCUGAUGUCCACUGCCGCUUCCACCUCAACCCUAACAUUUUGCCUCUUCCACCACCGUCUCCCCCAUUGCCCUUUGCUCCGAGUGCUCUGCUCUGCUCCGCUCUGCUGUUGCCUUUUGGCCUUUGGGGGAACUUACAGCUUGCUAGUUGCCUCUGGUGGAUUUCAAUCUUUUUCUUUGCUUCUCCUUUCUGGUGGCUUCAAGGAUAAGCGAUUUGGAUCUUGGGCUUCUGGUUUUCUCACAGUAAGUUCAAAUGUUGUGCCUUUUCUUCUGUUUCGAUGUGAUUCUCGGGUUUUUUUAGCGUUUUAGUGAUUUUGCUGGCAUUAAUGUUUUAUGGGUUGUUUCUAAUUUAGCUACUUGUUGUAGGUUUUUGUAAUUCUGGACUAAAUUUAUGACCUUUACUUGCUGUGGAUAUUUUAAAAACAAAAGGUGAAAAUGCUAUACAGUAGAAAAUUUCAACGGCAAGAUCCCUCUUUUCAGUUUGUUUGAGCUAUCCCCAAUAACAAGACAGAAACGAAACCAUAUCCAUUUUAUCUUUCAUAUCCAUUUCUGUUCAGGUGGACUUGUUCAAGUUUUGUUUGGCUCAUUUCUUGUCUUGUUCAUCAGAUAUCUAAUGACAAAAGAAGUUCCUUUGCACCUGUUUCUCUGGCUCAGUAUAUCUGAUGCUGUCUUCCAUAUAAACAAAAUUUUGUUUUUGACUUCUUGAAAGUUGGGGUAAGAUGCAACUUUUGUAAAUAAAUUAAUGGUUCUCCUGAGUUUAGGCUUCUUUUUUAGUUUCUAUAUACUUUGUGUGCACAUGUAUUUUGAAGCAGUAAUAAAUAGAUUGUUUGAAAGUUAUGAAUGAUUUGCAAUUCGUAAAGCGCCGCUACAAGAUCUGUGAUGGAAUCCACUAAUGGCCGUUUAGCCAAACAGUGGUUUACUAUGUGAUUGGUGUAAACUACAUUUUGCUUUAUGCUGAAAAGCUUUCAUUGUACCAGACAUUAGGCCCACCUCUUUUGGCUUUGCUUCUGAACCUCUGUUAAGAUUCACUUUAGCAUUUCAUUUGAUUGGUUACACAUGACGAAUUUCUCAUCGCAGAGACACACUUUUUUACUGCAAAAUGGAAAUAAAGUGUUAUGAGAAAUGGUUAUAGUUAUACUGUGAGGCAGUAAGAUGGCUGAUCAAAAUGCUUAUGAAUUUAUUCUCAUGUAUGAGCUGGAAGAGAAACAAAUAUGUGUUGUUAUCCUAACACAGAGUAAUUACUUCUGCAGGCCAUUAGCUUUAGCAGCGUCUCAUAUCCCUCUGGCAUGGUGAAAUUUGGUUUUGUCUUCUUAAUUUCGAGUGACAAAUAUGGGAAGCUACUUUUUGUAACAAUUUCACUCUGACUCGGAUGCAAAUGAGAUAUGAUACUGAAUAAUGUUGUUUCUGUAUCAAGCUAUUCCAGGGCUCAGCAGACCACAGGGCCUGUGUGAACUAGGUGUUACCUUUAUGUUAUGUAUGCCAGCAGGCUUUGUAAACUCGUAUGGAAUUGGGAUAAUAUGUCAUUAUGAUGCUGUCUCAUGUGUAAAUGGAAGAGACAAUUAAUAAUAAUAAUAAUAAAAUGUUGCUCUGUGCCUUUUUUAUUCUAAUUUAUUGUCAUUCAUCCAAUUAAAUGGUUUUUGACAAUUCAGAAAGAAAAUUAAAAUGGAUGUCACUGUUUCACCAAUACUACAUGUGGUUGCAGUUGUUUACUGUGAGCAUUUUUAAUACACUAAUUAGCCAAAAUCAUUCCUAGCCUUGAAAUUUGAUAGGAACUUAUUCGGACUUAAUUUAAUAUUAGAUUGGCCAUUUAUUGAAGAAUAGUAGCAAUGUAUAAUUGUGCUUAUCUCUCUCUCUCUCUCUCUAUUUUGCUAAAGUCACUUUGUUUGCAUAUUCAUCUAUUGGAAUUUCUUGUAAGAUACAAAACUCAAAUUUUUAUAAUAGGCACAAGCUAUGACUUUCCUUCCCAAUUAAUAUCAUAGAGUAGGCUUUUGAUUUUCUAAAAUUUAAAGUUCUUAGCUUUAUAAAAAGUAUCAAGGUUUUAACUUGAUAAAUAUUAAUUACUUUUUAAGUUAGAAUAUAUAGUUAUUUUUUAUUUAAUAUAAUUUAAUUAAGAAGAAAAGAAACAAGAAUAAUAUUUUUUUUGAAGAAAAGUAACUAAUUUUUUUUCUUUAAAGCUUGAGUAACAAUUAGCUAAAUGCAAGAAAAAAUAAAUUAUUAAAGGUACAAAUUGGUUUUUUCCUUAAAGCUUUAGUAACAAUUAGCUAAAUGUUAAAAAAAUAUUAUAUAGUAAAGGAAAAAGAAAAAUUUUCUGUAAGCAAAUGUUUCAUGAAAACAAUUCUAAUUCCUAAUGAAUUAUUCUCUCAUGCAAACAAAGAAUUUGGAAUUCCAAACAAAUUCCAUAUCAAUUCUAUGCAUUUUCCAAACGAAAGAAUUGCAAUGAUUUGGAAUUAUAAUUCAUAGAAUUCCAAUUCUAUAGAAUUUCAAUUCCAAUUCAAUUCCAAUUCUGCAAAACCAAACGCACCCUUAGUGUUUGUUGAACUUUUACAUUUUGGUUAGACUUUACUUGAGUAACACAUAAUUUCAAACACAUUCUUUAGAAUAAACACAUAAUUUUAAACAUUAACUCGUUAGAGUUGAUCAUUCAUACUUCAUGGGCCCUGGACCAUAAUAGCCACCCAACAACCCAACCCAAUCCAACGCUUCGACUUCAACCGUUUAUAAUGUAGAAAAUAAGCCAUCUUUUAAUUUAUUUAUAGUACUACUAUCAAGUAUAUCGCUUAAUACACAAUUUUUCGAUGCAAGAACCCAACCCAAGGCAAUAAUUAAGCUUCUACUUCAACGGUUCAUAGUUCUUUUAAUUUAUUUACGUGGCUUGACCAAUUAUCAACUGAAAUAUAUCGUUUAGUAUAUAUGAUUUUCCAAUUGAUAAAAUAUGGAACCGUAUAAGCAUUAUCAACUAUAUGGUUUGGUAUAUGAUUUUCCGGUUCAAAGUACGCAUGUUCCAAAGUCAAAUAUUGUACUACGCCAUAAUUAGCCCAAAUAUCAAAUCAGAAAAAAAUAAUAGUAGUAAUUCCAAAAAAAUGAUUUUUUGCCAUCUAUAAAAGCGUCUCCCCAGGCCCAGACUAACGUUCUUUUUUAUAGUUUCCCUGCUCCGCUCCAGAAAAGAAAUUAUACUUGUAGUAGUACUACUGCUAUCCUAUACCAUUCUCUCUCUCCAAGUCUCAAAUGUCGAUCCUCUUCCCAGAAGCCUCAAACAACUUCAUACUCUCGCUCAAACUCGUCUUGAUAUCCACCACCGUUUUAUCAGCUGCGGUUGCCCUGAAGCUCUCCGCACCGGCUAUCACAGAGUUCGCCGUCACCGAAGUUCCUUCCUUGUACCACGGCGUCGUUUCCUGGCUGAAGCCUCCCUACCUCUACCUCGUCAUCAACUGCAUCAUCAUCACCAUUGUUGCUUCCUCGAAGCUCCAGUCUGCAGCAAAGCUCCACCAUGACGUCACUCCACCCUUGCCGACUCAUCCCCAACUUCAACCGACGCCGUUUCAGGUCGCUUAUUAUCAGCCUCAGCCUCAGCCAGUGCCUUUGGUUGUGCCUCAUCUUCAGCCGCACGAGUUUGCCGAUGUCGACCGGCUGGCUGAGGCUGCUGGUACAGCCAGUGUUAGGGCGCCGCCGGAGGUUUAUGAGCGGGCUAACGAUACCAUUAGUAGUAUCAGUAAUAUAAACAGCAAUUACUACGAAAAUAAGCAGGUUUUGGUGGAUGAUAAUGGAAAGGAGGAGUUUGUUGGUGUGAGUGAGGUGGCGGAAUUGAGUAAUGGUGGUUAUGGAGACGAAUCUAAUUAUGCAGAUGUAUCAAAGCCUUCGUGGUCAUCCACAUCAACAUCUCCGGGGAUAAGUAGGACGGAUUCACUGGAGCUUUCGUUAUACUCGAACGAGAAGCCGCCGGUUUCGGCUAGAUUCGGCCACCGACGAACGGCGAAAGCCAGUCCUGAUCAAGGUACUUCAUUCGUCUUCACUUUUUCUUUUUCCUCUUUUAGGUAUCAAGCUCACCGUGACACAUGCAAACUUGUUCCGGAAAAUGUUUCGAUUUAGUGGUCCUGAUAAUUGUAAAUUUGUAAUUUGAGCUUCACAGUCCGGAUUGAAUAUUUUCACUCAUUUGUUCGUGGUUCUGAACUUCUGAUUACCAUUUGAAGUUACGGGAGAUUUUUUUUUUUUUUUUCAAAAAAAAAGGCUGAUAACGGUACUAUGCCGGAGAAGUGUCUGGUUUUUACUAGCCGUUGGAUCAGAUGGUGCUUUUAGCUUUGAAAGAAAAGAUGUUACCCAAUUUGAAUUUAUGAUUGUGCUUUUAGCUAGUUUUAGUUAGCUAGAAGGAUUGUGAUUGGUUAAGACUCUGAGACAGAGACACCCAAGACGUACGAAAGUUGAAAUGACAAGAGUGUCCCCCUGAGAUCGGUGAGUAAUUGAGCCAUCGGUGAACAAAAAAUGAGCGUUUUACCGUCACGAAAUGAUAAGGCCCAAGACUAGACUAGACUAGACUAGACUAGGAUAGUCGUCCGAAUCACCUCCUAUAUCGUUUUUUUUAUUAUUGUCCUCAUCUAUCCAUUGGCUUAAUUGCAGCCCACACCCCGCCGCCGACUUUUAGUCCAUUUCUAUUAUAUGAUUUCUAAUUUUUUUGGGCUGCAGCUACUCCUGAUUCAGUGUUUGAUGUUCUCAUGAGCUUCAACAAAAUAUGGUAGUAGUCGGUGGUCAACGAUGUAAAAUUUGCGUGACGUUUGGUUUUCAAUUCAGGUGGGAAAGCGGCGCUGGGGGUGUCGAAGCCCAAGAGGCAGGAGACGCUGGAGAGCACGUGGAAGACUAUAACGGAGGGGCGUGCGAUGCCGUUGACGCGGCACUUGCGCAAAUCUGACACGUGGGAGACGCACGGUGGUCGGCACCACCAUAACCAAGCCCCACAAAAUCCGAGGAUGAUCAAAUCCGAAACCUUCGCUGACCGCCGCAAAACUGACGCAAGUACUGGCGGCGGCAGCAGCAGCAACAACUCGCUGCUGAGUCCCUCACCCGGUUCUGGCAAACUCAAACGGGAAGCCUCCCUGAGUCAGGACGAGUUGAACCGACGGGUGGAGGCCUUUAUUAAGAAGUUCAAUGAGGAAAUGCGGUUGCAGAGGCAGGAGUCUUUGAAUCAAUACAUGGAAAUGAUCAAUCGAGGGGCACAUUAGUACAUUCAGGGAGGAGUUUCGAAUUACUGCUGUUUUAUUUUUUAUGUUCGUUUGUCAAUUUGUUAAAUGCACAUAGAGAAACUCUCUCUUCGAAAGUUAAGUGGAUGGAAAAAUUCUUUUUCGUCGAGGCAUUUUGUCGCUGCCCUCCUCCAUUUUUUUCCCUCACCUUUAGCCCCAGAAUUUAGGAAGAAGAAAGAGAUGCUACCGAUAGAAUUUUUCCUUCAUACAUUGUGAUGUCAUUGCUGGAGACGGAGAAAGAAAACAUAAACAGAUUAUUAUGGUACUCCAUUUUUGUGAUCACAUUCCCUUAGACGAGCAAUCGAAAUUUUUGUGGCUGGUAGUCUGGAAAACAAUUGACAGUGACGGAAUCUAUCAGAAUUGGGUGUGAAUGAAGUGACAUAAUGCUUGGUAGCUUGUAGUUCACAAUGCCAAGUACUAUAUCUUAAUGAUGCAAGGAUUUAACGACUUCUUGGAUCUGAAUCCUGAGCGAGUAAAUGUGUAUCAGGAGUGGGCAUUAAAGAGUUACAUUACAUGGGGCUGCGCAUCACCGAUGUUGACAGUGAUGUGCUUAAUGGACCUUAUCUGCUGAGUUCUAACUCCGUCUUCAUUCUUAUCUCUUACGCCAUUAACUGAAUGGAAACCAUCAUCUCAAGAUACCGAUUCCAUAAAGUCGUGAAAUUUAGUUAGUAGGCAUUCAAGUACUACUUGAAAGUUGGUACAGAAACUGCUGCUUUCCUGUCUAAUAUUUUUUUCCCCCUCCUUUCAGCUGAUUCUGUGCAUUUCAAUGUACGUUGCAGUAUUUUACACAAUAUCUAACUCCAUGUUUUAUAUGUUUAUACAGUUCAGUACCUAUCAGAAACCUUAACCUUUCACACAACUGCUUCUGAUCUAUAGCUUACUUCUUGUGCUUUCACAUGGUUGAAAAAAAAGCAGCUCUAAAAGUAUCAGCAUUUUGCUUCGAGUGCCAGUUGAAUCCUACAUUGCCAUUGAAGUAGCUGGGAAUAGCCUAUCUAAGAGGGUAUAAACACCUCCACCUAAAAGCAGAGCACCACUGCAAAGCAAAAUAAUCAAACUUAAAUAUAGACUAGAAGCAAGCAAUGCUAAGGAGCAUGAAUGCAAUGAUGCAGGAAGUGACACAGCCGCACGGUACGUGAACUUUUUAAGAGAAGUACUAGUCCAGUCUACCGUUUUAAAUUCACUACAGGAACACUAUGGGGUUUUUUCUCUUGGACAGAUCAUGAGCAUCAGAAGACAAAGAUACAGAUAGAUAAAGCUUAAGUGUUAUGAAUACAACUACAUGUCAAGUAGCAUUCACUCUCAAGUGAUUACCUCAUUGGGUUAAUCCACGCUGAAAACUUGCGAAAAGAAAGCAAACUCUGCGGACAUUCAAGGGAUAGAAAAAUUAAUUCUCAAAUCAAGAGAGUAAAUGACUAGAACAAAUUGCUGUCAGGUAGGCAGUGGAAGGUGAAUGGCAAUGAGUCCAUAAAACAUAUCCCUCCAGUGAUAGCUAAGCUUUUACAACUCGAUCAACAACUGAUAUAACUAGUUAGCAAAAAAAAGCCUACCUGCAAUGCUCCAGCAAAAGAAGCAGCAAGAAGCAGAGGAGUAACAUAGCCAGUUGUAUAAGCAAGAAGUAAACUGCCCCCAACUACUGGAUCCUGCAUAAAUUUUUUAAUUGAAAAAAGGAAAAGAAAAGAAAAGAAUUUACCUGAUCAGUUUGAACUAAGCGUAAACCAUAAUACCGUAACUCUAAACAAAUAAAUACACCAAAAGUGGUAAAACAUUUAAACUUUGUCCCCAGUGCAGUUCAAAACUCCUUGAUGAUAAAUUGGUCGCAAGCAGAGCUCAUGCCCAAGGUGAUAUGAACCAUUUACAAGUUCCAUCUAUUGAAAGAUGAUACCCAGCAGGACUAUAUACUGUAACAGGAAUGUGCCUUGGUGACUUGUUCCUGUUCACUUAGUCUUCACUUUUUCCCCCCAUUGUGCUUUUAUUUUUCAUUUUAUUUCAUGGGAAGGUUUUUGGUUUUUUUUUUUUCCUUUUUUUGGGGGGGGGGGGACAAGUCUGUGUCUUAAACCAGAAAUUCCUGCCUAAUUUAUCCACAAAACAUAUGCAGCAUAUAAGAAUUUUAUGCAAAUUGAAUUACCCUGGAAGCAGCAACAUAUCCGAGCAAGGUGGCCAGGACAGGUGUACUGCAAGGUGAUGCUGCUAAAGCAAAUGUAAGCCCGGCCAAAUAUGCCUGCACACCUGCCCAGCCAAAAAAAUUAAGUUGCAGUUUCAGAUUUUCAAUAUACUAUGUAAACCAGAUUGAUCAUCUUUUGUAAUUAGCUGAUACUACUAUCGAAAUGCACAUUACUUGAAGGAAAAUUAGCUGCGGCAGCACGGGGAUCAAAGUUGUUAAAAAAUGAGGGAAGCUGAAUCUCUAUUAUCUGCAGCAUUGGCCAGGAGAAUAACACCAAAUGAAAAAGAAUUAGCAGGACAAAAUAAAAGGCAAUUGUCUUAACGUUGUACUGAAAUCAAUUAAAUUUAAAAAGAGGACAAAACAUGCACAGUUGUCCAUUCCUCUAAAAAUUAAAGGUUAACUUAUCAAAGCCCUUAUCUUUGAAGACACACACAUUGAUCUGAUUAAACGUUGUCAAUAGCAAGCGACCAUCAGUCUCAGGAAUUUUAUUUGCAGAUAUUUGCAUGCGGAAAUCAAGCAGAAUAAGAGGCAGAAAAAGACCACAGCCCAUGCUUGUAUCUGCGAGAGGAAAGAUGGAGUGGAAUUGCAAAUAGGUUUGAACAUUUCCAUUCAUAACUUGCAUAAUAUGCUUUAGGCCGUUAGUCAGACUCGAACAAAAAAGACAAGGGUAUGAGAUGUACAAACUUUAUCCAGGAUGAUCACACACAGAUUAAAUUUCUAAAAAGACCAGAUUCAGAUGCAACCAAUUCCAAACCUACGCAGGCCUAACAUAAAAAGUUUUUUUGAGUGGAAAAAAAUUCAUUCAAUUUAAGAUCAAGCAAUUAAGGUUGGCACAUUGUAGCAAGUCUGCAAAGCCACAGACUUUCGGCAUCCAUUGCUUAUCAGCAUCCCUAUUCAAGAACUUUCGCUGCAGAUAAAAGUACAACAGUAUACUCCCAGGGUAUUACAAAUCUCAUUUGGAUCGAAAGUCCAUGCAGCUGACAAUUGAAUUCACUCCAGUAGGUAACUUGGGGGAAAGGUUAGCAGUAACAUGAAUAGACAAUAAAAUAGCAAUAGAUACGUAGUUAAUCACCUCUAAGAGAUUAAAACCCAUGACAAUUGCUAGACAAGAAGCAGCCAAUGGCAAGCCUUGGCCUAUCUGACCAUAUGCUUUUCCAGCAAAUGAGGCUGCUAUUCCAAGCAAUGCCAAUGUAGUUGCCAAUCCAAGGGCAAAUGCAAGAGAAUCCCCAACAAUCUGAAGUAUGCAACAUAAAAGAUAAUAAGAGCACCAAUAAUUCUAUACGUGCAGAUUUUAGUAGGCAGUUUAAACGAAAUUCAGUCACUCCAAACAGCCAGCCAGCCAUACAUGUGACUUUUUUCAACAAGAAAAUUUGGAUGUCAAAUCAUCAUUUGAACAUUUGUCUAAGCUAUAAUUCACACCAGAAGAUCUGGCGAUUUCAGAAUGAAAAAGCAAAUGAGAUCAAUUGGUAGCUUACUGCUGCUCUGCUUCUUCCUGAACCAUAAGCCCCUGAAUAAUUUCCAGUAAAGACAAAUGGCAUCAUUAGAUGAAGUCUUAAGAACAACGAAAUCAAGAGAUUUUGGGACUUAGUCUCUAACCAAUAUAACCAAGAGUCAGUGGCAAAACACUGAGUGUACAAGGAGAAAGGCUGGUUACGAGUCCGGCACCAAAAAUGACAGCCAAACUGUAUGUAACAAAGCGCUAAACAUUCAGUCACUUCAGAACUUAACCCUCUUCCAGACUGAGGGAUCCAACAAUAUGAAUACAUGCCUAGUAAAACUGAGGGCAGACAACUGGUCUAGAACAGCUUCAUUUGCUUGUUGUCCAGCCGAAUAUAAAAGGCUUCCAAACCAAUCUGUAAUGUUUCCAUCAGCCAAAACAAAAAGAGAAGUAGGCGCCUCCUGAUACCAAAGAGAUGGCAAAACCUCGUAAAUAUACAUCAUAAAGCUUAUUCGUGAAAGUACACUAACAAGACAUGAUUCACUGAAUAUAUGGUACCAUGAAACUUUCAUUGCUCAAAGCAUUCGCAGCUUGGGAAGUGACCAAAUUUGCUGCUAGAAACAUUACAGAAUGAAUCAAAAUGAUGUAAUCAGUUUACAGAAGAAACUUAUGCAUUGAUAAUAAGUUAAACAGGCCUAGUAUUUUAAGAAGAAGACCACAAACUUCAUUACAUAAAGAUUGGCAACAAAAAAUUAAACUUCAAAAUUAACCAUAUUUUCCAUUUGAAUGGACUCUUAACUGUUUCAACGGGGACCUACGUAGAAUUUGGCAACAUCAUGUAGUGAAAGAUGCCAGAAGGCUAGGUCAUUUCAGAAUACUAGUUAAAAGUGCAGGAUACUAAGAGCAGAGAACUCUAUGAGGAGCGGGACAACAAUUUAAUGAAAGUUAUGAAAUACAACAGAUAAAUGAGAUUUUAAAACAAGGUAGACUCGUCCACAAGUAACACCUAGGACUAAUUAUUUCACAAGAUAUAGUAGUAUCACACGAUACCUUGCUGAAACAAGCAUUAACUCCAUCUAAAUUUACCUCACCUUCGAUUGGAAUUUCAGCCCCUCUGAAAAAAGAUUUACGAACCAGAGAAUCACAUGUUAUAUUUUGAUGUGGAUUGUCAUUCCAACUCCAAGCUCCAAUUUUUAUUUAAAGGCAUCCAAUUUGGUUGAUAUAGUUAAGAUAUCAGCAAAGCUCAAACCAAACCAUCGCAAUGUGUUUAACGUCACAUUCAGACCCAUACACAAAACCAAAAAGGAAUCUCAACCGGCCAACAACCAAAUAGCUAAUUAAAACAACUAAGCUGUAAAAAAAAAGUACUAAAAAGAAGUAAAGAAUGAAGGGUCCGAUACCUGUAACAAAUGUAGUGAGUUUAAGUUUGUCAGUGGCGCCCACUUCACUCGUACAUUUCAUUGGCAUUUCGCUAUGAUUCUUAUAGUUCCCUUUCAAGAAAAAGAAAUCAUGGAAAGAAGCAUGUGGACAGUAUUAAGUACAUAUUAUAGACUGACGGCACAAUCAGAGUUUCGAGUAACUAAACUUGAGUUGCCGAAAUUGUGCCAUAUCCCAGUUGAAUUUUGUGGAUAACUCGAAAAGGGAUAGAGAAACAUACAAAAAGAUGUUCUAUAUGAAGGUGAGACGCCUAUAAAUGUGGCUUACCAUGAGAAAGAAUUGAUCUUUGUGGAUACUUUGAAGCGACGAUGUAAUGAAGCCGCUGGCAAAUCAUGCCAUUUAUGGUUGAUAAAUUCAUUUGUGUUAAGCUUCAAGAGGACACAAAAGGGAACCCAGAAACAGGAAAAGGAUGCAGUCUUGGGCAGAGAACUUUUUUUUUGGGGGGGGGGGGGGUGAAGGAAUUAUGAGGACGAGGGUGUGGGAGUAGGAGAAAGUGAAGCAGCCUUCAAGUUUUGGAGUUUACCAGGUGGAGGAGGACCAAAGUCAGAAUAACAAGCUUGAUAUUUUUGUGUUGUUUUUGGCGUGAAAGGAAAGGCGUUGAUACAAUUGUUGUUAUGCCCUUACUUACUGUUAAGUGGCUCACUGCCACCGGGAAGGAUCUCAUAUUUUAGUACAUUUUCAGUCUAGAAGAUGGUACAUUUGACCUGACAUUGAGAUGAUAAAGGGCAACUGAUUUUACAUUUUUCAUGUAAAUUGAAAAUGUUGAAUUUUCUUCGUGUAAAAUUUCUUUUACAAAUGGAACCAAAAUGCUAUAAGCGAAAAGCAUGGCCAACCAUGAAGGUUUUCAGCAGGCUUCUUUUUUCUUUUUUUUUCCCAUUAAUUUUCGAUGGCAAAUUUCCGCUGCUAAAAGCUCUUUAAAAAGAUAUCUGCACCACCAGUUUCUUUUUCGUUUGGCACCGGGACUUUUGGGGAGCUUGGGAGUACCUUUUCUUCUUUCUAGUUUUUUGGUCGCGUAAGAGCACGAGUAUAUGAACCCUUUUUCCUUUUUUAUCUCUUUCUUGGAUCUGUUCCAUAUAGAAAUAACAGGAUGAGGAGGGGAAUUGAAUUCUUUCUCCAUUCCAAUAUCAAAUCAAAUACGGUUGGCAGGCCAUUCGUGCAAAUAUAGUAGUAAGAUCAUCUGACAAAGCAUCUACUUUCGUUUAAAAGGAACUGAAGAUUAAAAGGGGCGAGAAAAAUACUUCCUCAAGCAGUUACAUAAACAGACCGAGGUUAUAAAUCCUCUCUUUAAUCUACCACUCUAAUUACACAUGGUUGAGUUUAACUUUAAGCAGUUUGAACAGAUAAAAAAAUAGCCCCCACAAAAAAGGCAUUUUAUCCAACGUUUGGAUUGAAAGGGUACAUUUUGAUUGGCUCAAAACACUCCGAUUCUACUUGGUGGUUGACAGAGUAUCCACAAAGGUGAUAAAUGCUUCCAAGGGGAGGCAGAAUAUCCAGUCAGGAACAACAACUCCCUGAAUUCAGGCAAAAGACUUCAGCUUAAAUCUUUUCGUACGCGCCCCGGCUUCAUUUCUGCCAAAACAAAGGUUGAGCUUGAGUUAAACAUGUAAAAGCAGGGCUUGAACCUUCUCCUUGGGCUUGACUUCAUCGUAUGUAAGCCGAAAUGAAUAAAUAUAUGAUAAAAUAAACUCAGAAGACUGAAUUAAGAUUUGGACCGUAUGCCUGUCUGUCAUAAAUCUGUAAACUUUGAACAAGCUGAAAACAGAAAGAAAAUGCAUAUCUUGGGGAUAGCGAACGAGAGAAGUUGUAUUAAACAAUCGACAGACAAGAGCAAGAAAGUUGACAUUAUGUCAAGCCAUUUUAUAAUGUUUUUCUUCUGUGUAUCUGGGGGUAUCUGUCUCUUCGCACGCUUUUGUGUGGUUCAGAAAGGUCUAUGAUCAUUCUAAAGACUCUGGUCUACAUUUAUCUCACUGAAGCAUCACAACUCGUUCUCUUUUUUGCAAUCCACAAAGAUCACAUUAUGCAAUUUCAUAGCAUAUUCUGAUGUUAUUUGAUAAGGAAGUCAUAUGAUAAUCUACAAAAACCACAUCCUUCCUAAAUUUUGGAAUCCUUAAGGUGAGCUGUCUUUUCCUUAUUUCUGAUAAAUCAGUAUUCUUUAAGUUUUCCCAUAUUUUCAGAAUUCUUAUUUCCCCCUCUGGCUCUCUUUAGAAUCACCAUACUGAAAUGGUUAGAACUGCAAAGCAAACUAAAUGAAAAGAGUAAAAGUGUUCUUACGAGCUCGACCCUGCACCAUACAAAUGCAACCUAAGUAUACAAAUCAAAAUAACUUUGAAUGCCAUACCUCAUUUGGUGGUUGCAGAGAAGAAGUUUUCCUUAGUCCAAUUAUCAACUUUCCACCCGGUUCCACUCUAUAAAAUGUGACUGUCAGAACACAUCAAUUUAAACAUUGUCAGGGAAAAAAGUUUCAAAUUCAUGAGACAUCAUGAGCUGAAAAAAAAAAAAACAAUAAACCUUCAAAACUUUAAUUUUCAUAAUCUUGGGUCCUAAAGAGCACAUUUACAGCUCCAUGUUGCUCGGGUAAUCUGACAGGGUAAUAUUAGUCUUAUGACACUCCUAGUGUUGGCAGCAACUGAUGGGUACCUCCUGGAAAGACAAUCACUAUUUCCUCUCUUUAAGGACCUAUGCAUGCAAAAGCUACACAUGAACUUGGCCCUUUUACAAACUACAAAGGAGGACAUCGCCACAAUACAAUGUGAAAAUGAAGUUAAAACCCUGAAACAUUGGUUAUUGAGACCUUCCCUUUUGAAUGUUCAUUGGACUGAAACCACUAUCCUACCAUGACCACAGAACUGUCAAGUAUGAUCUGCUUAAUUGAAUAAUAGCAAUUGGUUAUAACCUUUUUCCUUGUAACUAUAAACCACUGAGUCAUCAAAAGCCAUUUAACCUUAGGAGAUAGGAUACUGACCAGUAUCCCCUGCUUGCCAUCUCUUUGAAAUCAUAAAGUCUCUAAGCCCCUCCAGGAUAUACAUCUUACUGCCACCAUUGAUCCAAUAACGAUAGUUAAAAUCCCAAUCCUUGCCUUCUGUAUCCUGGAUUUUGAGGAGAAAUCCACGUGGCUCAGAAAUAUCUGGGAAGAAAGCCUGGAGGAUUAUAAGCUUCCAUUAACAUAAUGACAAUAUCAUAAGAUGAUCACAAUCCUUCAUGAAGAAUUUAUUCAUAAAGCAACAAAUAGUCAACAGAUGAGAAACAUGUAUUCACCACCAACACUACACAGUUGAAUACCACAAACUCACCUCUGCACAUUUCUUUGGUAUUAUAAGGCGUGCAAGUUUCAGGUCAGCAUCAGUAGCAGAUAGCAGUUUCUCAAAUAAAGGAGUGACCACACAUUCAAAACUAAAACUUUGUCAAGGAAAAGUACAGUACUAGUAAUUACAUUAGAAACAAGGACUCAAUACAACCCAGUAAAAACUAAAACUGAAAAGACAAUUCAUUUCAUGUAUAUUGUAUGCCAACAAGACAAUUGACUUUAGAAGUUCUAACUAGGCUUACAACAAGAAAAGCUGAACAGCAUCCUUGAGUUCAAGGAAAAAAAAAAGAAUAAUAAAUCACGAAGUUGUAUAGCUAGAUUUCUUUGGUGAAGUACUCUCAACAGAAAAACAGGUAAAAUAUAACAGGAUACUUUCUGGAUAUCUGUUGCACUUCCAUCUCACUGCUUCGAGGCCGGUAUUGAGGCUCUAUGACAGUUUGCCUGGUGAUAUCUGGCUGACCUUCAAGAAACAGGCAUCUGCUUCGUGCCUAAAAUGUAAACUUCAAAAUCUUGUAAGAGUUCUGGAUACUAUUGGAGAAUUUAGAUGGAGCACUUUGGGAGACAUCUAUCCUAAUUUUCACAAGUCAAAAUAACUGAAAAUGACUAUCAGGGGCCAAAAGGUUCAUGAUUAACAUUGUCUAAGAUUGGUCUUGAUAAAUUAAUAUCCAACUUUAUACUCAACUAAAAUUCAGCUUAGCAUUGUACCACCUUAUGCAGGCAAGAUUGUUAAUGUAAUAUGAAUGUGACUCACAAUAAUUUCCUCUGUCAUGCUAUUUCAUUUCGGAAACCAACAAGCCAUUCUGCCGAGGCAGGAGGAUCUGCUGAAUACAUUAAUCCCAACCAUGGGUACCAUAGACAGACACACUGAAACAUAAAGUGUGACAAUCUAGAACGAAGAACUUGCCAAGGACAAAUUUGUCACAUAAAUGAGUUUAGAAAGACAUCAAGAGGUCAAAAUAAUCCCCCUCUUACCAGAGCAAAAUUAAUCCUUGAGCACUCCAUGCAGAUUACUCCACCAAAAUCCAACAGCAAAUAUGCAUUAAAUGAGACAAUACAUCCACAAUGGACCAACUGCACAAAAAAAGGAUUGACUUUAGGGCCUAGUCUUUAGUGUCUCUCAAUCAAUCAAAAUGUACUUAUAAAAGGCUUUCCACAACUAUAUUAUUAUUUGCCCAUGAACGAGUUGCAAUUUGGGAAAAAAAUUUGGAAAAACCUUCCAUAGAAAACAAAAUACUGUUAAGUAAGUUUUUGGACAACUUUGACACAUAUUGAUUUUGACUUUAGCCUCCAAACAGUAUAUCAAAAAUCACACUGGAACACUUGUUGCAAUUAUAAGGGUGGUCGACACAUCUGAAAAAUAUGAUUCUGAAAGAAAAUGAUGCGACAUCCAUGAACCACAGAUAUUCAAAGUUCAAACAUAAGUUCCUUACCUUACCACAAGAUUCACAAUCCCUCCAACCAUCAUCGUUUGAGUGGAAAGCCUCACAGAACUUUCCUUCCUCAUAAAUGGAACUACAAAAUAACAAUGUCGUAUGUUAAACCUGAUUACAAUACCUAAAGAAGGAACUGCAUGUGCUACAUAACUAAAUCAGUUCCAGGAAACUUAAAACAAGGUAUCAGGAGAUAAAUCAUGUUAAUCAUGGUAAGUAAGCUUCACCACAUAAUACACAUUAGCGUCUUCUUAAUUACAAAGUAAAACACGAAUUUUGUGAAAUAUGCAAUCAAGGUAUUACAUCAGAUCAGAUAUCGGGUAAAGAAUUAAUGUUUCAAUCAUGUACUCGUAUAAAGGCUAAUCCAGCAAAAAUUACCUCCUAGCUUCGAGCUCAUAUACAUGGGAACUUGCACAUAUUUUAUCUUUGGCUUAUACUUUUAGCAGAAAAAAUCACCCAGCUAUCAGCUCAUUCCACUUUUUGAUCAACAUAGCCUAUUUUCCAAAUUGUACUAAAUAUGUGACCAGCAUUGUCAUUAGCAUGCAAUUUAGGGGACUAAAACGUGAAUCAGACAAACUUUACACUCGCCAUGUACAAUUGGUUCACACUUCACAGUCUCCCAGCCCACCCCUCCUAAUCUCUUGUUUUGAAAUUAAAAUUCCAAUUUCAAAACCCCAGUUAUGCAAAUGAAUACAAUCAAAGGCAUUACACGAAACUUAGAAUGAAAGGCAAAAAAAUAAAAAAGGAAGAAAUCUAGAAUCACGCACCCAAUAAUUUAGAGAUUGCUUAGGAAGCAAGAAAAAUCACAAAACAGUACUAACAAACCACAAACACAUGUCAAAACCAGAAAUUUCAAGAAUUGAGUGAGGGGGUAAAUAUUUGCAGCUAAAAUAAAAUGUUCACAAUUUCAAACGACAAAAGCUCUCAACAACAAAAGAACUUCACAGAACCCAAGCCCGAAAAUAUCAACGGGCUUCAAUUUUAACAUCUUCAAGAAAACUUAAAAUUGAAGGUAAAACCAAUGUGAAUUCAUUCAUUCAUGCAGGUGUUUCUGUAAAUUGUCAGGAAGUGGAAAAGAGUACGCGCAGCGGGGGCAGAGCUGAGCAAACUCGCCACUGCGAAGGCGCCAGCCAUUUCUGAAAUGGUCAAAGCUGGAGCUGGUCUCUUCACAUUGAAAGCAAGAAAUCUUUGAAGAUGAUGAUGUUGAAGUAGAACCCAUUUCAGCUUUCAAGAAGAAACCCUAGAAGAAAAUAAAGAAGAAGAAGGAAAUCAAAGCAAAAGGGAGGUGAUGUGAUUUUUCUGGCGUUGUAAGAGGACUGUACUGUUCACACUUCAAGAAAGAAAGGGACGGUUAGGAACUAGGAAGUGAGUCGGGGAGAUAUCAAUACGGAAGUUCCUUCUCUUCAGUUUCCGCAAGUGCAAUUAGUAGUUCUACUUAGCAGGAGCGUGAGAUUUUUACUAGAUUUCGUGAGUAAUGAGUCAGCAUAAAUCCAGUACAACCCAAACUUUUAAGGUUUGAAAUUAUCUCAUAUGUGCGCGGAUGGGGUGGUGCUGUACUCCAGGCGCAGGGGAUUAGUCGGGCCGCCUUCGGGUCUUGACCCGGACACUCCUGUGUUGAAAAAAAAAAAAAAAGUGCUGCUGAAACAACAUUUUACAACAAUUUUUUUAUUUUUUAUUAAUUUUUCUAUCUCGCAUACAUUAUAUCCAAAAAAAAAAAAUAUUACCGUAAUUCUUUCAAAAUAUCAUUUCAAUUCAUUUCUUAUCCGAACACACUUAUUAGGUGUUGGAGAAAGUGUAUAUAGUUGAAACAUAAAUGCCUCUUCAUUCAAUUUGGUAAGUGUUGAUAAUAAAUUAAAAGCACGGGUUUAUAUUUUGGUGGUGGCGUCUCAGAGUCAGAUGCAUACAACAGUACAUACCACUAAUGAAUUGAUGAAUCAGAGUCUGCUGGAGAAAAGUUAAUGAAUAGCUACUAGGGAUUUGGGGCAACAACGGUUGGAGGAAGCAACCGUUCUGAAAUAUUUAAUAAAAAAAUAUAUAAUAUUUAAAUUUCAUCUUGUACAUUAUUUUUCAUACCAUGUGUGAGAUCUACAAAAUAUUGUUAUAUAGUUAUACUUUGUGCAAAGUGAAUUACAUCAUAUGCAAAUUAAGUUACAUCUGGUAUAAAAUGCACAAAUCGAUCCGAACGAUUUCUCUGUUUACGGUUCUGCUCCAAAUCUGAGCUACUAAUAUAUUAUCUGUACACUAGUCGGAGUUUUUGUACGGUGUAACCGCGCGCGAAUAACUACACAACUGGGCAUUGGUAACUUUUCAGAUCAUCUUAUAAAUCAAUUAGGUGUUAUGCAUGUUUCCUGAUUUUAAUGUUAAUAUGUUUUUUUCCCCCUUUUGGGGUUGAGUUUCAAUUUGGACGUUUGCACUUUGCUCGCCAGACGCAAUAAUGUAGAACGAUACAAGGGCGCGCACAAAGACAGGAUCAAUCCUCCCACCAGUCCAGCGAAUGCUAUGAUUUCUGCUACGUUGGAAAAUGCUGUUAAAAUGACUUCCAACUGCUUCAAUAUUUUUCCACCAUAUCUGAACUGAAAGUUGACUCUUUUGGUAAAUUAAGCACUUGGUGUGCAGAGAAAUUUGAAGGGAAGAGGUACUUGAAGAACAUUCUUUCCAUAGAAAGAAACAACCUUUUCAUUUUCUUUUAUAAUUGUCUAGAAAAGUCUCUAUUUUCUAUACACGAAAUGCCAAAGCCAACCGCGACUAGUUGGCUGAGGCGAACUAAGUACCCAUAACCUGAAGAUAUGAAGAACAUCCAGGACCUUUCGGCUCUCGAGCAUUAUUCUUACUGCCUCAUGUUCGUUGCAUACUUCAAUUUACCAGACCAGAAGGCAGAACUUCAUUCGACCAAUGCUCUCAUCCACUUUUGGCAUGGCAUUUUCAAAAUCCCAACUCCCACAUUCAGCACAACAUAAGUAGGGCCAGAAGGCAUGACAGAGUUACAGAGGCAUAGAAAUCAGAUGUGAUUAUAGAAACUGUAAUAAUACCAAAAGUGAUUGCUACACACUGCACCUAUACUGAAGUUGAUGAACUCUUUGUAUAAGAAUUCAUGACAACAUAAUUCAAUCAUAUAGCUUUUUGGCAGAUUGGAUUCUAGUUAUCUUGCUUUCAUUCUUCGAGAUUUUCUGUUCCGAUUGCUCAUUCUUAGAUAUAGCUUUAUCAAUAGCUUUCAUCUUCCGGACAUUCUUUGUUCGCUUCAUUUGGACGCCUUUAGUCUUCCUGCAUAGACAUCGACAGAUGAUCAGAAAGGGUAAAAAUACGCCCGUCGGAAGUGCAUUAGAGAAAAUAUACACACGCAUAUAAGCUCCCAAGUCCUGUCAGUCAGACUUUGCUAAGCUAAGCACAAAUAGCAUAAUAUUUUGUUUCACCUGGUGAUAGGUAAAAAAGAUAAGCAAAAAAGGCAAUGAAAUUUGAGAAAGAAAAACGGGAGGAGGGAUCGAUGGUCAUUCUUUGUCAUGUGGUUACUGUAGUGUCCAAAACUCCAAAUUGGAAUUCUAGAAGACAACUGCAAGUACAUAUAACACCCUACAUUUAAAUAUAUAUAAAUAAAUAAAAGAAAUCAGGAUGCGAAACAAAGAAACUUCCAUAGACAAGCAUAUUGCGCAUAUGUUAGAUAACGAUCAAAAAGGUUUAAUAGCUCAAACAAAGAAACUUCUGCACACAAACUAACAUAUUGCACGUAGCAGAUGUCAGAACAUAAAUGAACAACAGCACGCAGCACUAUUUGCCAAACUGGUUCCAGAAGCAAAGACACUCAACAAACAAGGCACAAAUUCAGCACAAAACUCGGUCAAAAAAUUAAUGUUUGUAAUCCACAAUAGGCUGGACUUACUUUAACCCGGCCGGAACAUGAUUUCCACUUUCAAGAAUGCAUAAAACUCAGCAACAAAAAUUAACGUUUGUAAUCUUUUUCCAACUCAAAGUUACCAAUAAUGUAGUGUUUAGCCUUGGACGAUAAUUAUUAUAAUUAUCUUCACUUUCCUUUCUCCUCCCAUCCCCUUACUAGCUCUUUCCCCAGAAGCAUGACUAAGGUUUCAGGGCAGCCAGAAUUGGAGAUAAAUUUUUUCCAAUAUCUCAAUCAGGAUUGAAUUUUUCUCCUCCCGAUUCAAGAUUUGAACCUUAGCUUUUUCCAACACGCGUAUCAAACAAAAAUAAACAGGAAUCGCUACAUAAAUUUGCAUUUCCAAAUAAUAAUCGUAAAAAAAGGGAGAGGAAAUUCAGCUGACCUAUGUGGCCCACCAAUAGAUGUUCUGGAAGCUCCCGGCUCUGAAGUAUCCAUUGCUAAACAGUUCCAAAUACACAUUUAAAAACAAUUGUCAGAAAAAGUACUUUGAGAAUUUAUUAUGGGCACCUACAAAGUCUAAAGCUUUUUUAAUUGCCAAAGAAUAUAUACCUUGAGGGACAUGGAAUACUUGCUCAUCAGAGGUGAGGUCCAUCGGGGCUGAGCCAUUUUUCAAUUUCUUCUUCUUGUUCCUGUUCUUCGCCAUAACCGAAGCUUCCAAAGCUCCGAGAGGGUUUAAGGUUUGUCCGACAAAGCCCUAGAUAGAGGAGUUUUAUCAGAAGACAAAAGAGUCCUUCGAGUGGGCUAGCUGAGGUCCAGUAAACUGCUUUAGUCAAACGUGCUGUUCGUAAUUUUGGGCUUGGGCUGGAAGAAUAACAAUACUAAUAAGUCUUGUCAUAUUUUCAUUCUAUUUUUUUUUUCUUUGGAAUUUAACUUUCUUCCUUUUUUUUAAUUUAAUAUUCCGAUAUUAUAGAUUAUUUGUGAUGCUAUAAAAAAAUUAAUAGUAAUAAUUUCUCUGACUAAGCAUAUCAAAUUCAUAUUUGGAGUUUUAAAGUUUCAAAUUUGAAAGUCGCUUUCAAUAUUUGCGUGAUUCUGAUAGUAAAUUUAUGUUACAACUUUUCAAGUUACACUUUCUUUUAUACUCCAACAGCAAUGUUUCUGUAAUGUGAAUGAUUAGUUACAAAAAGAAAACAUAUACAAAUUAAUUAAAAAAAAUUUUUUUUUUGCUAAGUUUGCUUUCUUUAAUCUAAUGCAAUGGCAUCAUGCAUGAAAACAUGCAAAUAAGGUUCGAGUAGGUCAAGCAUCAAAUAACUUUCGAGUUUGUGCUUGAAAAUUGAAAGUAAGGUCUAAACUAUAGGUGUCAAAAUGAGUUAUUUGGGCGGGUUUGGAUUGGUUUAAAAUGGGUAAUGGAUAUAAGUAAAUCAACUUAUUUAUACCCAUUUUAUUAGACGGGUAUAAAUGGAUAAGAUAAAAAAUAAAUUGGAGUAACCCAUUGAUAAUCCAUUUAUUUUAACUUUUUGUAAAUUCACAUAAAUUCAUUUUUACAAACUAAGUUAUCAAUUCAUACCACCCUUUACACCCAUCAUUAGUUUAAAUAUUUACUUAUAAUGCUCAAUAAACCUAAUUACCAAUUUUUUUCAUCCAUGCUGUAUGUCACAAAAUUACAUACUAUUUAAUAAUUGAGCAAUAAGAAUAUAAAAAUUUGAACUAAGUACUAUAAAAGUUAAUAUAAAAACUUAAUCCAAAAAUUUUGAACCCCUAACAUUUUUUCUUGUGUAAAUUUAAAUUUUCAUUUUGGAAAGGUAGGAAAAGAGACUAAAUCUUGUCAUAAAUUGGUAAUACUAAAAAAUGAGCAAGUUAACAAAUUAAGAGAAAAUAAAAUAAUAAGAUAAAACCAACAAAUAAAUAUCAUGACAAAGCGAAAAAUCUAAAAAAAAUGGGUGGGGGAAGAGAGGAGGUUUGAAGAAAGACAAUUCUAAAUGAGUUAAUUAGAUUUGAUGGGUUAUCCAAUAAUAUUCAUUUAUUAAAUGGAUAUUAUUGAGUAACUCAUUUAUACCCAUAUGCAAAAAUUUAAGAUAUCCAUAUGCAUUUGUUCAUAGACGGAUAUGGAUAAAAUUAGUAAAAUUAAUUUAUUUGCGAUCUAUAGUCUACACCUCUCGGCCACCUUCAAGCUUAACUUGUUAGGGAUCUUAUUUUACGAGAACCUUUUUGAUUUAUUUAGGUGGAUGUUUUGUGAGUGGCAAUAUUGAGGUCAACAAAAGUGAUGGCCUCAUCAUUAUUAGCAGGUCACCUUUGUUGUCGGACAUCAAACAUCAAUAAUCAUCAUCACAGGUAUGCAUGCAAUGGAUUCAUGAAUGCUUAACCAAAUUAUCCAACAGAUUUCUAGCCCAAAAAAAAAAAAACUUAACUCGUAUAUCUUUUAUUUACUAGACCAAAAUACUCAAUGCCAAAAACUUUCUUUGCAAAACAAAUUAAUUAGCAAUAUUAAGUCAUUAACAUAUUAGGGUAUUCAAGGUUCGAUUGUCCGCACACUACUCUUCAGAUGACAAGAUGUCAAAAAAUAGUGACACAAAAAAAUCAAAUAAGAAAUGGUACCAGUAGUUUAGUAUUGCCUUGAGCAGUUGAGCUGGAAAAAAUGGGAAUGGAAAAGGCAACAAAAAAAAAAAAGAAGAAGUAUUAAAGGACAAGAAAGAUUGAUGUAAUAUCUUUGGUUUAAAGGGAUGGCGAGAAAGAAUACCUAAUACCAUAUGGAAUCAAGUGUUUGGCAGCUUUGGGACUUGGUUUGAUGCGGUUCUAUUCACUGUUCAAAUUGGCCCAUUCUUAGCGAUGCAGUGAUGGAUAAAGGGCCCUUAGAAUCUCAAUCAGGAUUUUCAAUUAACAUGGUUUAAUCAUCAUUCGCUUGUACCAUACAUGUACCACUAAAAAAGGAAGAAAAAAAAGGGGCAUAAUAGGAUCAAGUAGCUCUCUUUACCAAAAGAUUGGAGGCCUGAUGGGUCUUAACCACUCGAUCUAAGAUAUUUAUUGUUGACAUGAAGUGGUCUUAACGACCCUAUCUAAGAUAUUUAUUGUUGAUACGAAGUGGACCUCAGAUCGAAGAUCGAUCGCACAUUAAAGGACAGAGAUUAUGGCCUCAGCAGUGUAUGCAUUAAUAUCAUAAUUGUACGUAUUGACACAAUAAAUACCACCUAUAUAUAUAUAAUAUAAAAAAUUAAUCUUAUACAUACUGAUGGUGGAUAGACUGUCACGAUUGAAUGUAUAACACAUAUGCAAAAUUUAAAUUUUAAAUUUAAAUUAUGUGUCAUAUAUCUAAUGAAGAAAGUGUGUGUACUAUCAGUGUAUUAAAAAUUUAUAUAUAUAUAUAAUUUUUCUAAUGGGUGCUCACUUAUUAACACACCCAAAUAAUUAUUACUUAUAUUUAUAUGUUUUUUCUAAUUAAUCAUAUUUUUUAAAAAACAAUUUAACGCUUGAAAUACAUCUUAAUAAGUGCUUAAUAAGCACGCGUUACGAUAGACCUAUAUAAAAAUAAGACUGUGCAAAAUAUCAAUGCUUUUUUAAAAUUUUGGUUAGAGUUAUUUACCAAAAUUAAUCAUAAACCAUUGAAUUUAGAAGUUACUCAACUUAAACUACAAAAUUAACAUCACAAUUGUAGUUGCAAUCUUGUGGUACACAGAGGUUCCUGGUCCUAAAGGAUAAUGUUGGUUGUUUGGGUUGCACAUUCUAUUGGGCACAGGACACACAGAAUUGAUGUCGUCCUCAGGCGCCGCCCCCUUUGGGGCACCGAUGCACAUUUAUGAAGAUAUGGCUGCUUUAUUAUGUAUCAGCGGCAUCGCACAGCUCUUAUGUACGGUGAAGAACGAGUGCGGGCUGCUUGACAAACAAUUGAACCGUCCCUUUUGAUCUUGGAACCAUACACAUCAACUUCCGAAAUUUUGAUCUAGGUGCAGUAAAAACGAAUACCAAUACACUCACUCUUUAGAGUAACUUUUGAGAUGGUCCAAUGAAUGAACGCCAUCAUCUGGGGACACCAUCAUGAAGUGGUCAGGAAUUGUAGAAUUUGUAGAUCCAGAGGCUAAUUCUAAUUGGGGAGUCAUCUGUGCAUGAUGCAUCCUCUUGUUUUUCGGGUCUUUUUCCAUUUGCAUAAACUUUUACUUUUACCUGAUGAAAUCUUUUUUCUCUUAAUUCACAAAAAGGUAGAAGCUCGUGUUAAACAAUUCAAGAAAAAACAAAUAUACUAUAGUUAACAUUUUAUUAUGAUUUUCCAUGCAUGCUCGCCAAUUAGUAACAAAUGAAGUGAGUCAAUAACCCUUUUUUUUGGAGAAUCAAGGACUAUUGGUUAUUGAAUGUCUGUUGUAUCUUUAUGUUUUGGGACCCAAAAAUUGCAAUCUUUUAGGUCAGGAAUGUCAAACUAAAAUCGUGGUGCACUCCACGGCAGCCAAAUCCAAAUGGAGCCCGGAACGUGUUACUGAGGCCUCCAACAUCAUGGGGCGGGCAAAAGCUACACAGGCGCUAGACUCCGAUUUAAGAGGGUUCGUUAAAUUGCGAUGUGGGGCCAUAUGUUUCAUUUCUUUUUCUUUUUCCUCUCUAAUUAAUUAGUACUGUUUUGGUUCUUGAUUUGACCUUUCGAGUCCUCCACUUGGACGUCUUUUUUUUUCCCAUAAUUGGCGGAGUCCACCUUACCGUUAUGAUUAGACCUUUUGUUAAUUAAAACCAGAAUUUCUCACAUGCCCUCAUCUCUUUUACUUUUCGUUUAAUAAAGCCCCUCCAUUCAUGCUGUAAAUCUCUAAUUUUAAUGGAAUAUUUAUUUACUUAACCAUUUUGAUCUAAUGAAGUUUAGAUUAAUCUUUUCUAGAGUAUACACUGUCAACGUUUGAUGAAAAAUAACUAUAUAAAAUCUAAAUUUAAAAUUCAUAUUUUACACAUAUAACAUGAAUUCAACGAUGAUAGUAUAUAUACUGUCAGUGUAUAUAAUAUUUACUUAUAAAAGUUUCUCUUGAAAAGGGAAAAAAAACUAUAUAAUAGUUUCACACUUAUCAUCUUUCAUGCAUUUCCUUGUUGAUUAUUAAAGAACAUAUAGCUUUUAUUCCUUUUCUUCUUCUUCUUUUUUUUUUUGACCUUUUGGUGUCACCAUGUCAUGUGUUUUUCUAUUGCAUUCAUGAGCACAACGAUAAGUGCAAAUAAAAGAAUUAAUUCCUACAUUACCCAUGUAUAUAUUAUCUUGCAAUAACUUUAAUGUAUAACACUUAACACUUGUUCAAUUUGAAAAUUCUAGCAUUUAAAUUUGUUAGUGUAAAAAUUAAUCCAACUAAAAAUGUAAAACUGACCCAUGCUACUAAUUGGUGAGAUAAAGUAUAGAUAUCUUAUUGUGUAACUCGAGCUUAACUCAAUACAUUUUUUAAAAUAUAUUUCUAAUAAUUAAGUGAAAAGGGAAGCUCAAACACUUUCAAACAUUUGCUGACUCAUUAAGCUUGAUGUAAUGAAUAACACAUCCACAUACGUGAUCCAUUUGUCCCCCCAUGGGAAUGAAAAUCCACAGCAAAGUUUUAUAUGAAGCCUAACAGCAUAAAAAUUUAUGGCAUUCUUUUCUUAAUACGGAAGAGUGGAGUAUUUGGCAGUUAGAUAUAGACUAGUUGGGCAAUAGAAAGCUAAAGAGCAUUUUUCUCCCUUUUCCUUUCCUGCAUCAUUGACAGAGUUCUGGUUACCAAGUAAGAACUACGUUGUCUUGACCAUUUUAAGUUUGUGGUCCAUGAUCACCAAAUUUAGCACUAUUAAUUCCAGCUUUUGUAACACCUGCUACUUAAUGUGCUUGCCUACGCAAAGAAACAUGUUCUGUCAAAGCAUUAAGUUCUGUACUGUGUCCGCGCACAACAAAAUGGAUACUCACUACUUUGCCGAGCCAAUCAGUCAUUCAGAAAGGAAGAAUAAAUACGCCCAUAUUUUAUUUGGGAUUUCCUUAACCGGUGUCCAUUAGACAUUCCACCCUCAUUAAUCCACCUAUAAUUUAUUUAACUUAUCAUGUAUACGCAUAUACUAAUAAUCAUUAUUCAUUCUUAUAUUUAUGUAUUUUUUUAUUUAAUCUUACCUACCAUCCCUUUUAACUAUUUACUUUUUAUAAUUAAUUUUACAUUUUUCCUCAAAAAAAUUAUGUUUUUCUUGAACAUAUUUUCCAAUCAUUUUUCAUCUCAUGUAUAUCAAAUUACUACAAUAUAUUUUUCUAUUAAACCUCCAGAAAAUAGCAAUCCAAAUAAUUGAUUCUACACUCGAUCCUUAACGCUAAAUUGAAUUUAAUAAGCAAUGAUUAUUACGAGUGGCUCAUUUCAUUUAAAAAAUACACUUUACACAUUACUCGAACAUAUACAAGCUUCUAAUGCUUUAACAUAUUCUUUCAUGUCUUUAUUUUUUUUUUUCAAGAGGUUGAGAUGUUAUCAUUCAAAACAAGCUCAGAUAUAGUAAGUCAAGAACGCAUAAUUAUUAUUGUUUUGUUUAGUUAAUGCAACUGCAUCAUUGUUAAGCUAACACUUCAUUCUACCUGUGUUUUUGGAUUGAGAUAAUUUGAAACAAAAUAAUUUACUUCACAAAUUCCAAUCAACUUUUUAUCUUCCCAAUCAUCUUUUUAUCUCACAUACAUCACAUCAUAAAAAGUGCUACAAUAAUUAUCUCAAAUAAAUCAUUCAAAUAAACUUUUAUCCAAACAAAUGUGUUUUGGAUACUUUAUAUUGCAUGUAAUUUUUUUUGUCAAAAGCAUGCUUUUAAUUUAUUUACUUUUUUUAUUAUAUAAUUUAUCUCACAUAUAUUAUUUCAAAAAGAAAAGCAUCAUGAUAUUAUUCUAAUUUUUUUUUUCAAUCUUCAAUGCAAACUGAAAGAAUUGUAGUUUUGAUCCCAAAUGUUUGGAGCACGAGCGCUUCUAGCCCCAGAAGUUUCGAAGAAAGCAAAUGUACUCCCAGAUAUUUUAAUCUCUAAGCACAUUUAGUCAUAUUGACUAAUGUUUACCAAAAUUCGAUCACUUGCUGUUACAUAACGAUAAUUAAUUUCUUAAAAGAAUUAAAAAAUUGAAAUAAAUAUUCUUGCCCAUAAUUUGUGGUAAAAGAUGACUAGUUACUCGCAUGCCAAUCAUGCGAGUAAUUAGUAUUUAUUUCAAAAAUGCGAAAAUUCGAUUGACAAAAAAAAAUUGUAGGUUAGAGACUAAUUACUCGCUUGACUUGCAUAUGAGUAAUUGGUCGUCUUUUAUUGCAGAGUAUGGCUAGUAAUUUUUUAUUAAUUUUUUUCAAAAAAUAAUUGCUGAUACAGGACUGGAUUUCGACAGUAAUUGAUAAAAAUCAGUCAUUAGGACUAAAUGUACAUAAAAAUUGAAAGAUUUGAUAUUAUAUUUACUUUCAUUCAAACUUUAGAGACAAAAAACCCUCAUGCCUCAAAUAUUUGAGACUAAAACUUCAAUUGUCUUGUCUAAACAUGAUCAGAAGAACAUUCGGACUCAGAAGCUAAAUUUAAUGAUCAAAUCCUUAAAAUAGAUUUGAGGAUCAAAAGUUUUUCCAAGACCAUGACGUUUGAGGUUCAUAGUAGGAUAAAAUGGAAUUCUUCUAGGCACUGACCCGGGAACUAAUAAGCGUAAGCCAAUAUUGGUAAUGACAACAUCCCAAUACUGUAGACCAAAUAAAUACCAAAAGGUUCGACUAUUGGAGCAUUAUCCACCCGCCAGCCACUUUUCUAACAGAAGGAUUCAGGCGCCUCUAUUUUUUAAUUGCGGUUCAUAAAUUCAAAAUAUGUUCUUGAUAUUUUAUUCCCUUAUUAGAUCUAAACGGUUUUCAAAAUCUACCUGUCCCGGAGAAGUUUCAAAUUCCCAAACCAACAAACAGAUAAUACCAUCUUCUCAUUUUUUUUUCUUUUUCCUUUUUUCGUUCAAAAAAAACACCCCAAAAAUCUUCAAAGGAGAGAGAAAUUCAUCUUUCUGCCUUUAAACUUCAAACACCUGAAAAAAGCUUUGUUCAAUUGUUUCUUCAUCAUCAACCGGGAAAAAAUGAAAAACCUUAAUUAACCUCAGAGUUUUUCAUUUCUACAAAGGCGAAAACAAAACAAUAUAACUAUUCAGAUAUCACUUUUGUGAAUAUAUUAGACAAAAAGCAAAAAGUUUUCCUCAGGCUUCGUUUUCAUACAUUUUCGGUUGUUUCGCACAACAAAUUCACUUUUUUUUUUGGGGGGUUCCCUUGAAAUUAAAGCUGUAUAACAGCUGAAGAGCUGCAUUAUUUCUUCUCACUUUUGGCAGGCUUUGUUUUCACGUUUCGUGACGUUGCAGCAUUUUAAAUUGGGUCUUAAUUCACGAAACUGCGUCGUUUUCGAUAUAGUUCGCUUGAAUUGUGAUCAGAAUUAGGGUUUUAGAAUUAUGUUUUGAACAAUGUCGCCUUUGACAUUGUUCAAUUGCUAAUUUAGGAAAGAGAAUUUUGAAAUUCUAGCGGUUUAUCUUCAGAUUUUCCCUCAAAGUUCGAAAAAAUGCUGGCAGUUUCGCCGAAUUCAAUUGCUAGGAGUUCGCUGGAGGAGAUGCUGGAUUCUCUCCGGCGAAGAGACGAGAACGAGAAGCCGAAAGACAUGCCGCCGGCUCUUCCGGCUCGGCCAAAGGCGACUGCCAGGGCUCGGCUGCCGUCGGCUAAACGGCCGUUGCCCAGCAGUUUUGAAACGGGGGAGAAUCUUGAAGCUGGGAAUUUGAAAAAAGGACACAAUAAUCCUAAAGGAUUUAGGGGGAAUAAUAGUUUUGGUACGAAAAAAGCUAAGGCCAAGGAGCCCAGUGAAUCUCCAUAUGCUGAGGUGGCGGAGCUGAAGGGUGGCGAAGAGAGGUUGGAAAGAAAUGAUGGUGCAAAUCUGGCCAAUUCGGCCCCAGGAUCGUUGCCGAGGUUUAGGGAAUCUGACUGGGAUGAUAACAUUGGUUAUUUCAUCAAAAAGGUGCUAAAAAAGAAAAAUAUUUCAUUUUUAUCUAAUAUAUUUAUUUUUUAAUGGUUUUUGCUUACUGUAUGCUGGGUUUUGGAGUUCGGAAAAGAACAAGAUCGAGUAUUUUACCUAUCAAUUCUUGAUGUAUGAACAUGAGAUAUGAAAUGCCUAUUUCAUUUGUCACUCUGCGAUUUUUUGUGAAGCAUUCAUGCCGGGUAUUGGUUAUCAGGCUACCUUUAUACUUUUUUUUUUUUUUGGUGGAGGAGUGUUACGGGUCAGGAUUUAGGCAUGGAGUUCGGCAUUCCAAUUAAAACUUAAGUGAGAUAUCAUAUUUUUAUGCUGCAAGGAAUGAAAUAGCAUGGUCGCAAUGUUGUUCUCUAUACAAGAUAGAAUUGGUGGACAGAUGCUUAUGUUAUAGAGCUUUAUCAUUUCAGAAGCUUCGCGUCUGGUGUCGUCUACGAAACAGGCAAUGGGAGUUAGGACAAAUUCAGUCCACUAUAGGAGAGAAAGCUUCUGUUUUGCUUUCAGACGGAAGUGUAAGUCCAAGUAUUUUAGAUUUUUUUAGAGUGACUGAUCUUGUAAUAGGGCAGAAAUGAACUGGGUAGCUAUUCUUCUGCAGGUUCUGUCUGUUCCAAUUGGAGAGCUUUUACCUGCAAAUCCUGAUAUUCUUGAAGGUGUGGACGAUCUUAUACAGCUUAGUUAUUUAAACGAACCAUCAGUUCUUCAUAAUCUUCAGUAUAGAUUUUCACGUGACAUCGUAUAUGUAAGUUAUAUUGCUGCAAAAAUUUAUGUCAGAUGUCCGCUGUGAUCUUUUGUAUAUACUACACUACAAUAAUCUUGUGUUUGUGUUCUUGUAGAGCAAAGCAGGGCCUGUUUUAAUUGCAAUAAACCCCUUCAAAAAUGUCCAGCUUUAUGGUGAUGAUUGUAUUACAGCUUACAGGCAAAAUCUCGUAGACAGCCCUCACGUUUAUACAAUUGCAGACACUGCUUACAAUGAAAUGAUGAGAGGUGACACCUAAUAGCUGGAAAUUUGGUAGAGCAGUUGUGUCUGGUUAUACCUUUUCUGACUAAAAUACUCACUUCAAUUCCCCUUUUUACACUUCUCUAUCUCCUGCAGAUGAAGUAAACCAGUCCAUUAUCAUCAGGUUCGUGGCAGUAUGUUCUUUGAUUCGUCACUUGUGUUACUUACCCUGUUCGCCUUUUGUAUCAUUUCAAGCUUAGUUUAAUAUGUUAUAUGGAGAUAAGCUUCUCUUUCAAAUUUCAUCCUAUAGUGGCGAGAGUGGGGCAGGGAAGACAGAAACAGCAAAAAUUGCGAUGCAAUACCUGGCUGCUCUUGGAGGAGGCAGCAGUGGGAUAGAGUGUGAAGUCCUGCAGACAAGCUGUAUUUUGGAGGCAUUUGGGAAUGCUAAAACAUCCAGGAAUGACAAUUCCAGCAGAUUUGUUAGUUUCUUCAUCCUUUUAUUCUAUUUUAUUUUAUAUUCUGGGAUGAAACGUAUUCGGGGUUUAUUUGGGAUUUUGGACAUACUUGAGCAGUUCCAGUAUGCUUCACAUAUUUCUUAUGUGGUGCAGGGGAAGUUAAUUGAAAUUCACUUCAGUGCAGUGGGAAAAAUAUGUGGUGCUGAAAUACAGACCUGUAAGCAUCCUUAUCUUGGCAAGUUGCAAACUUUCAUCUAAUACCCUUUAUAAAAUAACUUUUCAGAGUAUUCACUAACUUGGUUCAUUUGGAAAACCUUUGUGAUGCCAUAUGGUGACUUCUGAUGUGUUGGAUAGAUCUACUGGAAAAGGUAGGUUUUCUCUUGCAUCUUAUUUUAUAAUUUUCUUUACUUUGUUUCGUCUGGUUGACUAAUUUCAUGAAAACAAAUCAAGCAGUCAAGAGUGGUUCAGCUGGCUCGUGGUGAGAGGUCAUAUCAUAUCUUUUACCAGCUUUGUGCUGGAGCUCCUCCAAGUCUCAGAGGUUUGUUUCUCAUAGUUUCUUGUUUCUCUGCAUACUUUUCCUAUUACCUGUUCAUUUUAUGUGACUUUGGGGUUUAUUUUGGUCAAAGUAGCAUGUUAUAUCUAAAUGUAAAUAGUUGCCAUUUAGAACCUUUGUGCUAUUUCAGGCAAUGAUAGUUGAGCUAUUGUUGUUUAAACUGUGUGUUUGUUUGUUUGGUUGAGUAUGUGUAGACCUUUCUCAAAAAGUUGAGAUUGCAAUUUUUGUAAAGUCAUGGACUGCAUGGUUGCUGCUAUUUUUGUCAAAAUCAUAAAUCAUAUAUGUUUCUUUCCCCACUUAGAACUUUCUGCUGGAUGCUAGGUCGUAUGGAACUCGGUUUUUUUUUUUGAGGCGGAUUUUGUACUGAUGUGGAAGUUUCCUCCCUAGUUUCUUGGUUGUAUAAGGAUGAACUUUUUAAUAUGAACUGUGAUAGAAUUAUCCCUUUAACGUCCAGAAAUAUUUGAUCUUUUUGGCUCUACAUUUUGGUUCAUGAAAAUCAUUUUUUCUCAGUAGCAAUAAAUUGUUUUUGGUUUCUCCAGAGAGGCUCAAGUUAAAAGAGGCGAAGGAAUACAACUAUCUCAAUCAGAGUGGCUGCUUGGCUAUUCAUGAUGUUGUUGAUGCUCACAAAUUUGAGUCGCUCAAGGUAUUUUGUACCAACAGAAAUGCGCCUUAUGGUUUGUAUCUGUAUGUUUCUCUUCAUGUUUAUCUUGCUAAUCCUUGUAGGACUUUUGUUGCCUACCAGGAAGCCUUCAAUACCCUUAGAAUUCACAAGGAAAGUCAAGAACAGAUUUUUGAGAUGCUUGCUGCAGUAUUAUGGUUGGGCAACAUAUCAUUUCAAGUCAUUGACAAUGAAAAUCAUAUUGAGGUGGUGGAUAAUGAAGGUAAGCUGCAUUAAAGACUUGGUUUUGCAUAUGAUUAUCUCCUUAGCACUUAGGUUUCUUUUUGUUCUUUUACUUGUUGAACGAGAAGUUGGAUAAAUAGGUUGUUUUAAAGUGUUAGUGAUAUUUUGGCACCUCUGGCGCACUGCAUGCCAUAUGUAUACACUUUCAUACUGGCUCAGAAGUUUGAAGAAAUCAACUUCUCUAGCACUUAUUUAGUUCUUUUUUUUUUUUUUUUGGCCUAAACAAUAUAGUAUUUGAGUUGCUGACCUUUAGAGACUUUUGUUGUAGAAGUGCAUUGCUUUGAUUCUCGGUAUGCCUUCUGGUUAUUUGGGUUAUUCUCAUUUGAAUUUGGUGUGGAAGCCUUGCAAGUGUAUUUUUGAGAAUUGUUAAUUAAUCUAGGGAUAGUUGUUUGGAGAAAUUAUGCUAGUGUCCUUAUCAAGAUUUACAGUUUUUGGAUGAAUUGGUACUUCACACUAGAAACAUGUGAUCUUCUUCGAAAUUGUUAUUUUACAACGUAGUAGCUAAUCCUGGCAAGAAACUUCAUCACUCUUACUCUUGCUUCCUAUUAAUGGUUGGAUAUUCACUCCUAGAUAUUUCACAUUUCUCGUCUGCUUCUUGUUUCUCUACUAUUCUGAAAUUCUUGGAGAUGACCAAAAAUCAUUUCUAGUUUUCUGUGUUCCUUGAGCUUAAGAUACAGAUUUUAUGUGUGUGUCAUUUCCCUGCUCCUUUUCUCAUUUCUAUUCCAUAUGACAGAUAUGUGAUUGAGCAGUACUGUUUAACUUGAUAUUGGGGAAACUUUUGGUUGGUGUGCAGAUAUUUUCUUAAUAGUCAUUGCAUGUGGGUAUUGAAAUUGACCUUUUUGUUAUUUCCCCCCUCCCCAUAUUGCAGCUGUAACCAAUGCAGCUAGCUUGAUUGGUUGCAAUGCCCAGGACCUCAUGCUAACUUUAUCGACUCGUAAAAUACAAGCAGGCAAGGACAGUGUGGCCAAAAGAUUAACACUCCAGCAGGUGUAUAUGAUUCUUGCAUGCAUGUUUUGCAUACCAUUCAUUUGUUAUAUUUGUGCACCAAAAAUUUGACAUCUUGCUUGCUUUCAACUAUCAGCCUGUACUCACUGUACUGAUUUUUGUCAUAGGCAAUUGAUACAAGAGAUGCUUUGGCGAAGUUUAUCUAUUCAAGUUUGUUUGACUGGCUUGUGGAUGAGAUCAAUCAUUCACUUGCGAUGGGCAAAUACCGUACUGGGAGAUCCAUAAGUAUUUUAGAUAUAUAUGGAUUUGAAUCAUUCAAGGUAAAUAACAAUUGAUCAGUCUGUUGCUGUUAUGAUAUGAUAAAGCUGUGUGGAUAGAUGACACUAUCACAUUUUAUUUACAGAAAAAUAGUUUUGAACAACUGUGUAUAAACUAUGCAAAUGAGAGAUUGCAGCAACAUUUUAAUCGACAUCUAUUUAAACUUGAGCAGGAGGUAAGCUUCUCAAACCUAGGUUAUUGUUUUUCUUGCAUACAGAAAUUCCCUAUUUUUAUAUUUUUCGUAUAUCUAUUUAUAUGAAAAUAUCAAAUGCCGUGUCAUAGUAAAAGUUAGAGAUUUCUAUUUUCCAGAAACAUGCAGCCAGUGGAGUCUCACAGGGGUUGGACAUUUAUCUUUUUGUCUGUUUUAUGAAUAUUGAAAACAUUGUUGCUCAUUGCUGAACUUGAAAGACUGAUGUUGGAUAAAGAAAUUGCUGCUACAUAACUUUCUGCACUAGAUUUAUGGACUCUAUUCUAUGAUAUCUUCUCAAGUAAAUGAUUUCUGCAGAAUCACAAUAUUUAAUCUGACUGGAAAAUUUUCCCUUUUCGCUAGUCUCCUUGUUCCAACUAUUAUAUUGAUCUGAAAACAGGAUCAUCGUUACUAAAAUCCAUGUGAUCGAAUGUGACAUCCCAAGCAUCUUGUUUUUGUGUAGGAGUAUGAAUUGGAUGGCAUUGAUUGGACAAAGGUAGAAUUUGAGGACAACCAUGAGUGUUUGAACCUCUUUGAGAAGGUAUGUUCUUCCUCCCAUUAUGAUAUCCUGUCUUUAGGAAUUUUAAAGGCUGCAAAUGCAUACACGAAAAUGUUUACAAACUGGUAAAACGUCUUUUGCCAUCAUCGUGAUUGGCUGAUUAAAACUCAUAUUUAUAUAUGUAGAAUAUACAAGAGAGAACCAUUAUGACAAAAUUACACAAGUAUCCUAUGAAUUACUUAGGGGUAUGGUGUCACAGAUAUACUUUGUUUAAACAGAACCUUUUCGAUUUGACGUUUUCAUAAUUCAGUGCAACAUCUUGUGUAGAAGCCUAUUGGGCUGAUAUCUCUAUUGGAUGAGGAGUCAAAUUUUCCAAAGGCUACCGAUUUAACCUUGGCUGAUAAACUUAAGCAGCACUUGGAUGCUAAUCGUUGCUUUAAAGGAGAAAGAGGCGGUGCCUUCAUCAUUCGCCAUUAUGCUGGAGAGGUUAGUGUUGCUUAUAGCCAUGAUCAUCAUGAUAGUAAUUAUUAAAAACACUUUUGAACUUGUGAUAAGGAGAGUUUUCCCAAUUAGUAAUUGAAACACAAACUUGAAGCUGGGCCCACAAGAUAUCUUUUGUUUCCAUGGUGUUUUCUGAGCAGUAUUUGUGUAGGGUUCAGUAUGUAGUUAUUGAUUGACGAGUACUUGACGCAUAGUAAUGUCUAUUUCCAAAGGGUAUUUAUCUUAUCAUUUGCUUCCAGUGCACAUUGAAGCUUUUAUUUUCUUAAAAACUGGUGGUAUGCCAUCAUACCAUGUGGUGCUACUUUGGUGCUUUAAUACCUAACGCAUGAAUAUUCUUAUGAGAAUUGGGAAGACAUUCUAUGUCGGCUUGCUCAAUCCCUGUUCUUGAAGGCUGAUGGUAUGCUUUGCUAGCCUAACUAUAGUCGUUUUCUGUAGGUUCUUUAUGACACUAAUGGUUUUCUGGAGAAGAACAGAGAUCCCAUCCACUCUGACACAAUCCAACUGCUUUCCUCUUGUAGCGGGCAUCUUUCUAAGUUGUUUGCCUCUUCAGUUCUUAAUGUAUUACCAAAAACUGCUAGUCCGUUGGAGCAGUCAGGAGCUUUGGGUUCACAGAAGCAAAGUGUUGGCACCAAGUUCAAGGUAAAGAGUCAUGCUGCUACCUAGCAAAAAGGGGGAAAUAACAUAAUGGCUUUUCCAGUAUUCUAAUCAUGCUUUAAUUGUUUACUGCCAUUGGCUACACAAACGUCAAUUAAAAAAGAGUGACACACUUUUGACAUUUUGAGCAAAGUCUAUUUUGAAAGGGAAUUGGAAGUUGGUUCCAUCUUCGCUGCAGAUAUACAUGAUUUCAUUUCACAGCUGCUUUCAGAUCUCAUUAUAAGCAAAUUCAUAGAAAACUUCCCCAAGAAUUGGCCCCUUUUGCCAAGUGCCAACGCUAAAAUUAUUAGGGCCAGAAGAUCUAGAAAAGACAUCGCGGAACAAAGCAAUGAUUUUUUUUCCCAAAAGUUAUUGUUAUAUAAUGGCAAAAAAAAUUUAUGCCAUAAGGACUUUUCAAAACUAAAUUCGCAUGACUGAUAUUCGACUAGUCUUUUAAAGCAAAAUACUUCAUGAGUUUUAUUUCUGCUUGUAGGGUCAGUUGUUUAAAUUAAUGCAGCAGUUGGAGAACACGACUCCACAUUUCAUUCGCUGCAUAAAACCAAACAAUAAGCAGCUUCCUGGCAUUUACGACAAGGACCUUGUCUUGGAUCAACUUAGAUGCUGCGGGGUUCUAGAGGUUGUUCGGAUCUCAAGGUCUGGAUAUCCUACUCGAAUUACACAUCAAGAUUUCUCGAGAAGGUAAAAGUGGGGUAUUAAUUUUCUCUUUGCUUGUUAAUUUUAAGAACUUGUUCAUAUAUGCUUGUGUGGAUUUUAGGUACGGAUUCCUACUUCCGGAGGAUAGUGAAAGCCAAGAUCCUUUGAGUUCAUCAGUUGCUAUUCUGCAGCAAUUCGGUGUCCUUCCUGAAAUGUACCAAGUUGGCUAUACAAAAUUAUUUUUUCGAGCGGGUCAGGUAAGUUAUAGACUAUUGUGAGGUUCUUCAUGUGCUUCUAGGUUUGAAAACCUGCUCUAGAGUCGUGCAGAAGUGUUUUGGACACAAUUCUCUUUGAUUACUUCGCCUCAACAUUUUUGUCCUGCUGCAAUGCAGAUUGGUGCGCUGGAAGACACAAGAAAACAGGUUCUUCAAGGUACUCUUGAGGUGCAGAAGUGUUUUCGUGCUCAUCGGGCUCGUCGCCACUUCCAUGAUCUCAAACAAGGAGUAACUGCAUUGCAAUCAUGUAAGGAAGCUGUCAAAGUAUUUUCUAAGUUCAUUUGUGAUCCAUUUGAAAUGACACUGCACAAGAAAUUCUGUUUAGAGAAUUUAAUUUUGUGCCAUAUUGGAUUUUCUUCUGAGGCCUGUCAAACUUGAAAGUCACUUAUUCGAAAUCAGAAUCAUAUCUGAAUUUGUUAGACAUACUACAAUUGCUUUUGGUCCUGCAAAUGCUGUGUAUUUGUCAAGCUUCCUGGACCAGUAUGCCUUACAUUUGAAGUGACAUUUAAUGUUUUUCUUGCAGUUGUUCGUGGCGAAAUUGCUAGAAAGGAGUAUGAUGUUCUUGUUAACUUGAGCAAGCAGGUAGCUGAGAGUAAGUUUGAGGAGCAGCUGGUGGCAGUUGUGCAAAUACAAUCAGGUAAACUUUUAUUUUGUAUAUAUUAAGCAGGUUAGUAGUUUAUAAAUUAAGUGGAUAUCCAAUUCUUAUAAGCAUUUUGGUGCAGUAAUCCGCGGGUGGUUGGCUAGAAGGAAUAUUGAUCGUCUGCGGAAUUCAAAAAUGAUGAUUUUUGAUAAACGAAGGCGAGGAAAGAAGUUUUCAGAAGUGAUGGUACUCUCUUUAUGCUACUUUAAAGCUACAACCUUGACUAGUUUCAUUCUCGUAGUAAGACACAAUGGGUGACAUAAUUGUUGAGAAAGUUUUGCUAAGUUUGACUUUUACACAUUCAACCUACAUCAUAAAAUACCAUGUGGAUGAUCCAGAAACACAAUCUGCAUUUUGCUUUUCAGGGAAUUACAGGAAUGUCUGUGUAUUAAUUUGAUCAGAUUUUGACUUCCUUGUAUAUUUGAAAUACUAAAAAUAUUUCCAAUUCUGAGAAUUGCAUUGUAAAUUUGAAGUACUGUUGUUUAUCAGGGCCUAGCGCAAGAGAAUUUACCUUCAGUGGUGGAAGAGCUUCAAAGGCGUGUGGUCAUGGCAGAGGUAAACCUAGGGAAGAAGGAAACGGAAAAUGCUGCACUGAGAGAGCAAGUACAAGAGUUUGAGGUGCGUUGGUUGGAGUAUGAAGCCAAAAUGAAAGCGAUGGAGGAUACAUGGCAAAAACAGAUGGCAUCCUUGCAAGUGAGUUUCUAUGUUAGUGUGUUCCUUGCAAAAUCUUGCAUGCUUUUUAGAGUAAAUGAUACAUUUUCCUCUACUGCUGUGCUUCUUUGUAAGAGUGUUUGCAACAUGCUAGCAGUAGCUGAAGAAAGAAAAUGAAAUCUCCAUUUGAAGUUUGACAUGUGAAUCCUGGUGGUGUUAUACAUCAACAUUCCUUAGCGACAAGUUAUGUUUACUUGUUGACUUAAAUUCCAAAAUUAUGCUGUUUCUUACUUGCCUUGGUACCUAUGUCUUUCUCAAUGCAGGUGAGUCUGGCUGCAGCCAAGAAGAGUCUUGGUGCUGACCAUACAGCAGUUCAACCAGCUGGAAGGCUUGAUGGUCUUACAUCUCCUCGCUAUUACGAUUCUGAGGACACAAUGUCCGGAGGAGCUCGAACUCCUGGUGGGGAAGCUAAUGGCGGAUUAAAUUCAGUCGGUCACCUUGCGAAAGAAUUUGAAAAUAGGAAGCAAAUUUUUGACGAGGAUGCCAAAGCAAUAGUUGAAGUCAAGUCAGGGCAGAACCCUGGCGAAGAAUACCGGAGACUGAAACACAGGUUUGAGGCGUGGAAGAAAGACUAUAAGGCGCGGUUAAGGGAGGCAAAGUCAAGACUUCAAAAGCAUGGGCAUUUAGAGGGUGAGAAAAGAAACCGAAAAUGGUGGAUAAAGAAGAGCAGAUUUCAGCUUUAGCUGCCUUCAGCCUUGUAAAGAUUUCUAGGUGGGAGUUACUUUUCAGUUACCUUUCUCGUAGGUUGAACGCGGAAGAGGUGCUUGUGUGUGUAUAUUAUUGGUCGCUUUUUGGAAGGAUCAAUUUGCUUGGUGAUUUCCUUCCAUUUCGUCCCUUUUCCGGAUAUUAGGUUUGAGCCUAGUUGUGCAUAGCGUAUCGUUCAUGAUGUAACUGAUCACCUCUUCACCACUGCGUAGGUUGUGGCUAGAAAUAUAAAUAUAGGAUAGAAAUGUACCCAUGUUUCCUCUCCCAUAACACUUGUAAGAGGAAGUGGUUGUAAAUUGAUGGGCUUGCUUUCAGGUUCUGUUUCCCACGAGAAGCGUUCUUUACUCUAUGCUGAAGCCAGAAAUCCAAAGAUUUCUUUUCGUCUAAAAGAUUAAACUUGCAUCCGCAAGCCUGUUAUGGAAUGAGAAUUUUCCCCCCGUCCUGUCUUUAGUAAGAGGGGAGAAAUGAAGGGACCGCAAGCUCUUCUAAUUGUACGUAGCUUACCAAAUUUCGAGUGUCAACAUGAUAGAUGAUUCACAAGAAAAUUAUUUGAAAAUGCCGCGUAGCUCAAUGAAUUGCCCCGGUUGAAGAGUAGGUUAUAUCUAUCAGCUUUAAGGGAAAGGAGGUGAAAACUAGCUAUAAAGCAUUGAUGACCUGCGGAUCCGUGACGGUACAUGAGCUCAAUCGCUUUAUAUAGUUGGGCAAAAUAAAUAAAUAUAAAUUAAUAAACAAGUUUCCAUUCACAAAUUUUAGUCCAGACAAAGCAAGAAAAAUUUACGAUCCGGGGACAAACUUGGUGGCAUAGACCCAGGCAUUGUUAGCAACUGGGUUGUCAAGAUGGUCCAAGAGAUUUUCAAGAGGGCCUUUUCCAGUGACAAUAGCUUGGACAAAGAAACCGAACAUGGAGAACAUUGCAAGCCUUCCAUUCUUGAUUUCCUUCACCUUA
rnacentral:lncRNA from 1 species